UCCAAAGGACGCAGUCUCAUACAAGUUACCAAUAUAAACCUGUUAUCAAAAUAUAUAUUCAUUAACAUCUCAUAGGAAUAAUAGGAUAGUUACAUGACUAGAGUUCUAAAAUCCACCAACAUAAUAUAUAUAUCUCCAGGGACUGACAAACUAAACCCAAAAAGUAUCAUCACAAGUUAUACGUACAAUUAUCUCAAGUUAUACCCAAAACCCAAAUUCCUAAGAUUCCUCCAGUGAUGUAGCUUUCCUCCUAUUUUUCGGCAGUUGAAAAAGAAUUGCAAUGAAUGGUAUGAGCAAAGCACCUCUCAAUAAAUAGUACAUUUCUCAACAGAUAGAGCAUAAACUAUUCACAGUAUAAACAGCAACAGAAACACAACCAAAUCCAGUAUAUAAUAUACGUAAAAGUCUAAAUAUGAGUUACAUCACUCUAACAAUGUUUUCAACGUAUUAGAAAAAUGCUCAUUCGAUCAACAAUAUUUAAGUAAACAUCUGAGGUCUAGUCUAUUGAUCACUCUAGUACUUCAUAUUAAACUAUAGCCAUGUCUAACGCCCCAUGACAAGGCUUACCAAGGUAUCCUUCUAGGCAUAGGUCUCCACUAAUCUCAGCUGGUGGCUUUGGCUAUACAAGACAUCCUGAGAACAUGUUUGCUUACUCACAUCCCUUUAAUGAUUUCAGAUCAUAGUGAUAAGAGGAUAAAAUAAUCAAUAUAAUCCUAUCUGCAACAAACCCAUUUCAGAACUCGUUUGAUAAACCGGAGUAAAAAAUCGAUACAACCCUUCACAAUUCCAUCCACAAGAAGAAUACAUACAUGAAGAAUUUCUCAAACAAUUUCAUAAAUAAUAAACUGUCCAACCAUCUCAGGAGAUAUUUUACUAUGCUAUUUCAAAUAACCAAAUGGGUAUGAAAUGCAAGAUCUAGCUUUAUACAACAAAAAUGUUCUAAACACCAUUUAAAAAAAAAAAAAAAUCAUAGCGUGCAAUGUUCUCGUUCAUAACUUAUGGCAUAUGUAAUAUCUAUGAUUUUCAAGCCGUGAGUUUACAAAUCAUAGAAGAAAUAAGUACCACUCCUCGCUAACCAAAAGCUAAAUUAAAAGCUUUACCACCUGAAAAGCUAAAAAAUCCUAUCAAAGAAAGCAUUAACCAAAUGUGAAACUUACAUAUCACUAACCUCAACUAAGAUUCUACAAGGUGACACUAAUUUUUGGAGUCAAAACAUCCAAUAUGAGUCGACAAAAACGCCACACAAGCAUCAAACUUGCUACAGCAAACAGAGCAGCAAUCUCGUCGUACGUUGUGAAUUUUGGCAUGUCAUACAUCUCUACUAGACUCCAUUUUAAGUGAUUUUACCGUCAAACGAGAGCUAAUUCAAAGUACUAAAAGACCAAAAACUCCUUAGAGCCAAAAUUUGGCCGACGACUGAUGAAAUCCAGGACAAAACCCUGCUGGUUGCAGUUACUGUACAUUAGUUUUUGAGAACUUCGAAGAAUCAAUAUCUUUCAAACGGCAAUCCGUAAAAUCUCACAAUUCCAAGACCAACCUAACGUUUCGAAACGACAUCAUUUCAAGGCUCAACAAUCUCAAGAAUCAACCCGGCAACCCUAAAACCUGAACCAAUCCGAAAUUACAACUUAACAGAGCAAAUUUCUUUGAUUUCAUUAGAUUUAUCAAGGUUUGGAAUUUCUUACCGAGUGCUUCAAAACGGUAUGAAUCUAGCUCGUCGUGGCCUCCGAGCCGAAUCGCAGCAAAAGCCCCCUUUCGCUCACUCUCAGAUUCCCCUUUUCUCUGUUUUCUCUUUCUUUUACCGACUCGCUCCACUCUCUCUUUUUUCUGCUCUUUAUUUUUUGUAUGAACCAACUCCAGAAGAGAACGAGAAGAUGGGCUAAGGACUCUUGGGCCUAAUUUUUCUAUUCCAUGAGAGGCCCAUAGUCGAGGAGGCCCGUUUAUGGCUUAGAAUGCCAAGUACCACCAAUCCAUGGGCAAUUGUUAACACGCGUAGUUCGUACGAUUGGUAUCUUUUGCAAUGAUUCACAGUCAAAGACCUUCAACUCCCCUAGCUUCUCUAGAUUCGGAGUAUCAGGGUUGGGCCUUUCCGUGGAACUGUAGUCUCCAAUUGAAGGCCGUUCGGAUGCGAUCUCAAUUAGUUGCGGGCAGUGACUUACCCCUAGCGAUUGGUGCUCCUUUAAGCUCGAUACAUUGGAUAUCCUCACGAGCGACUCGCCCCUGCCCACCUCCACUCGCUCCAAGUUCUCUAGCUGUCCGAGCACGCUGUCAAAUUCGAUCUCUCUUAAUGGACAUACGGAGAGACAUAAUAUAGACAUAUUGCCCAGGUUGGAGAACAAUGACCAUGCUAUUGGGGUCUUCACACCUUUUAAGAACAAUCCUAUUAAACUGGACGGAAGCCCGGUCAAAGAUUGUAAGUUGGCACAAGUUAUUUCAAGAUACUCGAGCUGAGAAAGGGCGCUCAAGUCAAUCGGAUGCAUGUUGGAAUCGGAAAAGAUCACUUCCAACUUAGACAAUCUAUGAAGCCUUCCGAGGCACUCUAAGUUCGGAUAUACAAUUUGUCCUCGUUUAAUUAUGGAUAACCCAGUAUCAAGAUCACUAUCACUUAUUGUUAGAGAAUCUAAAUUAGUGAGGUUCGAGAGGUCGGGUACUGCUUGCAACGAUGAAGACGAUAGAUUUAGCGUCUCUACACUUGUGGGGAGAUUUGGUAGUAACUGAAACUCCGUACAAUGCCAUAGAUAUAGUCCUCUGAGGUUAAAGAGCCGAUUGAUUGUCAUCGGCAGUCUACUAACCUUUGUCCCGGACAAGUCCAAAAUCUCCAAUUGGGAUAGUCCUGCGAUUUCACUAGGAAUUUCCCCCUUGAGAUUGUCACACUUGUCGGCAAUUAGCUCCUCAAGAUUCUCUAGAGUCCCUAUGCUCUUUGGUAGCUUUCUUAUCUUACUAUAAGACAAAAUCAUGAGCUUCAACUGUCUAAGGUUGCCAAUUGAAACUGUAAUAGGUGUCGAAGAUACAUCCAAUUUGUGUAGCGAUUCUAGUCUUCCGAUGGAAUCCGGUAAUGCACUUAUACCGGUUCCUUUUAAAUCCAAAUGGAGGAGCAAUCUCAACUCUCCAAUGGAAUCCAGAAGCUCUCUAAGAUUGUAACACUCUCUUAGAGAUAGAUCCUUCAAACCCACCAGUAGCUCUCCUAUUGAGGGUGGAAGUUUUCUAACACCAUCCUGGUAUACCAAAUUUGGCACCAACAAGGAUUUCAGACCACCAAUUGAGUCUAGUAAUGGAGGGAUGGCUGGAGAAAUAUUUCUCUGCAGCAAAUGAUUGCUCCCAUAGAUUUCCAAAUACUUCGGGCGGCCUAGUUGAUCAAUAGAGCUAUCAAUUUCUUCCAAUCUUAUACAAUUUUGGAGAACCAAUUUUUUCAAAUUCAGGCACUUGGAGAAGUCAGGUGUUCUCUUUAAAUAAUUGCAGCUUGCCAAAUAUAUCACUUUCAGGUUGUCAUUUACCUAUAUAAAAAAAAAAAAAAAGAACCCAAUUAUUGAGGAAAAUAAUGGCAUCGGCAAAGGUUAACUCAACGUAACAAAUGCGUACACACAUAAAGGAAAAAACGAAUGCAUUAUAUGAAAUUGUACCAUGCAUGCUCCCCAGCCAUUCCAGUCUUCACUAAUAUCACUCUCUAAAAGCUUGAGAACGGCCAAGUUCCUUAGACAUAAACUAGUGGCAUCUAGGUUUGAAGGGCAAUGAUGCCAAGAGAGCCAUGUUAAAUUAGAGAGAAGAUUUUUGAAGUCUCCUACAAAGUUUCCCCCAUUCAAUUCGAGGAACCUUAGACUAGGUAGCCUUGAAAAUUCAGCACUCGUGAAGUUAUGCCCAUCGCCAAGUCUUGUGAGUUUGAGUGCUACAAUGCUUUCUGUUCCCUAAUAUUUCCAGAGCAACAAGUUAGCAGCAUGAUUGAACUAUUUAGAGUAAGUACUAAAUAUCAAAAUAGGGAACAUAUAUCUAAAUUCAACUAAUAAUAAAUAUGAGUGUACUAGCUAAAAAAUGGGGCAUAUAGAUAUUAUCUUAUACAAAAAGGGGCAAAUUCAUGAAUCAUUAUCUCUCCCACUUACAUGGGAGUUGUUAUGUAAAAAUUAGUUCUUUUGGAAUGCCAUUCAUUUCUCUCAAAUCAUGCCAAAUCAUCAAUGUCUUUUGUACAAAAUUGAGCGAACAUCUUGGGUGAAAAUGAACUCUAAAUACACACAACUACAUGUUUAGUUUUUUCAUGAGCAAUUAAUUUGUUUACUAAGACAUACCAUGUUAUUCUGAACCACAUCCAAGGCGAUCGUCGGACACCACAACCUGCUGCGCUUUCCAGGAACUAUAAAGCAUUCUUGCCGAACAAUCUCUCUUCCAAGAUCUCUCAGUUGGUCGUGCAUCCACAGUCUAUCAUCUUUGAGUUUUAUCAAAGAUAAAUGAAUGAGAACACGAAGUCCGGUAUGCGGAAAAAAAUCACAAGCUUUCCACAUGUAAUAUGUGGGGAUUCUUUCUUCCCCAAUGCAAUGACAUGCGAUAUCAAGAAAAAUUUGUUUUUGCUCAUACUCCAAUUCUUCAUAACUUAUCAAUAACUUUUUCUGGACAUCUUGAUUGGGCACUUCCUUCAACUUCUUCAAUGUUUCUUUCCAUGUUUUCUUGCCUUUUGAAUGGAGUAAAGAACCUAUGACCUCGAGAGCCAAUGGUAGUCCUCCAGUGGUUCCAACAAUUUCACAUGAAACUUUGAUGUAAUCAUGUGGAGGUGAGUCACUUUCAAAGGAGUGCUUGCUGAAUAGUUGAAGAGCAUGGUAAAACCGCAAUUCCUUCAUUUCAUGAAAAUAGAAAUCUCGGUGAUGCAUAGGGAUGAUAUUGUCAUCUAGGGUCUUGGUUUCGGGAAUCAAAAAGGAGGUGUUUCUAGUUGUGAUAAUAAUUCUGCUUCCCGAACCAAACCAACUUGACUCACCAGCUACAUUUAUGAGCUUGUCUCUCUUGUCCAUGUCAUCAAGAACAAUGAAGGCUUUCUUAUCAUUGAGUUUUUGUUUGAUCACGUCCCUCCCCUCAUUUGCAUCGAAAACUUUAGGAUGUUGGAUACCAAGAAUGUCAUGUAAUAAUUUCUUUUGCAGAUUUAAAAUAUCGCUUUCACGGAUAUUUGAAAGAAAGCUGCAACUUUGGAAUUGAGAAGAAAUACGUUUGAAGAUAGCCUUAACAAGAGUUGUUUUUCCGAUACCGCCCAUACCGUGAAUCACCACAAAUCGUACAUCAGAAGUGCCUACGGCUAACAACUUCAUAAUGGUUUCAAUCUGAUCGUGAAUUCCCACCAAGCCGUCACACCAGUUUCUGUGCAUAGGCAUCAACUUACCAGAAACUUCUUCCAGAACAAGGGCUAUAAGUUUAUCUUGGCUGCCACAUACAUAAUGCAACCGUCUUAGUUUUAGAAACCACAAACAUGUGCAGAAGCAUAAAUAUGUAAAACCAUAAAUUUUGAUAGUUAAAACCAAGCAUGGAUUAUUAGUUUAUUUCAUAUUCAGUCCUCCCCAAGCCGAGAAGAUAGAUCUCAGUUACAGAUAACGAUUGUUGGAUAUUGAUGUGGGGGGCGGUUCUGAGGAGCUUUUAGAUGGUCAAAUCAGUGACGUUCUAAAGUGCGAUGUAGCCAUCAAACUAGCUCUAUAGCCAAGCGGGCAAACCAGACCAAUUGUUUUGGUUCGUGCAAUGCAUCUAGCUUGACAAAGGGUGAAAAUAGACCAAAUCGCACAUUAAAUAGAUAGAGCAUUCUUGAGUGGGGCCGACACUGACGAAGAUGUCAAUACUUUUUAGUGCAGGAGUUUGGGGCAACACAAUCCCACAUCGAAUGGGGCACACCUUUUUGAACUAAUUCAUGGGUAACGUCCACCCUUAAAUGGUCACUUUAAAAUUCUACUGUAAUAGGAAUUACCACAAGGAAGAAUGUCAUAAGAUGUGAUAGAAACUUUAUACCAAAGUGCCGUCAAUGGAUCGGUUACGAGUUCUGAAAAAUUAUAUGCCUAAUGAAAUUGACUUGAUGAAAACGAACAUGGUAAUUUGCACAACCAUUUCAACUUCCAUUGUUAAAAGGAGGGGGGAGGGGUUGAUCUAUAAAUUGAGUUGUUGCGAUUAAGAAACUAUGAUCUAAAUUAAGUAAUGAAAGUACAGCAGUUGUCAUUAAUUACCCGUGAUCUUUUAAGUUGUAUCCCUUGAUUCCAGCGACCUCUCUGAGGGCCUCCUCCCACUGCUUCGCCAUAUCUUCACCAAACUGUCUCUCAUGCUUUCGUAGGGCAUUACCGUAUGAUCCAGUUUUGAGCUUAAGAUAGGAUGCAUCCACCCCAUAGAAGAUGGGCAAGAUCACUUUCUUGUAUCUCUUCCUACACUCCACCAUGUGUGCGAGCUCACGGAGACACCAUUUGCUGGAAGCAUACUUUUUAGAGAAGAUCGGUACGUAAAUUUUUGAAUUGGAGAUUGCUCUCAAAAGCUCGCCUCCGAUCUCUUCCCCAACACGGAGCUCUUCAUCAUCUUUGAAGACACAAAUCCCGGCUCGAAUCAUGGCCGCGUAGAGAGAGUCCGUGAUGGUUAACUGAGUGUCGGGCCCUCUAAAGCUCAAGAACACCUCGUAGUCCCUCCUUGAUGAUGAUGAAGAUUCAUCACUGAGGGGGAGAGACUUUCCUUCGGGGCAUUCCAUUCCUGUGAUCUUUGGCCACAAAAGCAAUAUCAAAUUAUUGUGCUUGGUCGAAAUUGCAACUUUCCAGUUUCCUUGCGGCCGUUGCCAAUUUAUAAGAAAACGGUAGACUGACUCUUUUCGUCCUAAAACAACUAUUGACUGAUUUAGGUUCACUGUGAGCGACAGAAGAUGCAAAGAAAGAUCACUACUGCACGCUUCCACGAAAUCACCUACCUCGGACAACCGUUCUUCACUUGUAGUUUUAACGCACCUCCUUUUCCUGAGAACCAAGGAGAGCCAUCGUUUUUCGCAGUAUUUUCUCGGAACGUUCCUGAGUUGAUUCGGGGAAGUCUUCGAAUGUAUUAGGACUAGAGCUUAAUUCCCUAAAAAAAGCAUCGAUUUUUAGUGUUGCAUCAAAGCAUGAGAGGCAUUCUUCCAUACGCAAUGAUGGAGCCUAGUAGGAAUUGAAAUGAAAAGCUGAACGUCCAAACCUGAGGGCAUGUAAUAAUGCCCUCUCACUUUUCCUAAAGCCACUUUUUGCCCCUUUAUUAGGUCGUCACGUGAUAGAAUAAAUUGCCUUGGACAAUACUUUUGCCAUGAAAAAAACAUUUUCUGGUGUGAAAUAUGAGGAGGUGGGUCAUCAAGAGUCAGUUCAUGCUGGGAAUGUGAUGAUUAUCGGAUUCUUGAUUUUCAUAAACCGCUAAGUCCAGAUUAAUCGAGUUUUCAAUACGAUCAUUGUUAGGGUAAAAGAAAAAAAAAGAUCAAGUCUCUCCUAUAAUUUUAAUAAGUGCAUCGAAAUUCAAAAUGCAAUGUUUUAAAGAUGUUUCACCUUGAAACUAAAUUUGGUUGACAUCUUCAAAACUAAAUUGUACAUUGUUUAAGCAUAGUAGUUCCGGUUAAGUGGCAAUCGGAUAUUAAACACGCCUUAUUGCGAAAGGGUUCAAUAGCCUUAUCAAGUGAAAGCACUUCUAACUCGGAAAAACCAUACCUACUCAAUUCAAAGCGUUAAAAAGAAGGUACAAAUGUAUUAGAAGUCCUAUAACUUGUUAUCAAGGUGUAAUGAAGUAUAAAACUUUUAAGAAAUAUAAUUAAAUUCUAAAACUUAUCACAAAGUACAAUCAAAUUUUAAAAUUUUCAAAAAAUGCAAUCAACGAAAUACUUGAUUGGACAAAUUUGAUAAGUUUUAAAAUUUUAUUGUAUUUUUUAAAAAAAAAAUUAAGACUUAAUUGUACUUGCUUGACAAGUUUUAACGCUUUCAAGAUACUUAUUCCUUAAAAGUAAAGCUUUUUCACAAUCCUCCAAAAUUAGUGACGGUGCGUGAUAAAGUGCAGCCAUUCUUGGAGCAAUGUCUAAGACUCAUGCUCUAUAAAUUGCUUCGUUGAUGAAACUAGAGAUUAAUACUCAGCUUCAAAUUCUCUAUGCGAGAGAGAGUGUGUUUGGGUGUGCAUGCGUGAUAUAAUUGUGUGAAAAAAAUAGUUUAUUUGGAUCAUAUCCACGUGUAGCGUGAUGACCAUUCAAUCUAACAAAGCUUGUUACCACAUUAUUUAUAGUGAGCUAAAUGUCCACCGAUUGUUAUUUAAACUUCAUGAAAUACUCAACAAUUGGUAGCAAUGAGAUGCUGAUACCUUGCCUAAUAUGCAUGAUCAUAAUUGUAAUUUAAAUUGAUUUACUCUAAUUUCAAAAACUCUAUUCUUAUAUGCAAUGCAGUCCUGCUUUCAAUUGAUUUGAUUCCUACACUUUUCUUUAGUUUGAGUAAUUGAUUCAUCUCCAUUACUUUAGUUUGUUCAAUUAGGUCUCUCAAAAUUAUUUUAGUAUGUUUCAUAUGUCAUACACUGGUUGAUUAUCACAAAGGAAACUGCUAAAAUGGACUACAAUCUACUGAAGCUAUUGGAUUAAAAAAAUUACACAAAUGGAUAUCGUAUGCGUAAUAUAUAUUCAAAACUAUUGAAAAGAAAUACACAUUUGUUUCUUUCGUGUAAUUCAUUUGAAACAAAUUAUUUGCUCGGUCACUUUAAGAGGUCAUUCUUAUUCGUCAUCCCAAUAUGUCAGCUAAGUAUGGAUUUUGCUGUUCUUGUCAAAGCACACCAAAUAAUCCUUUCUCCAUUCACACAAUAUCGAUUGAAUGAAGAAGAAAGCACAUUGUUUUGUUAAGUGGGAGGUUUAAUCCUUAUCUGAAACAUUUUCUUGAAUUUAAGAAUGAUACUGAAUUUUUAAAAUAAUCUAGGAACCUCAUUAAUUUAAAGCUGAUGAAAUGGUCAAGAGAGAGAAUGCUCCUUGGGCAAAGUUAAGGGCUUAUUAAAUAAAUCAAAAGGUCAAGGACGUCAUAACACGUAAACGAACAAUAAUGAAUUUUUAAGACUCCUAGGGCGUGCAUGGAAACACUCCAAAAAAGUGUUUCCGGCACACUUCUGUACGGAAAGUGUUCCCGGGAACAAAAAAGGAACAGAAACGCGUUUGGUUGCGUUUCUGUUCUUUUUUUGUUUUUUUGUUUCUGGAACGAAAUAGAAACAGAAAAAAGAAACAAAAAAAAGUUGUUUCUCCUGAAAGAAACACUUCUCGGAAGGAACAAAAGAACAAAAAUCACUCUUCUCUCUCUUCUUCUUCUCUUCUUCUUUUUUUUUUUUUUUCUUCUUUUUCAUUUUGGCCGGUCGCCGGCCUCGGCCAUGGCCGGCGACCGGCCGUCGAGGCUCGGCGUCGCCGGCGCGGGCGAGGCCGAGCGUCGCCGGCCCCCGGCGAGCCCAAGCCUCGCCGGGGGCCGGCGAUGCUCGGCCUCACCGGAUCUAGGCGAGCCCGAGCUCGCCCAGCCAAGGCGAGGCCGAGCCUCACCCAACCACGGCCAGGCUCGGCCUCGCCGUGGGCCGGCGAGCCUCGCCGUGGCUGGGCGAGGCUGCCAGCCCCGUCGGCCGGUCGCCGGAGGCCGGUGACCGGCCGAAGAAAAGAAAAAAUAAAAAGAAAGGAAAAAUAAAAAAAUAAAAAAAAUGUUUAAAAAAUUAAAAGAAACAAAAAAAUAAUAAAAAUUACCAAACGUGUUUCUGUUCAUUUUUUAUUCCCGGACCAAACGUUACCAAACGUGUUCUUUUGUUCAAAAACUGUUCCCCAAAACAGAAACACUUUUUUUUGUUUCUGUUCCCAGGAACAAAAAAAGAACAGAAACAAAUCCAUGCGCACCCCUAGCUUCCUUCGACUUGGUUAGCAUCUGCAAAGAGUGAGGAGACCAAACCCCCUAUUUUAAGAAACCUCCUAGCUUCCUUGGUCAAAAAGCGACCGGCCGUACAUAGUCAAUAGUCGAAAAUUGCAUUCGUCCUUUUUCUUUUUUCUUUUUGUCUUCAAAUCCAAAAUAAACUCAGAUGGAGGUUACAAACACUGGAUCCAAUCAGCUAUAUUGAAUAACGAAAACCAAAUACUAAACCUGAUUUAGGAAUAAAGAACCUCUAUUUCUGCAAGGCGAAUUCAUCNNNNNNNNNNNNNNNNNNNNNNNNNNNNNNNNNNNNNNNNNNNNNNNNNNNNNNNNNNNNNNNNNNNNNNNNNNNNNNNNNNNNNNNNNNNNNNNNNNNNGAUUUGCAAUUGAAAAUUAUAUGUUAACAAGCAUUUGGUCCAUAAAGAUUAAAGUCCAUCCUAAAGUUGGCCAAAAAAAAAAAAAAAGCAAGAAAAAAAAGGCCAAUUGAGGCGGGUUUUUGGCGGAAGUAUUUCUUGAUCAAAACUGCAGUAAAAAAUCCUUCUCGUUGAACUCGUAUCUAUAGUUUUCGUGAAACUACAUAUAAAAAUGUUGCUAGCUUGACAUGUCUCUAGUAUUUUGCCGAUUUUGCAUGAUAGAAGAUUUGUUUAGCAUGUAGUCUUGUCGGCACCUAUUCAUUUUUUUUUUUAUGGGCUAAUAUCCCGAAAAAUCCCAAACUGUUAUAUAUGUGAUAAAUUUACCUCAAAUAAAAUUUUUGAUCACAAAAAAUUAUAAACAAAUAUAUAUGUGAUAAAUUUGCCAUAAACUCAUUUUUUGACCACUAAAUAGUUCAAAUUGAUAUGCCUAUAACAAAUUUAUCAUUUAUUAGUUUCCGUUAAAUUUUAUUGUCAAAUUGCUAAGUUAGAAUACAUGUAACCGUUAGCAAUGUAGUAAUAUGAGGUUCUACCUUUUAUUUGUCAUAGAUAUACUGAUUUUGUGGUUUUUCAUGGUAUUAAUAUAAUUUUAAGAAUGGUAUGUUUGUUAUAAAUGUAUUAAUUUGUGAUUUUUAGCAAUAAAAAUAUUAAUUUGGGACAAAUUUAUCAUAAGUGUACCUAUUUAAAAUUUUUAGUGAUAAAAAAUUAAUUAAGUAAAAAUUUAUCGUAUGUGUAUUAAUUUAAAAUUUUGGUGAUAUUAAUUUUUUUUAUUGUGUUCCCGUUCAAGGACAGCAUGCCCACAUCAAAUGGUAAUUUAGGGCAGAUCGAGAAUCUUUUAUGAUCAGGCCAAAUGUACGAGCUGCCCCGGAAUUUUCUCCCGGAACUUCCCAUCUUCCUCUCUCAUUCAAACUCUCUUGGUUAGGAUCACCCAAAGGAAAAUGAUUGAAUCCUCCUGUCGGCCACUUGCCCCGGUAUUUUCCUUGCUCCUUCACAGAUAGCGUGAGAGGCACGCCCACUUUGUCUUGAUCGCAAUGUGUAUUAUGGGUGAAAAGAUCUUUCUUUGGGCUCAGUUCCUUCUGCGUCUUUCUGAGAUCUGAGAAAUUCCCCAAAAGCAAAUGAAAUCCGUGUGUCUGCACCUUUUUCGGGGACGCGUCUGGUUCGUUCUUUCACCCCCUGCUUCGUUUAUCUUUGAUUUCUUGUCAGCAAAACUGAAGAGAUAAAGUUAAAAAAGAAGAAGAAAAAACAGAGGGAAAGCAGAGGAUUCGGCGGAUAAGAACAAGAUAAGCGGGAAGAGGACACAAUAAGGGCACGUGAAAGGAAAAGAAAAAGGUCACCAAAGGAAAGAAAACAGAGAGGACAUGAGUUUGAUGCUUCCGGACACUCGACGUGUUUGUGGGGCCUUGGAAACGGAUAUAGAUGACUGGAUGAUGCAGGAAGCCGACCCCCCUAGCGCUUGAACAAACCAGGCAACUAGGCAAGCACUUGGCCAAGAGGUGGAUGGGCUGCCGGACACCCGACUGUUGGAAUUUUGUUUGUUAAAACAAAAUGGGUGCCUUUUACUUUGUCCCACAUAGAAAAUGUGGGAGCAAGUGGAUCAGUUUAAAUAUGCGGGAUUUCCUUUUGUAGUUAAAUAAGUGAUUAGGUGGGGGUGGACCCGACCAUACCCGCGUGCGGGUGCGCGAUUUUGGCGCGAUUUUUUAUUUAUUUUAUUUUUAGUUCAAAGGUUGCCUUUUAAUAACAUUGGAGAGCAAUUACUAGAAUUUUUGGUUAUCUUAAGAGAACUAAAAAUUUAGGAUUGUUCUACAAUAAUUAUCCGCCUAUAUUAGAAGGAUACACCGAUGCUAGUUGGAUUACAAGUGUGGGAGAUGAGCGUUCCACUUCUGGAUGGAUCUUCACACUAGCUAGAGGUGCUGUAUCUUGGGCGAGCAAGAAACAGACAUGUAUAACUCACUCAACAAUGGAAUAUGAAUUUAUUGCUUUGGCGGUAGCUGGGAAAGAGGCUGAAUGGAUUAGAAAUUUGUUGUUGGAUAUCAAAUUAUGGCAUAGUCCUAUGCCUCCUAUUUCUAUCCACUGUGAUAGUCAGGCCAUUUUGGCAAGAGCCUAUAGUAGCACCUAUAAUGGUAAGUCUAGACACAUUAGUCUAAGACAUGAAUAUAUGAGACAAUUGAUUAAAGAUGGUACCAUAACAAUUGUCUAUGUGAGGUCAAGUAAAAAUCUUGCCGAUCCUUUGACGAAGGCUUUACCAAGACAUAUGGUAAUAAUGACCUCACAAGAAAUGGGGCUGAAACCCUUUAAUUGAAAUCACCAAUAAUGGUAACCCGACCUUUUUCUAGAAUAUCACUAGUUACAAGGUUUAAUGGGUAAGAACAAGUUAUUGAAUGUGAUUGUUUGAUACUGACAUAGCUUUGAUAUGAGAAGUCAGUAUCGUCUGUUACGUUUUGAAUGCUGAAUUGAAUUCUUAAUGAAGUAUGAUACUAGUUUGUAGUGUGUUGAUAGUAACAGAAACACAUGGUAGAUACUUCACCUAUACGAGCUUAGAAGUAGUGCCGCUUCUUACGAAAGUUAGGGUUGCUUUCUAGAGAGCUCAUGAAACAGGAUCAAGCACAAGGCCAUAAUAGUGCGGAGUAAUAUAGAAAUUCUCGCUGAAACAAGAGAUUAAUGUAUGUGUGGUAUGUCUGGUUCUAUUACAUAAAAGUACAAGUUUAAAGCCGAGCUACUUGUCACUUUGAUAGAGCUUUGAUAUAUUUGCACUAAGUAAAGGUUUAACUCGAAAGAGACCUUUAUGUAUGUAUAUUAAUCUUACUGAAGCUUUGGCUGUAUGGUUUUUAAAAAUUUUAUUUUGAAAUAUUUGUUUUACAAACAAAGUGGGGGAUUGUUGGAAUUUUGUUUGUUAAAACAAAAUGGGUGCGUUUUACUUUGUCCCACAUAGAAAAGGUGGGAGCAAGUAGAUCAGUUUAAAUAUGUGAGAUUUCCUUUUGUAGUUAAAGGAAUGAUUAGGUGGGGGUGGACCCCACCAUACCCGCGUGCGGGUGCGCGAACAAUUGUGCGAUUAUUUAGUGCACUUGGCACGCCUGCGCGCCCCGCGGUUUAAUUAGCAUUAAUCCCUUGCUAUUUAUUUAUUUAUUUAUUUAUUUUAGUUCAAAGGUUGCCUUUUAAUUUGAGAAUUCCGGAAAUGAAAUAUAAAUGAAAAUUCGAAAUUCUAUUUAAAAAUUAUUAUUAUUAUUAAAUAAAAAUAUUUCGAAUUUUGUUUGUGUCUUUUCAAGACAACCUUUGGAAAAUUACCUAUUUGGUUUUUAACUUUCCCGAAGGAUUGCAAUUGUUCGUUUUUCGACUUCUUCUGAAGAGUUGCAUUUGUUUAUCCGAACAAUUUUCUAAAGACGUGUUUGUUCGCAAUUUUCACGAAGAGUUGCAAGACUGUUUCAUAUAUAUACUUGUCAUUUUUCGGAAAGAAAAGUGUGGUCAUUUUCGAGUCUUCUUUAUGAAAAACUACAGCCAAUUGUUCGAUUGUUUCUUAGAGAGACCCUGGAGAAAUACUAGAAUUGCUAUUUAGUAUUUUCAUCCGAGACUUUGUUGUAUCAUGGAGGAUUUUUGCCGGUGACUAUGAGCAACGUUGUGGGGCAAAUAAAUCCUUAAAGAAAGUUAUAUUACGCCUCAAAGUCCGAGUUGUUUUACUCGAUCCAAUUUCAUUGUUCAACCCAUUUCGAAGCCAUAUUUACCAACACCGACAAACCUCCCAAGCCAAAAGUCUUUUCCAACAUAGUGCUCGAGCGACGGGCCUAUUUUUGUCAGACACCUAAGCCUCGAUUUUUAUGUAUAUCUAAUGAACAACUUGUAAGAAAUCUAAAGAUAAAGAAUGUUUAAGAAGAGAUAAUGAGAAUACUCAUUUCUUGCUCGAAUCGUUUCGUUUAUUUACUCGUGUUAGUAGUGACAAUAGUUGAUGCAAGAUUCAAACUAUGCAAUUCAGCUGAAAAAAAUCUCCCAACAAUAGUAAAGGUCGGUUAAACUAGGAGCGAAAUCUCAUUCUACGGUUCUAAACUUAACGGGCGCAUCAGAUGAUAGGUUUAUUUUGUAUUUACAUUGAAAUCAUGUGAGCAAUUCAGUGAAGCUGAUAGAAAAGACCAAGCGAUAUUAGUCUGAUACCGUCCCACACGUAAUUGAUCACUGUACCUGGAAAAUGCAGAUAAUGCCAAAGAAGGACUCAAAGAAAAAAGGAAGAAGGACAGACUCCCCAAGUCUUGGUCUUCUCUUUAUUAUUAAGGAAACUUCUGUAAGAUAUGAAAUGAACCCAAGUGAUCCGGGUGUUGAAUGAAGUGAGCAUGAAAACGCGGAGAGAAACACCAGAUUCACCAUUAUUUAAUCUGCUAAACAAUGAUGGUGAUGGGAGUCGCUUAAAGUUAAGUGAAGAACUAAUAUGAAAAGACCAAGACUUCUUAUGAGCCUAAUAAUUUUUUUUCCCUAAUUUCAGUUGCAUCUUAGUUAGAGGCUUUCCGAGUUCGAAUGUCUCUCUGUUCACACUCGCCAAUCUGCAACAUUUACUCGAAAGCCAUUGGCAGGCGCGCAGCGAAAUUGAUGUUGAUUUCCAUUCUCGAGAAAAUUAUAGUGCUUGCCAAUUCUUUUCGCUGAAGCUUUGAUCUACUGUAGUUGAACGAACGUGUAAUGACCGUGCAGCAACACUGACCAACCGCUCCAUCGUUAGCAACUGAUUGUAUGUGACAAUCUGCACUGAGUAUAGAAGUUAAAAAUAGAAAAAAUGGCAAUGGUUGACUGAUGAACAUGCCAUCCGAGUAAAUUCCUUCUUUACAAACUUUUCUGAACCAAUUCCAAUUACUGGUGAACCAUGACAAUGAGGGACGUAAUUCAUUUGAAUGCGACAUGGUAGAAAAGCAUUAAUCCCCUGAUUAAAACAUCAGAGUACAGCAGUUUUUGCUCCCGUCCAACCAUCCUGAUGUGCAUAAGUAGAAACGUCAAAAGGAUUUUUCCAGCUGAAUUCGACUACUAAAGGAGCUCAUUUAUCUUCAUCGAUUUUGAGGGAUUAGACGAGAGAACAGCCGCGGAUACACACUGAAUCCCAAUGCUGUUAGACGUUUACUCAGGGUGUCGACUGACUUUGUUUUGUCCCAAAACAACUGUUUGACUGACUCUGGAUGCUUCCACAAAAUACCUCCCCCGCAGAAACGUUCUUCAUUUGUAGUUCAGUACGCGUCCAUCUUCUUUCGCAGGGUUUUCUACGAAACUACCUGAAUUCGAGCCUAGAGCAGGAGAGGUAUUCGUCUACAUGCAAUGAUGGACCCCAGCAGGAAUUGAAUAAAAAGCUGAACGGCAACCUGAGUAAAUGUAAUAAUGCCCUCACUUUUCCUAAAGCCAAUUUUUGUUUUUUUGUUUUUUACCCUUAUUGGUUUGUGGUACGACGGAAUAGUGUGUUGGACGAUAUUUUGCCAUGGAAAAACAGAUUCUCUGACGUCGAAUAUGAAAGAGUGGGUCAUGAAAAGUCGGUUCAUGCAGGGAUUGUGAUGAUGAUCUGAUUCUUGAUUUUCCACAUUUCAUUAAGUCAAUUAACUUCACUAGACAAUCGUUAUUAGGACCAAUCAAUCCCGACAAUAAUUGAAAAAAUUAGGAUCAAACCUCUCCUAUGCUGUUGAUAAGUGCAUGUUGAGAAAAAAAGGUGGGAUUCAAUCACGCAAAAUGCAUUGUUUUAAUGUAUUUUACCUUGAAAGUCAAUAUGGUUUGGUAUCUUCAGAACUAAAUUGUACAUUACUAAAGCAUAACAGCUCCGAUUAAGUGGCGAUCAAAUAUAAAACAUGCCCUAUAGCAAAAGGAUUCAAUAAUCUUAACAAGUGAAUGCACUUGCCCAAACUCGGAAGAACAGCGGCCACCCAAGUCAAAGCAAUAAAAGAAGUAAUGCUUUUUCACAAUCUUCCGAGGUUUGUGGCGGUACCUGAUUCAAGUGCAACCAUUUUUGAAGCAGUGUCCAAGACUAAUGCUCCAUAAAUAGCUUCGUCGAUUGAAACUGUAGAUUAAGCCUCAGCUGCACCAAUUGAGAGAGAGAGAGAGUCUUUGCGUGUGUAAUAUAAUUGUUUAUUUGAGAGUAACGAUUCAAUUUGACGGAUAACGGCAUCUGCCAAUGUUCUACAUACAUAAAUUUUAGCAAUUACAUCGUUUCCGCAACUUCACUCGACGUUGAAUUAUAUUUUGGGAGACGUGGCCACUCAUUCCAUCCUCCAAGACCUCCGAGUUUAUCGAGCUCUGUAGCGGAGAAAUAGUUGCGAUUUUUCUCAUAAUUACCUUCAAUUUCACAGACCAUCUUGCCUUGUGGAUUAAGAUGUCAAGAUAUAUCGGCGGGCAAUCGAUGAAUGAGUCAAAAGGACUCCCUGAUGGGGUUUCCAUGGGCACUAAUUUCGUGCAAAAAUGCUCGUUUUGACAGGAGUUUCCCUCUUCUAUUCUUCUCUCUUUCAUACUGCUUUUUACCCUUGCUUGUACGGCUUCCUGUGCCCGGUCUUUUUGAUUCGCAUCUUAGCACAGGAAUACGUGGGAAAUUUCUGCGAAGCACAAAUCUUUUCUUCUCUCUUUCACACUGCUUUUACCGUUACUUGUACAGCUGCCUGUGCUCGCUCUUUUCGAUUCGCAUCUCAGCGCAGCAAUACAUGGGAAAUUUCUGCGAAGCACAAUUCUAUUCUUCUCUCUUUCUUGCUGCUUUUACCCUUCUUAGGACAGCAAUAUAUGAGAAAUUUCUGCGAAGCACAAUUCCAUCCUUCUCUCUUUCAUACUGCUUUUGCCCUUACUUGUACGGCUGCCUAUGCCCGCUCUUUUUGACUCGCAUCUUAGCACGGCAAUGCAUGGGAAAUUUCUGUGAAGCAUAAUAUUAUCGUCUCUCUUUCAUAUUGCUUUUACCCUUACUUGUACGGCUGCCUACGCCCGCUCAUUUUUACUCGCAUCUUAGCACGGCAAUGCAUGGGAAAUUUCUGGGAAGCCCAAGGAGGACAAUGCUAUCAACUCUAGCCAAAAUUGAAGCAAUUCUAGCAUUUUAUUUUUACUCAUGUCGGAGAUAAAUGAGGAGGUCCGGAAUAUUCAAAUGAAAAUUUUCUUCUAUGAAAUUGAGGGCGCAUUCAUAUUUUUCACUAUUUUUGCCCCAACGCACCGAAAAUAUCUUCAGAAACAUGGAAAAUGUCCNNNNNNNNNNNNNNNNNNNNNNNNNNNNNNNNNNNNNNNNNNNNNNNNNNNNNNNNNNNNNNNNNNNNNNNNNNNNNNNNNNNNNNNNNNNNNNNNNNNNNNNNNNNNNNNNNNNNNNNNNNNNNNNNNNNNNNNNNNNNNNNNNNNNNNNNNNNNNNNNNNNNNNNNNNNNNNNNNNNNNNNNNNNNNNNNNNNNNNNNNNNNNNNNNNNNNNNNNNNNNNNNNNNNNNNNNNNNNNNNNNNNNNNNNNNNNNNNNNNNNNNNNNNNNNNNNNNNNNNNNNNNNNNNNNNNNNNNNAGUGGGAAUGCGAAAUUUGAUCAUUGGGUGAGGUGCCUUUCAUUCUCCCUAUAUCCCCGUCGAAACGACUUCUCCAAAUCUGGGAAGGGUCGGUCCUUGCCCGCCCGUGGCGGGGUAAUGCGUCGUUAGAUCUGUGCGACGGCCCGCCUCGGCGUUCGACCAGAGGAAGGAGAAGAAGGCAAAAAAAAAAAAAAAAUUAAAAAAAAUUUUAAAAAUUCGAAAAAAAAUAAAAAAAAAUUAUUUUAAAAAUAAAAAUUACCUCGCCGGCCGGCUGUCCCCUGUCGGCGUCCACGUCAGCGCCGGCCGGCCAAUUUUGGCCGGAUGGACUGAAUUGGCACAAUUAUAAAAGGUUUAGGAUUAAAUUGGACAAAAAAAAGUUUAGGACUGAAUUGGCACAAUUACAAUAGGUUUAUGAUUUUUUUGGUAAUUCUCCCCAUUAUUGAGUGGUUGAAGAAGGAAAUUCGAUCUUAUGACUUGCAAUUAACAUGGCAGCAACUUGAUCUAAAUGUGUAAUGUGCAUUGCAUUUUGUCCUACACUUUUUGACAUGGCCAUUCAAUAAAUGAUGGAGUUCGUCACCACAUCAUUGACUAGUGCUCUAAAUGCCCGUAAUUGUUAGUAAAACUGCUUGAAAUACUCAAUAAUUAAUAGCAAUGUGAUAGUGAUAUCUAAAUUCUUGCUUAAGGUGCAUUAUCGUAAUUGACAUUUAAAUAGAUUUAAUUAGGUCCAACAACUUUGUUACGACCUGCAAUGCUUUUCUGAAUUUUGAAUUGAUUUAGUAGAAUGCUAAACUUUUGUUUANNNNNNNNNNNNNNNNNNNNNNNNNNNNNNNNNNNNNNNNNNNNNNNNNNNNNNNNNNNNNNNNNNNNNNNNNNNNNNNNNNNNNNNNNNNNNNNNNNNNNNNNNNNNNNNNNNNNNNNNNNNNNNNNNNNNNNNNNNNNNNNNNNNNNNNNNNNNNNNNNNNNNNNNNNNNNNNNNNNNNNNNNNNNNNNNNNNNNNNNNNNNNNNNNNNNNNNNNNNNNNNNNNNNNNNNNNNNNNNNNNNNNNNNNNNNNNNNNNNNNNNNNNNNNNNNNNNNNNNNNNNNNGCUAGUGAGAAGUACAGAGGAUUUUGCUGUUCUUUUCAAAGCAUAGCAAACAAAUCCAUUCUCCAUUUCACAUGAUUUCCAUUGAAUCACGAAGAAGGCGCAAAAGGUUUAUCCUAAUCCCAAACCCUUCUCAAACUUAAGACGAUACUAAAUAUUUGAAAAUGAUUUAGGAACCUCAUUAAUUUAUAACCAAUCGAAAGUUUUGUAGCGACAAUGCUCCUCAGCCAAAGCGUAGGACCUACUUGAUAAAUUGGAAGGCCGGGCAUAUCAUUGGACUUUAACUGACAAUGUUGAAUUUUAGGACCAAAAUUCGAAAACUAGUGGUCUCACUGCCCCUCUAUUCGAUGGUACAUUCGUUGAUGAAAUCAAUUGGAUUUGCAAUUUUCAAAGAGACUCAAAAAUUAAAUUGAAAUUCGUACUGGAUGAUAAGAUUAAAAGCAUAUGACCAUUCCGUUUGCACAGCCACAAGCAUUUGCCUUUUAUUGAUCGAACCUUGUUGCUUCGACGUUGGAAACAGGUUUUUUUCUCCUCGUAUAUCCCUAUGCAACAGAAGUUUGAAGGAACUAUCAGCUGUCGGCAAACUGAGUAGCUUCAUUUGGGUGCAUAAAAUUUUUUAUUGAAAUCGCGGACAAACUGUUGAAUACAUCAGAAGACGGAUUUGCAUAUAGAUGAAUAGCACAAAGGGAUAUCACUUGCUUACUUCAGGCCAACUGAAAAAAGGGUGAAAGAGUCCUGGCAGCUCUAUAUCACUUUUCUUAAUAGGGCCGUCUAUAAAAUAUAUCGAGAAUUUAAGCCCAUUGAACAAAGCCCGACUAAUGAAAAUGCGUGAACUCGACCAUGUACAAGUCAAAAAUUGGCAUACCAGAAUUGGCUGGCCAAGAUUUCAAAAAGCGUGAAGAAAAAUCAAUUACAUGUGACUUUGUUGCCUUCUCCAAUUCCAAUAUAUCGUGCAUGUUGGAUUCUUUGGCACGCUGAAUUUGUUGCCCUAGAAGAAGGGGCUCACACACACGCAUACAUAUAUACACCUGAUCAUAUUUUACUUUAAAUUAAUUUACUUAGGUUCAAGAACUUUAUUCUAAUAUGCAAUGCAUUCAUGCUUUCACAUGAUUUGUUUAGAUGUCCUACACUUUUGUUUAGUACGUGAAUUGGUCCAUCUCUAGAACUUUAGUUUGUUCAAUUAUGUCUCUUGAAAUUAUUUUAGUAUGUUCAUGUGUCUUAUGCCCGUUGAUUAUCGAAAGGAAAUGGCCACAAUGGACAACAAUCAACUGAAGUCGCUGGAUAAAAAAAUUAUACAAAUGGAUUUCGUGUGUGUAAUAUGUAUCCCAAAUGAUAAAAAAAAUAAUACUCAUUCAUUUCUUAUGUAUAAUUCAUUUGAAACAAAAGAUUUGCUCGGUCACUUUAAAUGGUGAUUCUUAUUCAUCAUCCGAAAAUGUCAGCUAAGUAUGGAUUUUACUGUUCGUGUCAAAGCAUCGCCAACAUUCCGUUCUCCUUUAACAUAUUACGCUUGGAUCGGGGAGAAAGCACAUUGUUUUGUUAAGUGAGAGGUUUCAUCCUUAUCAGGAAACUUUUUUUGAAAUUAAGAAUGAUAUUUGAAUAUUUGCAAAUAAAUUAGAAACCUCAUUAAUUAAAAACUAAUGACAAGUUCAAGAGGGACAAUGCUCCUUGUGUCACACCCCGAAACCAUCAUAAAUGAGGGUGACACGGCCAUCCUUCCACUCGAAGGACGCAGCCUCAAAGCUCCCAAAAUCCAAUUCCUAAAAGUCCGCUCAUCGAUAUCGCUCUUGUACUACUUAUCGUACUAGUUAUCAUGAGCUGAGGAACCUAAAAAAGAUUGGCAAAUAGGGAGGUGAGCAACCACAGCUCAGUGAGUAGUUCAUCAUUUCUAAACAGAUCGAGCACCCACUAUACAUAUUUACAAAACCAAAGUACAACUCUUUUAACACAAAUCUAGAAUAUAACAAACAAAUAAUACGAGAAUAAGUUAUGUACACUUAAGAAUAGCUACAUUCAUUUCACAAUAACAUCAAAACAAAUAUCAAUGGUCAAAUCCAUUUAUCAAUCUCAUUAAGUCACACGCCAAUGGUUCAUUUCAUUGAUCAGUCUCAUGCCAUAUUUCAAUGGUUUAUUUCAUUGAUCCAUCUCAUAGGAAACCGCAAAUUGAUGAUCCAUUCUAACGACUAAACUCAAAUUACAUGUUAAUGGUCCAUUCUAUUGACCAAUCCAUUGCUCAAUAUCAAACUAUGGUCAUGAUACAAUGCCUAAUGACGGGCAACCAAAAUUUCCCCCUUAAUAAGGUCUCCACCUAUUAUUGGCCGUGACUCAGCCCACAAUGAUACAUUAGACUAGUAUGUACAUACCCACAAGCCUCUCGCUAGACUGGCAGCAAUAUUGAGCAUUAAUAUCAAUCCAAAACAAUACCAUCCAUAAUUCACAAACCAAAUCCAUAAAUCAUUUUUUAUAUCACCAAAAGAUUUCACAACUAUUUUUUAUGCCAGGUUAGGCAGACAAUGANNNNNNNNNNNNNNNNNNNNNNNNNNNNNNNNNNNNNNNNNNNNNNNNNNNNNNNNNNNNNNNNNNNNNNNNNNNNNNNNNNNNNNNNNNNNNNNNNNNNUUAUGUUCUGAGAUUCUUACACAAAGUGCCGAAGAGAAAAUGAAACAAGAAGAGAGGAGAGAGCAAGCUCAUAUAUAGAGGCUUUCCGGGUUCGAAUGUCUCUCUCUGUGUUCAUAUGUUUGAGCUACUUUGCAGCCUCCAAUCUGCUGCCUAUAGUCGACUAGCCCAUCGGGGUGGGUAGAGGGAAGACAAUGCCGAUUACAUUCUUGAGAGAAUUCUAGUGUUUGCCAAUUCUUCUCACCUAAGCCUCAAUCUACGACUGUAGUUGGAUGAAUGUGUCACGACUGAGCAGGAACACUGACCAGACGUCAAUCAUUUGCAACUGAUCAUAUGGAGAAAUCUGGAGUUAAAACAGAGAAAAAGGAUAAUGGUUGAUUGAUGAAGGUAUCAUCUGAGUAAAGUGCUUCACAAACUGUUCGGAGCUAACUCCAAUUACUGGUCAACCAUGACGAAGAGUGACAUUAUUCGUUCGAAUGAGACACAGUAGAAAAGCGUUGGUCACCUGAUUAAAUCCGUCUGGCCAAACUAUGGACACGGCCUAGUUUCCCAUUGGCUGAAUCUCUUCUGGUUCGAUGUCUUCCGGAACAUUGGAAUACUGCAGUUUUUGCUCCCCUGUCCACUCAUCCUGAUGUGCAGAUAAGUGGCAUAAGAAAGAAUCUCUUCACUAGUCCAAGUCACAAUAUCUAAGACAAGCACAGGACAAGUAGAAACUUCGGAAGGAAUAACUUAAGCUAAAUUCCACCACUAAUCUUCAUUGAUUUUGAGGGAUUAGACUGGAGAAUAACCGCUGUUAUACUCUGAAUCCCUAUGCUGUUCGGCAUUUAUCAGCAUGACAAAGGAUGCCAAAGGAGGGGAAAUCAGAGUAAAAACUUUUGAGGCAAGAAGUAUUUUUAGUCGACUGAAUAGAUUUAAAUGAAGAAGUUCAAUACUCUAAAAUCUACCAUGCCAAAUCACUAAUACUCAAGAAUUCAGUUGAUAGAACACUCGGAUUACUGAGAUCUGGUAUGGUUAGUUUAAACCAUCACGUGAAGAUAAGAGGUAAGGUUUGAGUGAAAACAUGCUCGACCUUCAUGUACAGGUGCUUGGAUUAUGGGUAAUGGCGUGAAAGCUGCUCAAAUCCACUUAUCUACAUUUUCAAAAUGCAACUGUAGACCUCUGAUUNNNNNNNNNNNNNNNNNNNNNNNNNNNNNNNNNNNNNNNNNNNNNNNNNNNNNNNNNNNNNNNNNNNNNNNNNNNNNNNNNNNNNNNNNNNNNNNNNNNNNNNNNNNNNNNNNNNNNNNNNNNNNNNNGGUUAUGCGUGAUUGUGUUGACACCGCUGCAAUAAAAACCUACAUAUCAGAGGAUUUUUCCAGGUCAAAGGAAAGUCCUUAUACCACAAUUUGAGCUGAUCGGUUGUUUCUUCUCAUGGUCGUGGGGUGUAGAAAGAACUCCUCGUCUGAAUCUGGAACCUUCGCUUUGAUUGCCUUGAUAACUUUAUCAUGAGUUACGGCUGUUGACACUGGAAAGGAAGAUGACACUUUGAAUCAUUUGAUUAUGAAAGCCAAAAAUAAAAAAGAUAUGCAAUUUCUGAAGGUAUUCCUUUAGUUCAAUCGUCGGAGGGGAGAUGAGCCUAAAAUUUUAGUGGCAAAUGACGAACUGGGAAAGUUCUCAUCUUAGGAAUCUAGUUAGACACUGGCACUGGAUUCUCGAAACACAGAUAUCUCUCUCAACCUUUAUCAAGAAAUUGUCUUAACCUAAUAAAUAUAAACUACCUUGUUGACGAAUCUUGGCACACUGUUGCACAACACACACUCCAAGGUCCUGGAAUGUCUUGGCAACUUCUCCUAGAGGAUCUGCCACAACUUCUGGCAUUCCACUAUCUCCAAAAGCUGAUAACUAAUAUCAAUGGAAGAAAUCAUUAUUAUUCAUCAUGCUUCAACAGGAGUAAGAAUGGACAUUAAGAGAACAAAGGCACAACAAUGAGAGAUAAGAUCAAAGAACUUGUCAGAGGAUAUACCGUUGGUCUAAUGGGAAGAUUGAAUAAAUGAGGAAUUCCGAACUGCUGGAAAACCUGUAAAUAAAUCCAGCACAAUCUGAGGAAACAGAGAAUAUGCUUCAUCCUUUAACACCAGUGUAACCCUAGGAUUAGCGCUCUGGCAUUCCAUUGUAACAAGUAAACCAAACAAUAGGUAAUCCGAGAAACAUACCUGAGAGCCUGAUCCUCUACCAAGUGGGUAAUAGUGCUUUCCAUCGGCAUCAAAGUGGCACAUAUUUUCCACAACAGCAUCAUGGUACCUGUGUGCAUGAACAGUGGAUUGUCAAAAGAUGACUCUUUGAUAGAUAAAAAGAGAUCAACUAUAGGGCACCGAGAGGGGAAGGGAGGGUUGCAAACCCUAUACAAAAAGAGCCCAAAACUAAAGACAUACACAAAACAGCUCACAAAAACGAAAAAAGGAGCUCAAAUUAAGGAUAAAUCACUGAUGAUAUCAACUAGAACUAUACAUCCAUAUACAAGUUUCCACUGUACCAAAAAUGUAUAACUUUAAGCCAAUUUUCAAUAACAUUCUGUCCAAUAAUUGUCACGGUGAAUUUGUAUCUUUUAAAUUACAUUUCCAUGUUUCAUCAUAUUUUCAGAAUUCUUGACAAAUGAUUCAAAGGAUAAUCAAAGGAUAGUGUUGAAUGGGGAUUGUCAAUAGUACAAAGGCACAAACCUGAAGUUUUGAGAACAUGCGAAUUCCCUUUGCUACAUUUAUAAAUGCAAGCUUUUGAGGGGUGGUAACAAUGACGGCAGCUGUUAAGGGUACAACCUGAAAAGUUAAUAUCAUUACAUUAAGAUUGAAAACUGCAGCAACAAACAAAACUUGCAAGAGUAUUAUCUGAUGCAAAAUGCCUGCAACUAGCAGCUUCUAAUUGUAAAGAUGUGCUUUGUUCGUAAAAGGAUAGAGGGAUAAACAUUAAACCGUUCAUAAUUACUGAUCUAAGAUGAAAAGGCACAAAAUGCGAACCUGGCAUAAUGUAAGCUGAAUGUCGCCAGUCCCCGGUGGCAUGUCAAUAACAAGGUAAUCCAACUCACCCCUGCAAGGGGAGUUUAGUAAUGCUUAGCUGCAGAAGCCCGACCCAGAAGCCAAAAAAAGGAGAAUGAUGAGAGAAAAUCAUUGUUUUUGAUUAACUGUAGUUUACUUUGAAUCAUGCACUUCUCUUAUAGGAAUAUAAUACGCUUUGACAACAAUGACAGUGAACAGAAAUUUGAAUAUAAUAACCACAGCAUGCAAGCAUGACGGACAUUCCCCUGCAAUCAGCCAACGUCAUAGAGUUCCAAUGAUUUUUCAUACCACUCGGUAGUAGUCAAGAGUUGGUUGAUGACACCAGAAACCAUUGGACCUCACAUAAUCGCACGGCCUUGUCCAGCAAAUCCAAAAGAUACCAGCUUCACUCAUAGGUAUUCUGUGGGAAUUCUGCUUCUUUUCUCUGGGUUCUAGAAAAGGUAGGUGGAAAUAAUAAAUGCAUUACUUCACUAAACUAGAAAUUAAUUUCAUUGUAGUGGAAGUGGAACUAUAAGCUUUAUUACCAUUUCCAGAAGUCGGUUAUCAGGGGAAACCAUUGUUGGUAAACUUGGACCAUACACAUCGGCAUCGAAAAUACCAACUCGAGCUCCCAUUCCAGCCAAAGUAUAUGCAAGAUUUACAGCUACAGUUGAUUUUCCCACACCUCCCUAAACAGUUCUGACAGACAGCAGUCAUGAUAGAAGAAAUUAAAGAAUAGUACUUUUUAAUAUUAGUAACCUAACAACAUGUCAAACCACAAUUUGGACCAUCCCACGGGCCUUCCCUUCCUUGCGCACGUCCGGGGACCAAGGCACGGACGCACCGCCAUCCCUCCUCCCCGCGUGGCCCCACACACGAUCGGGAGUCGGCUCUGAUACCAUUUGUAACGACUCGGGCCCCAUUUUGAAUAUUGUCCGCUUUGGACACUGAGUUAAAACGCGUUAAAGCAAAGGCAGAGGACCAUCCCGCAGGCCUUCCCUCUCCCAAGCCAUAAUAUUGUCCUCUUUGGGUCCCACAUUAGCGCGGAUGCACCGCCGACCCAAUCAAGCCACCCUCAAGGCUUUGUUCUCAGCAUAGCGGAAGCAUGUGUGAAAUGCAUUACGCAAAUUAAAAGGGCUCAAACCUUUAUAAACAAGCUCAGGACUCCCUUCUAAGCGAUGUGGGACUAAAGAGGGACCCCUUCCCCUUUAUUGCGCACGUUCGGGGACCGAGGUAUGGACGCACCGCCAUCCCUUCUCCUUCUGCACCAUCGCUUGGGCUGUCACAUUGGUUGUCCCAAAAUCAAGCCAAAAAAUGACACGGGCACAAAGCUGCUGGACGCGUGGAAAUUCAAAAUUUUGUUUCGGACAAACCAUAAGCUCAAAUCACGAUCCGUUUUGCUGGACGCGUGGAAAUUCAAAAUUUUGUUUUGGACAAACCAUAAGCUCAAAUCACGAUCCGUAAAAUCCUAUGGCUCCACAACACCCUAAACUAUCAUUUCUAUAAAAAUAUACGGCUCAACAACUCCAAAAUCGGACCCCACCGCUCAAUUUUCCCAAAAUUCCGAAUUUCAAGCCCUAAUUCCGAAACUACUCCAAUUGGAAGGAUGAAGGCUGCGAUCACUUACCAGGUGUUGUAAAUAAGCUCAGUGAGUUGCCCGUAGCGUGAACACACAAAGCCUCUCUCUUCUUUCUUCUUCUUCUUCUUCUUUCCUCUUUUAUUCUGCCUAACCUUCUGCCUGAACGUGGGCUUUCUUUUCCUUUUUAUCUCUUCCCCUUUUUGUUUUCUUUUUCUUUCUUUAUUUAAAGUGGGUCCCACCACCUUUUCUUUGACCUAAUAAAAAAUCUCGAAUAUUACACAAACUGAGUAGCCUUAAGCGGAGUGCAUAAGAUUUUCAAUUAAAAUCAAUGACAAUCUGUUGUAUGCUUUAGAAGACGAAAUUGCAAACGGAUGAACUGCAAUAAGAGAUAUCACGUGCUUCAAGUCGAUUGAAAAAACCAAGUGCUUAAGAGUCCUUGCAGCAGAAUAUUGCUUUCGUGAAAUAGGGCCUUUGGCGAAUUGAUUACAAGCAGAUCAUACUUGUCGAACGGAGUUAAAUGCGCAGGAAUAGUAGUUCAGAUUUGUCAACAAACAAGGCGUAGUGUUUAAACUUUAAUGACUAGGAUACAGAUCAAACAACCAAUACCUCAGUGUUUCACAAUUUAUGCACAGCCUGGGCGUGAAGGGAGCAAUGGAGCAAACGGAUGCAUUAAACCUAGAGUACUCCCAAACUUUUUAANNNNNNNNNNNNNNNNNNNNNNNNNNNNNNNNNNNNNNNNNNNNNNNNNNNNNNNNNNNNNNNNNNNNNNNNNNNNNNNNNNNNNNNNNNNNNNNNNNNNNNNNNNNNNNNNNNNNNNNNNNNNNNNNNNNNNNNNNNNNNNNNNNNNNNNNNNNNNNNNNNNNNNNNNNNNNNNNNNNNNNNNNNNNNNNNNNNNNNNNNNNNNNNNNNNNNNNNNNNNNNNNNNNNNNNNNNNNNNNNNNNNNNNNNNNNNNNNNNNNNNNNNNNNNNNNNNNNNNNNNNNNNNNNNNNNNNNNNNNNNNNNNNNNNNNNNNNNNNNNNNNNNNNNNNNNNNNNNNNNNNNNNNNNNNNNNNNNNNNNNNNNNNNNNNNNNNNNNNNNNNNNNNNNNNNNNNNNNNNNNNNNNNNNNNNNNNNNNNNNNNNNNNNNNNNNNNNNNNNNNNNNNNNNNNNNNNNNNNNNNNNNNNNNNNNNNNNNNNNNNNNNNNNNNNNNNNNNNNNNNNNNNNNNNNNNNNNNNNNNNNNNNNNNNNNNNNNNNNNNNNNNNNNNNNNNNNNNNNNNNNNNNNNNNNNNNNNNNNNNNNNNNNNNNNNNNNNNNNNNNNNNNNNNNNNNNNNNNNNNNNNNNNNNNNNNNNNNNNNNNNNNNNNNNNNNNNNNNNNNNNNNNNNNNNNNNNNNNNNNNNNNNNNNNNNNNNNNNNNNNNNNNNNNNNNNNNNNNNNNNNNNNNNNNNNNNNNNNNNNNNNNNNNNNNNNNNNNNNNNNNNNNNNNNNNNNNNNNNNNNNNNNNNNNNNNNNNNNNNNNNNNNNNNNNNNNNNNNNNNNNNNNNNNNNNNNNNNNNNNNNNNNNNNNNNNNNNNNNNNNNNNNNNNNNNNNNNNNNNNNNNNNNNNNNNNNNNNNNNNNNNNNNNNNNNNNNNNNNNNNNNNNNNNNNNNNNNNNNNNNNNNNNNNNNNNNNNNNNNNNNNNNNNNNNNNNNNNNNNNNNNNNNNNNNNNNNNNNNNNNNNNNNNNNNNNNNNNNNNNNNNNNNNNNNNNNNNNNNNNNNNNNNNNNNNNNNNNNNNNNNNNNNNNNNNNNNNNNNNNNNNNNNNNNNNNNNNNNNNNNNNNNNNNNNNNNNNNNNNNNNNNNNNNNNNNNNNNNNNNNNNNNNNNNNNNNNNNNNNNNNNNNNNNNNNNNNNNNNNNNNNNNNNNNNNNNNNNNNNNNNNNNNNNNNNNNNNNNNNNNNNNNNNNNNNNNNNNNNNNNNNNNNNNNNNNNNNNNNNNNNNNNNNNNNNNNNNNNNNNNNNNNNNNNNNNNNNNNNNNNNNNNNNNNNNNNNNNNNNNNNNNNNNNNNNNNNNNNNNNNNNNNNNNNNNNNNNNNNNNNNNNNNNNNNNNNNNNNNNNNNNNNNNNNNNNNNNNNNNNNNNNNNNNNNNNNNNNNNNNNNNNNNNNNNNNNNNNNNNNNNNNNNNNNNNNNNNNNNNNNNNNNNNNNNNNNNNNNNNNNNNNNNNNNNNNNNNNNNNNNNNNNNNNNNNNNNNNNNNNNNNNNNNNNNNNNNNNNNNNNNNNNNNNNNNNNNNNNNNNNNNNNNNNNNNNNNNNNNNNNNNNNNNNNNNNNNNNNNNNNNNNNNNNNNNNNNNNNNNNNNNNNNNNNNNNNNNNNNNNNNNNNNNNNNNNNNNNNNNNNNNNNNNNNNNNNNNNNNNNNNNNNNNNNNNNNNNNNNNNNNNNNNNNNNNNNNNNNNNNNNNNNNNNNNNNNNNNNNNNNNNNNNNNNNNNNNNNNNNNNNNNNNNNNNNNNNNNNNNNNNNNNNNNNNNNNNNNNNNNNNNNNNNNNNNNNNNNNNNNNNNNNNNNNNNNNNNNNNNNNNNNNNNNNNNNNNNNNNNNNNNNNNNNNNNNNNNNNNNNNNNNNNNNNNNNNNNNNNNNNNNNNNNNNNNNNNNNNNNNNNNNNNNNNNNNNNNNNNNNNNNNNNNNNNNNNNNNNNNNNNNNNNNNNNNNNNNNNNNNNNNNNNNNNNNNNNNNNNNNNNNNNNNNNNNNNNNNNNNNNNNNNNNNNNNNNNNNNNNNNNNNNNNNNNNNNNNNNNNNNNNNNNNNNNNNNNNNNNNNNNNNNNNNNNNNNNNNNNNNNNNNNNNNNNNNNNNNNNNNNNNNNNNNNNNNNNNNNNNNNNNNNNNNNNNNNNNNNNNNNNNNNNNNNNNNNNNNNNNNNNNNNNNNNNNNNNNNNNNNNNNNNNNNNNNNNNNNNNNNNNNNNNNNNNNNNNNNNNNNNNNNNNNNNNNNNNNNNNNNNNNNNNNNNNNNNNNNNNNNNNNNNNNNNNNNNNNNNNNNNNNNNNNNNNNNNNNNNNNNNNNNNNNNNNNNNNNNNNNNNNNNNNNNNNNNNNNNNNNNNNNNNNNNNNNNNNNNNNNNNNNNNNNNNNNNNNNNNNNNNNNNNNNNNNNNNNNNNNNNNNNNNNNNNNNNNNNNNNNNNNNNNNNNNNNNNNNNNNNNNNNNNNNNNNNNNNNNNNNNNNNNNNNNNNNNNNNNNNNNNNNNNNNNNNNNNNNNNNNNNNNNNNNNNNNNNNNNNNNNNNNNNNNNNNNNNNNNNNNNNNNNNNNNNNNNNNNNNNNNNNNNNNNNCAUAUCUCGAGUGACUAACAAACUAAACCCAAAAAGUAUCAUUACAAAUUACACAUAUAAUUAUCUCAAGUUAUACCCAAAAUUAAAUUUCUAAGAUUCUUCCAUUGAUGCAGCAUUCCUCCUAUUUGCCGACAGCUGAAAAAAAAUUGAGAUGAAUGGUAUAAGCAAACCACCUCUCAAUAAAUAGUGCAUGUCUCUUCUCAAUAAAUUGAGCAUUAGCUAUGCACAUUAUAAACAGUCACAGAAACACAACCAACUCCAAUAUAUAAUAUAUGUAAAAGUCUAAAUAUGAGUUACAUCACUUCAACAAUGUUUUCAACAUAUUAGAAAUGCUCAUUCAAUCAACAAUAUUUAAAAAAACAUCUAUGGUCUAGUCUAUUGAUCACUCUACUACUUCAAAUCAAACUAUAGCCACGUUUAACGCACCAUGACAAGGCUUACCAAGAUUCCCUCCUAGGCAUAGGUCUCCACUAAUGUCAGCCGGUGGCUUUGGCCAUUCAAGACAUCCUGAGAACAUGUAUGCUUACUCACAACUCUUCAAUGAUUUCAAAUCAUAAAGACGAGGAUAAAACCAUCAACGUAAUCCUAUCAACAACAAACUCAUUUCAGAAUUCAUUUAAUUAACCAGAGUCACAAAUCGAUGCAACCUUUCGCAAUUCCAUCCACAAGAACAAUGCAUUCAUGAAAAAAUUUCUUAAACCAAUUCAUAAAUAAUCAGCUCUUCAACUAUUUCAGGAUAUAUUUUACUGUGCUCUUUCGAAAAACCAAAUAGAUAGUAAAUGCAAGAUCCAGCUUUAUACAACAAAGACGCUCUAAACACCAUUUUUUAAAAAUAAAUAUUGUCCCAUGCAAUGUCUCAUUCAUAACUUAUAGAUACAAAUCAUAGAAAAGAUAAGCACCGCUCCUCGCUAACCAAGAGCCAAAUUAAAAGCUUUACUGCUCGAAAAGCUCAAAAAUCCUAUCAAGUAAAGCACCAACCAAAUGCCAAACUUACAUAUUACUAACCUCAACUAAGAUUCUAUUAGGUGACUCUAAUUUUUGGAUUCAAAAUGUCCACUAUGAGUCGACAAAAAGGCCCACAAGCAUCAAACUUGGUAUAGCAAAUAAAGCAGCAACCUUUUAUGCUGCGAAUUCUCUACCAAACUCUGCUUCAAUUGAGUUUACAAUCAAAAGAGAGCUCAUUCAAAAUAUUAAAAGACCCAAAACUCCUUAGAACCAAAAUUUGGCCGAUAACUGAUGAAAUCCGAGGACGAAACCCUACCGGUUGCAGUCACUGUACAUUAGUUUUUGAGAACUUCAAAGAAUCAGUAUCUCUCAAACGGCAAUCCGUAAAAUCUCACGAUUCUAAGACAACUUAACGUUUCGAAACAACACCAUUUUAGGGCUCAGCAAUCUCAAGAAUCAAGUUAACAACCCUAAAACCCGAACCAAUCCGAAAUUGUAACUUAACACAGCAAAUCUCUUUGAUUCAUUAGAUGUAUCAAGGUCUCAAAUUCUUACCGAGUGCUCCAAAAUGGUAUCAACCUAGCUCAUCGUGGCCUUCGAACCGAGUCGCGCCAAAAGCCCCCUUCCGCUCACUCUCUUUUUCCACUCUCUUUUCUUCUGUUUUCUCCUUCUUUUACCGCUUCGAUCCUUUCUCUCUUUCUGCUCUUGAUUUUUCCUAUGAAACAGCUCGAGAAGGGAAACAGAAGAUGGGCUAAGUGCCUAGCACCGAAAUCAUCUCUUUCAGAAGAGGCCCUUUGUGGGCUGAGGCCUUCUUUUUAAGGUGAGGCCCAUAGUUUGUCAAGAAGGCCCGAAAGAUCUACUGGGCCCAUCCUUUCUCUAUCAUAAACGACGCUUUGGUCGUCGAAACCAUCUAACAACGGGCAUCCCAAAACAUCCUUAUGACAUGCAUUUGGUAUAUUUUGCAAUGAUUUACAAGAUACGACUCUCAACCGACAUAGCUUCUCUAGCUUGAGAGCAUCAGGGAUGGGCCUUUCCGUGGAACUGCAAUCUCCAGUUGAUGAUGGUUCGGAUUUGAUCUCAAUUAGUUGUGGGCAGUUGUUCACGCUAAGCACUUGGUGCUCCUUCAAGCUCGAUAGAUUGGAUAGCCUCACAAGCAUCUUGCACUCGCUCACUUCUACAUGUUGGAGAAUCUCUAGCUGUCCGAGCACAUUGUCAAACUCGAUCUCUCUUAACCGACAGCGAAAGAACUUUAAUCUAGACAAAUUGCCCAGGUUGGAGAACAUUGACCAUUCUAUUGGGAUCUUCACAUCUCUUAAGGUCAAGUCUACUAAUCUAGAUGGAAGCCCAGUCAGAGCCCGUGGGUUGGUACAAGCUAUUUCAAGAUCCUCGAGCUGAGAAAGAGAGCUCAAGUCAAUCGGAUGCAUGUUGGAAUUGGAAAGAACCACAAUCAACGUCUGCAAUUUAUGAAGCCUUUCGAGCCACUCUAAGUUCAAAUGUAGAAUUUGUCCUUGUUCAAUUAUGGACAACUCACAUCUAUAAUCGUAAUCACUUAUUGCCAGAUAAUCUAAAUUAGUGAGGUUUGAGAGGUUUGGUGCUGCCUGCAACGAUGAAGACACUAACCUUAGUUUUGUUAAACCUGUGGGGAGAUUUGGUAGUAAUUGAAGCCCCAUACAAAACCAUAAAUCAAGUUUUCUAAGGUUAAAGAGUCGAUUCAUUAUCACUGGCAGUCUAUGAACCUUUGUCCAGGAUAGGUCCAAAAUCUUCAAUUGGGAUAGUCCUGAGAUUUCACUUGGAAUUUCACCCUUGAGAUUUUUACAGUUGUUGGCAUAUAGCUUCUCAAGAUUCUUUAGAAUCCAUAUGCUCUUCGGUAACUCUCUUAUCUUAGUACAAGACAAAUUCAUGAUCUGCAACUGUUUAAGGUUGCCAAUAGAAUAGGGUAAUUUUACAAUCUUUGUAAGAGAGAGAGCCAAUUCGAGGAGCAAUUCUAGUCUUCCGAUGGAAUCUGGUAAUGCAUUUAUACCAGUGCAAGAUAAAUCCAAAUGGAGGAGCGAUCUCAAGUCUCCAAUGGAAUCUGGAAGCUCUCUAAGGUUGUGACACUUAUGUAGAGAUAGAUGCUUCAAACCAAAUAGCUCUCCUAUUGAGUGCGGAAGUUUUAUAACACCAUCAUGCUUUUCCACCUUCAGCACUAACAAGGACUUCAAACCACCAAUCGUUUUUGGUAUUAGACGAAUGACUGGAAUAGAAUCUCUAUUUGGCAUAUGUACCUCCCCACUAAUUUCCAAACACUUUAGGUGGCCCAGCUGAUUAAUAGUGCUGUCGAUUUCUUCCAAUCUUGUACAAUAUUUGAGAACCAGUUUUUUUAAAUUCAUGCACUUGGAGAAGUUAGGUGUCCUCUUUAAAAGAUUGCAGCUUGUGAGAUAUAUGACUUUUAGGUUGUCAUUCACCUAUAAAACAACCAAUUAUUGGGGAAAUUAAUGGCAUAGGCAAAGGUCAACUCAAUGCAAAUGCUUACACACAUAAAGGAAAAAGAAUGCAUUAUAUGAAAGUAUACCAUGCAUGCUCCCCAUCCAUUCCAGUCUUCAGUAAUAUUGCUCUUUGAAAGCUUGAGAAAAGCCAACUUCCUUAGACAUAAACCAAUGGCACGUAGGUUUGAAGGGCAAUGAUGCCAUGAGAGCCAUGUUAGAUUAGAGAGAAGAUUUUUAAAGUCUCCUACAAAGUUUCCCCCAUUCAAUUCGAGGAACCUUAAACUUGGUAGCCUUGAAAAUUCGCCACUUGUAAAAUUAUGUCCGUCAACAAAUCUUGUCAGUUUGAGUGCUAUAAUGUUGUCUGUUCCCUGAUAUCACCAUAGCAACAAGUUAGCAACAUGAUUGAACCAUUCAGAGUAAGUACUAAAUAUCAAAAUAGGAAGCACAUAUCUAGAUUCAACUAAUAGUAAACAUGAGUGAACCAACAAAAAAACAGGGCACAUAGAUAUUAUCUUAUACAAAAAGGGGCAAACUCCAUGAAUCAUCAUCUCUUCCAUUUACAUGGGAGUCAUAAUGGUAAAAAUUAGUUCUUUUGGAAUUUUGUUCAUUUCUCUCAAAUUAUGCAAAAUCAUGAGUGUCCUAUGUGCAAAAAUGAGCGAACAUUUUGAGUGAAAAUGAAGUCUAAAAUGCACACAACUGCAUGUUCAGUUUUUUCAAAAGCAAUUUACUUCUUUACUAAGACAUACCAUGUUAUUCUGAACCACUUCUAAGGCGAUCGUUGGACACCACAACCUACUGCGCUUUCCAGGAACUGUAAAGCAUUCUUGCUGAACAAUCUCUCUUCCAAGAUCUCUGAGUUGGUUGUGCAUCCAUAGUCUAUCAUCUUUGGAAACUUUUAUCAAAGAUAAAUGAAUAAGAAUAUGGAGUCCAGUAAUUGGAAAAAAUUCACAAGCUUUCCACAUGUAAUAUGCAGGGAUUCUUUCUUCACCAAUGCAAUGACAUGCGAUGUCAAGAAAAAUUUGUUGCUGCUCAUAUUCUAACUCUUUGUAACUUAUCAACAACUUUUUCUGGACAUCCUCAUGGGGCACUUCCCGCAACUUCUGCAAUGUAUUUUUCCAUGUUUUCUUGCCUUUUGAAUGGAGUAAAGAACCUAUGACCUCGAGAGCCAAUGGUAGUCUUCCGGUAGUUUCGACAAUUUCAUGUGAAAUUUUGAUGUAAUCUUGUGGAGGCGAGUCACUUGCAAAGGAGUGCUUGCUGAAUAGUUGAAGAGCAUGGUAAAAUUGCAAUUGCUUCAUUUCAUGAAAAGAGAAAUCUCGGAGAUGCAUAGGGACGAUAUUGUCAUCUAGUGUGUCGAUUUCAGGAGCCAAAAAGUAGGUGUUUCUAGUUGUGAUAAUAAUUCUACUUCCCGAACCAAACCAACUUGACUCACCAGCUAGAUUCAUGAGUUUGUCUCUCUUGUCCAUGUCAUCAAGAACAAUGAAGGCUUUCUUAUCACCGAGUUUUUGUUUGAUCACAUCCCUCCCCUCAUUGGCAUCCAUAACUUUAGGAUGUUGGAUACCAAGAAUGUCAUGUAAUAAUUUCUUUUGCAAAUUUAAAAUAUCACUUUCACGGAUAUCUGAAAGAAAGCUGCAACUUUGGAACUGGGAAGAGAUACGUUUGAAGAUAGCCUUAACAAGAGUUGUUUUUCCGAUACCGCCCAUACCGUGAAUCACCACAAAUCGUACAUCAAAAGUGUCUACGGCUAACAACUUCAUAACGGUUUCCAUCUGAUCGUGAAUUCCCACCAAACCAUCACACCAGUUUCUCUGCAUAGGCAUCAGCUUACCAAAAACUUCUUCCAGAACAAAGGCUAUAAGUUUAUCUUGGCUGCCAUAUACAUAAUGCAACCGUCUUAGUUUUAGAAACCACAAACAUGCGCAGAAGCAUAAAUAUGUAAAACCAUAAAUUUUGAUUGUUAAAACUAAGCAUGGAUUAUCAGUUUAUUUCAUAUUCAGUCCUCCCCAAGCCGAGAAGAUUGAUCUCAGUUACAGAUAAUGAUGGUUGGAUAUUGAUGUGGGGGGCGGUUCUGAAGAGCUUUUAGAUGGUCAAAUCAGUGACGUUCUAACCUGCGAUGUAUUCAUCAAAACUUGCUCCAUAGCCAAGCGGGCGAACCAGACCAAUUGUUUUGGUUCGUGCAAUGCAUCUAGCUUGACAAAGGGUGAAAAUAGAUCAAAUCGCACAUUAAAUAGAGAGAGCAUUCUUGAGUGGGACCAACACUGACGAAGGUGUCAAUACUUUUUAGUGCAGGAGUUUGGGGCACCACAAUCCCAUAUCGAAUGGGGCACACCUUUUUUAACUAAUUCAUGGGUAAGGUCCACCCUUAAAUGGCCACUCUAAAAUUCUACUGUAAUAGGAAUUAUCACAAGGAAGAAUGGCAUAAGAUGUGAUAGAAACUUUACGCAAAAGUGCUGUCAAUGGAUCGGUUACGAGUUCUGAAAAAUUAUAUGCCUGAUGAAAUGGACUUUAUAAAACGAACAUGGUAAUUUGCACACCAUUUCAACUUCCAUUUGACUUCAGAAUAUUGUUAGAAGGAGCGGGGAGGGGUUGAUCUAUAAAUUGAGUUGUCGUGAUUAAGAAACAAUGAUCUAAAUUUAGAAAUGAAAGUACAACAUUUGUCAUUAAUUACCUGUGAUCUUUUAAGUUAUAUCCCUUGAUUCCAGCGACCUCUAUGAGGGCCUCCUCCCAAUGCUUCGCCAUAUCUUCACCAAACCGUCUCUCAUGCUUUCGUAGGGCCUUACCGUAUGAUCCAGUUCUGAGCUUAAGAUUGGAUGCAUCCACCCCAUAGAAGAUGGGCAAGAUCAAUUUCUUGUCUCUCUUCCUACACUCCACCAUGUGUGCGAGCUCACGGAGACACCAUUUGCUGGAAGCAUAGUUUUCAGAGAAGAUCGGUACGUAGAUUUUUGAAUUGGAGAUUGCUCUCAAAAGCUCGCCUCUGAUCUCUUCCCCAACACGGAGCUCUUCAUCAUCUUUGAAGACACAAAUCCCGGCUCGAAUCAUGGCCGCGUAGAGAGAGUCCGUGAUGGUUAACCGAGUGUCGGGCCCUCUAAAGCUCAAGAACACCUCGUAGUCCCUCCUUGAUGAUGAUGAAGAUUCACCACUGAGGGGGAGAGACUUUCCUUCAGGGCAUUCCAUUCCUGUGAUCUUUGGCCACAAAAGCAAUAUCAAAUUAUUGUGCUUGGUCGAAAUUGCAACUUUCCAGUUUCCUUGCGGCCGUUGCCAAUUUAUAAGAAAACGGUAGACUGACUCUUUUCGUCUUAAAACAACUAUUGACUGAUUUAGGCUCACUGUGAGCGACAGAAGAUGCAAAGAAAGAUCACUACUGCACGCUUCCACGAAAUAACCUACCUCGGACAAUCGUUCUUCACUUGUAGUUUUAUUGCACCUCCUUUUUGUCACACCCCGAACCUCGAGCAUGCGCACAUCCCUCAGCAAUCAAAUGAAAAUGCGACGUCCCAAGACACGUCACCGACCCAUUCUUUUUAUCUUUCAAUUAAGCACAUGCGGAAGCGAAUUAAAUAAACCUCCGGUCAAUAAACAAACCAUCGGGAUAAUAAAGCACAACAAAAAUUGCCAAAAACAACUUAUUUAUUUUUCAACUAUUAACCCUAGGAAGUUUAAUACUUACAAGCCUUUCUACGACCACUUCCUAUCGACCCUUUGCAAAAACCUUCAGGGACUAGGGUUAAUCUAAAGUCCACUAACAGUAGGGCCAGCCAAAAGGUGUCGCAUCUUGCGCCCACCAAACAUUCGUAUGGAUCCCGAUUAUCAAGUAAAACCGUUAUGGCACGUCCCAUACCAUGCCUUACAAUUUUUUCCCAUAAUCAAGCGCAAAGCAGUACAAUCAUACACACGUGUUUUGAUUAUACGACCCCUCGGGCCAUGGCUAACACAAGAGUCGGCGGUCUUUUGGCAUAACCGGGCAUCUUCCCGCCCCAUCGGGCACGGCAUCAUCCUAUGUAUUCAUACGCCUCAGGAUGGCAUUCCAUUAAGGAACUUCGUUCCGAAAUCCAUCUGUGAACGACAUCCCGUUGACUUGGGGGCAUCCGAACUUAAUCAGGCAUCGUCUCGCGUAAACGCAUUAGGACGGAUUCACUACCCCGCAUAAACGCAUCAAGGUCUUUAGGUGAUCACACAAGCAUACCAUCACUCAAGUCCAUUAUUUUCUUUCUCAUUAGCCAAGAACACAAAAAUCCUUUUUGCAAAUAAUAAACUUGGCAACUCUUUUUUUUUCUCUUUAAAACUCUUUGAAAUAAAUUCAUAUGUGGUCACGUACUCAAAAUCAAUCCAUUAAACUUUGCACGCUUCUACUAUAAAAUCUCCUCGUUUUAUUGAGCACAUAAAAUUUGGCGUCCAAACCCGACACCUCAUUUUUUUUCUAUUUUCUUUUCCAACCACCCCUUUUUGGAACUAAACUUGUGUAAUCUCCUUUUUCUUCUUUAAAACUUUUGGAACGUUCGUAGGCGCUCUCGUACUCAAAAUAAAUCUGUCAAACUUUGCACGCACCUAGUUUAAAACCUCAUUGUUUUAUUGAGUAAAUAAGUUUUGGUAUGCAAACAUGACACCUAAAUUUUCUUUCUAUUUAAAUGCCCAUAAAACCAUCUUUUGCAAUAAAAAUAGAUAAUUAUCAUAAAACAAUCAAUCACAUAAUAUUGUACGUGCAGCAUUCAAAAUCACGCAUAAGUUCUCAGCAUGCCAAAAAUCAACCAAAUCACAAAAUAUACAUUUUCGAGCAAGCAAGAUACCAAAAACAACCACAAGACUACAACCAGCCCUCAUUGGCAGAAACCGAGUCCACUCGCACGUCUCCAAGAUUAAUUCUAGAAAUAUAACCAAACGAAUUCAGAAAAUUCUCAAAUUUAAAUAUGUUAUAAAGAACACUUAAACAAACACUUUUUAUGAAGACACCUUAACUCAGAUUUUUCUGGAAUAUGAGAAGUAAAUCGCUCAAAUUAUUAUCAAAACUGUGUCCGUGUCCAGAAAUUACGUUUUCCAAAAUCAGCUUGGUUCGAGGUCCAAAACUUAUCCGUUUGCUCUGAAAUUUGACUAUGUUAAACUUAAAGAUGUGAUGAAAAACUUUUGUGAAGAAACUCUGUCAAAAAUCGAACCCUGAGAGUUGAUAAAAAUUCUUUAAACACCAAAAGGUCACGGGUUCUAGCACAAAACGAGAUUCUGCCUUGCAUAUAACGAAGUUGAAAUCUUGUUAUUUUAAAUUCAGAAAAUCUUGAGUAAAAUAUAUGUCAUAAAUGAAUAUGUUUAGAACAUUUUUCAAGGAAGAAGCAACCUCAAAGUCGUAGCACAUCUACGAAAAUAGCAAACAGCGAGUGUCCAAUAAACAGAUUUGAAGAGAAAUCCAGACUCAGCUCCUUUGAACACAUCUUUUGCAAGCUUAGUAGCCAUAAACCUUCAAGGAACUCACAUGCAAGACUUUCCACACAUCACAUUGUAGAUGCAAGCUAAAAUCCUACAUAGAUCUAGCUCCUAUAACUCGAAAAUCCAUUAGAUUGGGCUAAACCACCCUCAUUAGUACUAAUCUAACUACUCCUAGGAGCAAUUAAUGGCAUAAUUAAAGAUUAGGAAGUUAACUUACUGUUUUCGACGGCGACGGGCUCACGGCGACAGCAACGCGACGACGAUGAAAACACAAGACAACCGUGACUCGAACGGAGGCUCGACAGUGGCGAUGUCGGCCCUACAAGCUCUUGGCCAAGGGGGGCUUGGAUCGGCUUGGGGCUGUUCUCGAUGGCUGCUGGCGGUGCUGGAUGCUGGGGGCUGCUGGGCUAGAACAGACGCUAGACGGCUGGACGUUGGUGGGGUUGCAGGCGUGAAGAUGGAGAUGGCGUGUGGGGGUAGCUGGCGGUGAUGAUGCAGCAAGAUGAUGAAGGUGGCAGCGUGCGGUAGCAGAAGGAAGGGGAUGAGACUGGCGGUGGAGGAUGAAGAUGGGAUGAUGAGGGUGCAACAAGAAGAUGGGAAGGUGGGCUGGUGCAAGGUGGCGGCUUGGUGGAUGUGGCAGAAAAAGGAAGGAAAAGGGAGAAGCAGGUCAAGGUGGAGAGGAAAUGAAAUGGAGGGAAGAAGUGGGCGUGAGGAAGAAAAGAAGAAGGGAGUGGGCAGAAGGGGGGCUGAACGUGCGUGCGUGAGAGAGAGAGAAAACAAAGGCAGCGAAUCAACUCUUAGGAAGAAAUAUCUAAUUUAAUCAUCACAAAGCCACAAAAGUCCUAUGCCUCAAAAGUCCUAAGCUCAUCUUCACUCCACCAAUCACCAAUUAGCUCUAAUUUCCCUAAUUUAAAGCCUUUUUGGGCAGCAAAUUCCCCUUUUUCCUCUUAAUCUGAAUUUCAUUUCAUUUUUCUCUUUUUGUACAAAAAUCAUUUUUCCGCAAAAUUUCGGACUCGUCGAAAAUUCGCCAAAAGAUGAGAUGGCGUCCAAUAAAUAAAUCGUGAUAUGCUCGAACAUUCGAUUCCUGAAACUAAAUUUAGUUUCGUGGUUAAAACCAACCGAACGCGACUUUAGUACGACCUAAUCUACCAUGUAGCUUUUAGGAGUUUUAGCGCAUUUGACCUGUGGUCGAUAAUUUUCGAUCCACGUUUGUGCAUCUUUGAAUCGUAGAUGACUCUCGGUUGUCAUAUAAUUGCGAAGGUUCAAUUAUGUGUUCCGAAUAUAAUAUUGACAGAAAAUCGGUUUACUGUCGUUCGACGCGAAUAUCGUAAUCGUGCGGAACUACCCGCAAUUUAACUACAUAAUUCAAUCGAAUCGACUUAUAUCCGUUCGCAAAUCGAUUUAUAAUGAUAUCGUAUUGACUUUUGCCGAUUUUUAUGGUUGAGCAGUCGAUUUCUAAUUGAAUUAUCUAAUCUGUUGUGUUUAUAUCUCUUAACGGUCUCGCCUAAUAGAUUAGUUAACUCGAGAGUGGCAAGCUUCAAGUAAAAUAACCAUAAGCGUGUUGAUGAAAUAACCAUUUCAUAUAUUCGAAACCGGGCCAAAUUUCGGGAUGUCACACUUUUCUUGAGAACCAAGGAGAGCACUCGUUUUUCGCAGUAUUUUCUCAGAACGUACCUGAGUUGAUUCGGGGAAGUCUUCGAAUGUAUUAAGACUAGAGCUUAAUUCCCUAAAAGAAGCAUCGAUUUUAGUGUUGCGUCAAAGCAUGAGAGGCAUUCUUCCAUACACAAUGAUGGAGCCUAGUAGGAAUCGAAAUAAAAAGCUGACCGACCAAACCUGAGGGCCUCUCACUUUUCCUAAAGUCACUUUUUGCCCCUUUAUUAGCUCGUCACGUGAUAGAAUAAAGUGCCUUUAUUGGGAAUGUGAUGAUUAUUGGAUUCUUGAUUUUCAUAAACCACUAAGUCCAGAUUAAUCGAGUUUUCAAUAAGAUCAUUGUUAGGGUAAAAGAAAAAAAAAAGAUCAAGUCUCUCCUAUAAUUUUAAUAAGUGCAUCAGAAACUCAAAAUGCAAUGUUUUAAAGAUGUUUCACCUUGAAGCCAAAUCUGGUUGACAUUUUCAAAACUAAAUUGUACAUUGUUUAAGCAUAAUAGUUCCAGUUCAAUGGCAAUCAGAUAUAAAACAUGCCUUGUUGCGAAAGGGUUCGAUAGCCUUAUCAAGUGAAAAAACUUCUAACUCAGAAAAACAACACCUACCCAAGUCCAAGCGUUAAAAGAAGGAACAAGUGCACUAGAAGUCCUAUAAAUUGUUAUGAAAGUGUAAUUAAGUAUAAUUUUUUUAAAAAAAUAUAAUUAAAUCUUAAAACUUAUCACGAAAGUACAAUCGAAUUUUAAAACUUUCAAAAAGUGCAAUCAAUAAAACACUUGAUUGGACAAAUUUAAUAAGUUUUAAGACUUGAUUGUAUUUUUUUUUUUAAUUUUUAAGAUUUAAUUGUACUUUCUUGACAAGUUUUAAGGCUUUUAAUAUACUUAUUUCUUAAAAGUAAAGCUUUUUCACAAUCCUCCAAAAUUGGUGGCAGUGCCUGAUAAAGUGCAGCCAUUCUUGGAGCAAUGUCUAAGACUCAUGCUCUAUAAAUUGCUUCGUUGAUGAAACUAGAGAUUAAUCCUCAGCUUCAAAUUCUCUACGAGAGAGAGAGAGAGAGAGAGUGCGCGUUUAUGCGCGCGCGCGAUAUAAUUAUGUGAAAAAAUAGUUUAUUUGGAUCAUAUCCAUGUGUAGCGUGAUGUCCAUUCAAUCAAUAACAAAGCUUGUUACCGCAUUAUUGUAUAGUGCGCUAAAUGCCCACCGAUUGUUAUUUAAACGGCAUGAUAUACUCAACAAUUGGUAGCAAUGUGAUGCUGAUACCUUGCCUAAUAUGCAUGAUCAUAAUUGUAAUUUAAAUUGAUUUACUCUAAUUUCAAAAACUCUAUUCUAAUAGGCAAUGCAUUCCUGCUUUCAAUUGAUUUGAUUCCUACACUUUUCUUUAGUUUGAGUAAUUGAUUCAUCUUUAUUACUUUAGUUUGAUCAAUUAGGUCUCUCAAAAUUAUUUCAGUAUGUUUCAUGUGUCAUACACUGGUUGAUUAUCAUAAAGGGAACUGCUAAAAUGGACUACCAUCUACUGAAGCUAUUGGAUUAAAAAAAUUAUACAAAUGGAUAUCGUAUGCGUAAUAUAUAUUCAAAACUAUUGAAAAGUAAUACACAUUUGUUUCUUUUGUGUAAUUCAUUCGAAACAAAUUAUUUUCUCGGUCACUUUAAGAGGUCAUUCUUAUUCGUCAUCCCAAUAUGUCAGCUAAGUAAGGAUUUUGCUGUUCUUGUCAAAGCACAUCAAACAAUCAUUUCUCCAUUCACACAAUAUCGAUUGAAUCAGGAAGAAAGCACAUUGUUUUGUUAAGUGGGAGGUUUAAUCCUAAACCUUUUAUUGAAUUUAAGAAUGAUACUGAAUUUUUAAAAUAAUCUAGGAACCUCAUUAAUUUAAAGCCGAUAAAAUGGUCAAGAGAGACAAUGCUCCUUGGGCAAAGUUAAGGACUUAUUAUAUAAAUCAAAAGGUCAAGGACGUCAUAACACGUAAACGAUCAAUAAUGAAUUUUUAAGACUCCUAGCUUCCUUCGACUUGGUUAGCAUAUGCAAAGACUGAGAAGACCAAGCUUGUCACGCCCCAAACCUUGCGUGUGCGCACAUCCCUUGGUGAUCGACUAAAUUGUGACGUCCCUAGGAUGUGUCGCCAACCCAAACGAAUCAUGCACAUGCGGAAGCGAAAUAAUAACCCUCAGACAACAAAUAACAUGAGAUAGAAAAGCAGGACAACCAAACAUACAAAACAUACUUCAUCUACAGCCAGGUCAACCUACAGUUUAUACACCGAAGGUCUACCUCCAAAAAGAACUACUAAGGGUGCGUUUGGUUGUGUUUCUGUUUAAAAAUUGUUCCAGGGAAUAGAAAUAAAAAAAAGUGUUUAUGUUCCUGGGAACAAUUUCUGAACAAAAAAACGCUUUUGGUAAACUUGUUCCAAGAACAAAAAAUAAAUAGAAACACGUUUGGUAAAUUUGUAUAAUUUUUUUAUUUCUUUUAUUUUUUUAAUAUUUUUAUUUUAUUUUUCUAUUUUCUUUCUUAUUUAUUUUUUCUUUUUUUUCUUUUUUCUUCUUUGGCCGGUCGCCGGCCUCGGCCAUGGCCGGCAACCGGCCGGCGAGGGGCCGGCGGCCUCGCCCCACCUACGGCGAGGCUCGCCGGCCCCNNNNNNNNNNNNNNNNNNNNNNNNNNNNNNNNNNNNNNNNNNNNNNNNNNNNNNNNNNNNNNNNNNNNNNNNNNNNNNNNNNNNNNNNNNNNNNNNNNNNAUCACCUAAAAAAAUGAGCCGAACCCAACCAUCCUAAACAAAGUCUAGGAUCACUAGGCCUCAUCAAAGAAGCAUUCUCCUCAAGUAGAAUAAGCAGGUGGAAACCUUAUUCUUUAUUUUUUAAAAGGCUCGGCCUCGCCUUGGCUGGGCGAGCUCGAGCUCGCCCAGCCAAGGCAAGUCGGCCGGUCGCCGGCCAUGGCCAAGGCCGGCAACCGGCCAAAGAAAAAAGAAAGAAAAAAGAAGAAGAAAAGAAAAAAAAGAAAAAAGAGAAGUAUUUCUAGAUUUUGUUCCAGAAACAAGAAACAAUUUUUUUGUGUUUCUUGUUUCUGUUUCUUUUUUGUUCCUGGGAACAAAAGAACAAAAAAGGAACAGAAACGCGUACGCGUUUCUGUUCCUGGGAACAGAAAUAGGGUGCAGCCAAACGCACCCUAAGCCACCUAUACUCCUGACCCUUCCGCUUCAAACUCCGGGUUCUUCACACUAGGGACCUGAAAAUGGUAACCCACGACAUGAUGAGAUAUAAAUUUCAGUGAGUUCACAUCCUAAACCCCGAUUAGGAAGGAAAUAUGCUUAGAUGCAGUCUAACCACACAUCAUAGAAGACUCACCUCACCUCAACACCUUCCUGUACGUCAGUACAAUUCAUAUAAUAGACACGUGCAGUAAUAAUACUCGAUCAAUUGGAAUGCCUCAGUUCACAUCUCAAUCAAUCACAGUGGUCCCGAUUAUAAGGCUAAAUCGUUAUGACAUAUCCUAUAUUGUGCCACACAAUUUUGUCCUAUAAUCCGGCACAUCAAUUUCAACCAUUCAUGCGUCCCAAUUAAUUACGACCCAACGGCCACGACUGACUCAAUAGUCAACGGUCUUCCGGUAACCGGGCGUCAUCUCGCACUACCGAGCACAGCAAUGUACAUCUAGAUGACAUUCCAUAUAGGAGUAUUGGUCCAGUCUUCACUGCAACCAACAUCCGUUGACUUGGGGCAUUCCCGAAGGAGUAUCAUCCGGCUCAAAAGCAUCAUGACGGGUUUCUCAUAGCAAUUCCAUACAUAUCCAAUCCCGGCCAAGGACAUCGUACUUUGCACUCAAAUGUCUCAAUUAAAAUAACGUACUUGGUCUAUUUUCUUCGUAUUAAAAACAUACGGUAAAAUAAUUGUCUGUAGGUACACGGUUAGAUCGAACCUUAAAAAGUGAUAUCAUUCAUUUUAAAAAUCCCACUAUUUAAUAUAGUACUUAAAUUUUUUUUUUUUGCGUCAAAACCCAACACUUAGUAUUUUCUGAUUAAAUACCAAAAUCCAGAAUUUUAAAAUAAUAACUCAAAAAUCACAAAUCAUCACUCAAUUGCACAAAUUAGUACUCAAUUGCAUAAACUAAUUACACCACGACAAUUAGAACGAAAUUCUGACGAUCGGCUAUUUCGGUAUAAUUUUCGGAAAAUAUUAAAUAAUUAAAUAAAUUACAAAAUUAAUUAAAUAAAUACAAAUUAAUUAGAUAAAAUGCCUACUUAAGCUAAGAAAUGCUAAUCUAACCACCUAAUGGACUAAUUAAAAUACUCUAAUCUUAACUUAAUCUAACUAACUACAAGCACUAACCACCUAAUUAACUAAUUUAACUAAUCUAAUUUAACUAAAUAAGCUACUAUACACUAAUCUAAUCUUAACUUAAUCUAAUCAUCCCUUAAGUAUCAUUAACCUCAAAAGCAAGGUUUAGUGAGUAAACUCAUUGGUUUUGCGGGUCGAUGAGUUCACGGCGAUGACAACGCCAAGGCGGGUGAGACUCAAGCUUGGAAUGAUGCCAAAGGAGGCCCGAAAAGGUUCACGAAGCUCACAGCUUGGGCUAUGAGUUUGGCUCUAUCUAAGGGCUGAAUCGAAGAGGACCGAGGUUGGAACAAUUGGAACGGAGAGGAGACAAGUGGUGGAUAAUAGUGGUGAACCAGGCGGAGGGCGACGAUGGCUUGGACGACUUUCGGACGGUGAUGAUGGCUUGGUCGACGGUGAACAGGUGCGAGACAACGGCCUGGACGCACAGGCUCAGGUGAGUGGGACAGCACGCAGCUUUGGCGGCGCUCGGACGGGCAUGCGGCAACGAUGGGUGUGUAGGCGAGCUCGGGCAGUUGUUGCUGGCUUUCUCUGGUUUUGCUAGCUAGUUCUUGAGCUCUAAACAAUAACAAUGGAGAAAGGAGAGGCAAGAAGGAAGAAGAAGGUGGCUUGCUGGUUGAAGGGAGACAACAAGCCCUUAAAGUCUUCACAAAAUAUCCAAUACACUCAUCACUUGGCCCCCACCCGCUGCUGCCUCAUCCUCAGCCAUUUUCCCAUACCAAUCUUCCCGUAGAAGCCACCCAAGGUGGUCCAAAUGUUGCACCCCUCCUUGGCUACGAAUUUUGCAACAUUUCCCUUCCAAUUCAAUCCAAUUCCACUUCAAAUUAAUCCAAGUUGGUGCCCAUAAAUUCCAACUAAGGCAUCCACAUCCAUUCCAUGAUUUUUCUUGCCAAGUGAUCCAUCUUGAACGCCAAAGACAUGCCCAAUUUGGCUUAUCCGAGUUUCCUGAUCCAAUUUCACUAAAUUUUGAUUUUUCGCUGAAAAUCCGGACUCGUCAAAAAUUCUUUGGAGAAUGAGUCGACAUUCUUAAAAUAAAUCAUGACAUGAUAGAACUAGAAAUCGGGUUCAAGUUCGUAGUUAAUUCAACCGGAUGCGAUUUUAAUGUGACUUAAUCUAUCAGUUAGCUUUUAGGAAUUUUUAGCGCAUUUGACCCAUGGUCAAUUAAUUUCGAGCCACAUUGUGCAUCUUCGACUCAUUGGUGACUCUUGGUUGUCGUGAAAAUCUCGAGAUUUCAAAUACGGACAUAGGGUACAAAAACGACAGAAAAAUCGGUCUAGUGCCAUUCGACGAGAAUUUUGCAAUUAGGUGGAAUCACCCACACUUUAAUUAUAUACCUCGGUUGAAACGACCUAUCUCUAGUCUUUGAUCGAUUUUGACAGUGCCGUAUUGACUCUUACAGAUUAGCACAGUUCAGCAGUCGAUUUCUGGUCGAAUUCUCAAGUCAGUCACGUUUAAGUUCCUUAACGGCUUCAUCUGAUAGACUAGUUAUCUCGUGAGUGGCUAACUUAGAGAAAAAGGCAUAGGCGCAUCGAUGAAAAGCCCAACUCAUUCAAUCGAAAACAGAAUAAAAAAUCACGCUGUCACAAAGCCCCCUAUUUUAAGAAACCUCAUAACUUCCUUGGACUUGUGUUAGAAUAUUUAAAUAACAAAUAAUGUAUUUAUCUAACAGCUUAAACUUUUAGAAUUGUUGGUAGUGAUUCUCAUGAAAUCUCACAUGUUUUCAAAGCAUAAGGUUAUGAGUUCAAAUUUUCUAGGCCCUUAGUUGCCUCCACAAUUACAUAUUUUCACGCCUAAGCUUUGGCUAAAGACCACUCUAUACAUAAAGAGGAGUGUUAAAAUAUUUAAAUAACAAAUCAUGUGUUCAUCGAACAGCUUAAGUUUUUAGAAUUAUUGGCAAUGGUCCUCACAAAAUCUCACAACUUGUGAGAAAUCUAAAGAAUUGAAAUUCCAACACUCUUUAUCUUCCUUGCAACCUUUAAUUUUCAUACCUACCUUUCAAUUUCUUUACUUUUAUAGUCAAUUACACUCUUGUCCAAAAUCCCCCCCUCCCAAAAAAAAAAAAAAAAAAAAAGCCCCAUGUUUCCCUUUAAAUUCAUCAAUUUCAUUCCUUUCUCGAGACUUUCACUUUUUGAUGAGUGGAUCUAAGUGCUCUCAUUUUUUAAAUAGGAUUCGACCACUCAUUCUAUUUAAAGAAAAAUUACUUUACAAAUUGAUUGUAUGAUUGAAGCAAGUUCAUUUGAUGGGCCGCACAUUGCCAUGACUAUAAUUGCAAAAACUAAGUUAGAAUUCCUUUUUCCAAGGAUGGCAAAACAAAGCUUCCUUUCAAGUGCAAAAGCGACCAGUCAUACAUAGUCAAUAGUCAAAAAUUGCAUUCGUCUUUUUUCUUUUUAUCUUCAAAUCCAAAAUAAACUCAGAUGGAGGUUACAAACACUGGAUCCAAUCAGCUAUAUUGAAUAAGGAAAACCAAAUGCUAAGCUUGAUUUAGGAAUAAAAAACCUCUAUUUUUGCAAGGCAAAUUCAUUGAUGCCUCAAUCAAUUCUCAAUUCUCAAUUCUCAAUUUGGCUUUGUUUUUCAGUAUUCAUGCUCUAUUUUGAUUUAUUUGUCAUGAAGAUUAUGUACUUUUGUAUCUUUUUAAGUAAUUAAUAUAAUUUUCUUUCGAUAGAAAAAAAAAAUCAAUUCUCAAUUGAUGUGUAGAUGCAUUUCAAUGAGAUGCCCAUAGGAGCACCCUCUAAGGUAGAGGAUCAACGUACCUGAUUUGCAAUUGAAAAUUAUAUGUUAACAAUCAUUUGGUCCAUAAAGAUUAAAGUCCAUCGUAAAGUCGACCAAAAAAAAGCAAGGAAAAAAAAAGGCCAAUUGAGGCGGGCUUUUGGCGGAAGUAUUUCUUGAUCAGAACUGCAGUAAAAAAUCCUUCUCGUCGAACUUGUAUCUAUAGUUUCAUGAAACUACAUAUAAAAAUGUUGUUGGCUUGACAUGUCUCUAGUAUUUUGCCGAUUUUGCAUGAUAGAAGUUUCGUUUAGCAUGUAGUCUUGCUAGCACCUAUCCAUUUUUUUUAUGGGUUAAUAUCACGAAAAAUCCCAAACUGCUACACAUAUGACAAAUUUAUCUUAAAUAAAUUUUUUGAUCACAAAAAAUCUUAUAUGGAUAUAUAUGUGACAAAUUUACAAUAAAUUAAUUUUUUGACUACUAAAUAUUCCAAAUUGAUACGCUUAUGACAAAUUUACCAUUUGUUAGUUUCCGUUAAAUUUUAUUGUUAAAUUGUUAAGUUAGAAAACACGUAACAAUUGACGGAUAUACCAAUUUGAAGUUCUACCUUUUAUUUGUCAUAGAUAUACUGAUUUUGUGAUUUUUUGUGGUAUUAAUAUAAUUGUAAAAAGGGUUUUUACCAUAUAUAUAUAUAUAAUUGUAAAAAUGGUAUGUUUGUUAUAAAUGUAUUAAUUUGGGAUUUUUAGCAAUAAAAAAAAUUAAUUUGAGACAAAUUUAUCAUAAGUGUAAUAGUUUAUAAUUUUUGAUAAUAAAAAUUAAUUAAGUAAAAAUUUAUUGUAUGUGUAUCAAUUUAAAUUUUUGAUGAUAUUAAUUUUUUUUUUUAUUGCGUUCCCGUUCAAGGACAGCACGCCCACAUCAAAUAGUAAUUUAGGGGAGAUCGAGAAUCUUUUAUGAUCAGGCAAAAUGUACGAGCUGCCCCGGAACUUCCCCUUCUUCCUCUCUCAUUCAUAAUCUCUUGGUUACAGAUCACCCAAAGGAAAAUGAUUGAAUCCUCCUGUCGGCCACUUGCCCCGGUAUUUUCCUUGCUCCUUCACAGAUAGCGUGAGAGGCACGCCCACUUUGUCUUGAUCGCAAUGGGUAUUCUGGGUGAAAAGAUCUUUCUAUGGGUUCAGUUCCUUCUGCAUCUUUCUGAGAUCUGAGAAAUUCCCCAAAAGCAAAUGAAAUCCGUGUGUCUGCACCUUUUUCGGGGACGCGUGUGAUUCGUUCUUUCACCCCCUGCUUCGUUUAUCCUUCUUUGAUUUCUUGUCAGCAAAACCGAAGAGAUAAGGUUCAAAAAAAGAAGAAGAAAAAACAGAGGGAAAGCAGAGGAUUCGGCGGAUAAGAACAAGAUAAGCGGGAAGAGGACGCAAUAAGGGCACGUGGAAAGGAAAAGAAAAAGGUCACCAAAGGAAAGAAAACAGAGAGGACAUGAGUUUGAUGCUUCCGGACACUCGACGUGUUUGUGGGGCCUUGGAAACGGAUAUAGAUGACUGGAGGAUGCAAGAAGCCGACCCCCCUAGCGCUUGGACAAACCAGGCAACUAGGCAAGCACUUGGCCAAGAGGUGGAUGGGCUGCCGGACACCCGACAAACCUCCCAAGCCAAAAGUCUUUUCCAACAUAGUGCUCGAGCGACGGGCCUAUUUUUGUCAGACACCUAACCCCUGAUUUUUAUGUAUAUCUAAUGAACAACUUGUAAGAAAUUUAAAGAUAAAGAAUUUUUAAGAAAAGAUAAUGAGAAUACUCAUUUCUUGCUCGAAUCGUUUCGUUUAUUUACUCGCGUUAGUAGUGACAAUAGUUGAUGCAAGAUUCAAACUAUGCAAUUCAGCUGAAAAAAAUCUCCCAACAAUAGUAUGGUCAGUUAAACUAGGAGCGAAAUCUCAUUCUACGGUUCUGAACUUAAUGGGCGCAUUAGAUGAUAGGUUUAUUUUGUAUUUACAUUGAAAUCAUGCGAGCAAUUCAGUGAAGCUGAUGGAAAAGACCAAGCGAUAUUAGUCUGAUACCGUUCCACACGUAAUUGAUCACUGUACCUGGAAAAUGCAGAUAAUGCCAAACAAGGACUCAAAGAGAAAAGGAAGAAGGACAGACUCCGUAAGUCUUGGUCUUCUCUUUAUUAUUAAGGAAACUUCUGUAAAAUAUGAAAUGAACCCAAGUGAUGCGGGUAUUGAAUGAAGUGAGCAUGAAAACGCGGAGAGAAACAGUAGAUUCACCAUUAUUUAAUCUCUUAAACUAUGAUGGUGAUGGGAGUCGCUUAAAGUUAAGUGAAGAACUAAUAUAAAAAGACCAAGACUUCUUUUGAGCCUAAUAAUUUUUUUUUAUUGCAUUUCCGUUUGAGGACGGCAUGCUCACAGCUAUAACUAAGGUAAGAUCGAGACUCUUUAAAGAUCCGGCCAAAUGGGCGAGCUGCCUCGAAACUUCCCCUUCUCCCUCUCUCAUUCAAACUCUCUUAGUUUCAGGUCAAACCAAAGGAAAAUGACUGAGAGGCACUUGCCCAUCACAUAGCAUGAGAGGCACCCUUACAAUGUCUUUAUUGCUAUUUGUAUUAUGGCUAAAAAGACCUUUCUUUGGCUUCAAUUCCUUCUCCGUUUGUCUUAGAUCUAAGAAAUUUCCCAAAAGCAAAUAAAAUCACGCGUUUGCACUUUCCCACAUGUGAUUCUUUCUAUUAAAACAUUUAAAUAAUAAAUUACACUUUUAUUUAAUAAUUUAAUUUUUUAAAAUAGUUGAUAAUAAUCCUAUAAAAUUUCACAAUGUCAUAGCAAAAGGCCCUAGUCUCUAUUUGUCAGUAUAUUUUCACUUUUUAGGUUAAAGUCAAAGUCUCACGGUUUCUUUCGCCCCUGUUUUGUCUAUUUUUCUUUGACUUAUUGUCAACAACCAAAGAGAUAAAAGAAACAAAACCGAGUGAGAGCAGAGGUCUAUCCCUGGUUCGGGGAGUCUGCGAGAAAACAGAGAGCUAAAAGUAGAGGGUGGUAGAGACAGUAACCGGUGGGCUUUCAUUGCCGUGGGCGUUGCUAGUCAGAGGUUGCUCGACAAAGCCGGCCGCUCUUUGAUCAAUUCAUUUGCAUGAGCCGUUUGUUGUGAUUUGGUCCAAGAACUAACCGCAAAAUACAUUUUUAACCUAAAUCAAGGACAUGGAAUGACUUGUUGCGCGAUUUAAUCCAAAUUAAAAUUAUCAGGUUUUGGUUUCGAUUCAUCAUUCCUUGUCAGUAUGUUUUGGAUGUUCUAAUAACUUGUCCCUGUUGAAAGAUAUUGAUUUGAUUGCAACAUUUGCCUGUCGAUAAAUGAUGGGAAACUUCAAUCAGGACCUGGUGCAAGUCGCAUCUCGUUUGCUAUCCUGUUUGUGCCACUGUCCAAACCAAUUCUCGGCUUGGACAGUAGGCAAACAGCCUUUAGUUCACUGCAAUCUGAUUUGAGUCAAUUGUUGAAAAUUCCCUUAUUAGUGUCUAAUCAACAGUUUUGUUUGUGAGGAGGGUCUAUGUUACUGUUAUCAGAAUUUGGAGAAUGUGGUGUUUGGUGGAGUAAUUAGUUUAUGGCCUCAAUAAGUUAAUAAUCUAUGAUGGUUUGAUCUGUAUGCNNNNNNNNNNNNNNNNNNNNNNNNNNNNNNNNNNNNNNNNNNNNNNNNNNNNNNNNNNNNNNNNNNNNNNNNNNNNNNNNNNNNNNNNNNNNNNNNNNNNNNNNNNNNNNNNNNNNNNNNNNNNNNNNNNNNNNNNNNNNNNNNNNNNNNNNNNNNNNNNNNNNNNNNNNNNNNNNNNNNNNNNNNNNNNNNNNNNNNNNNNNNNNNNNNNNNNNNNNNNNNNNNNNNNNNNNNNNNNNNNNNNNNNNNNNNNNNNNNNNNNNNNNNNNNNNNNNNNNNNNNNNNNNNNNNNNNNNNNNNNNNNNNNNNNNNNNNNNNNNNNNCUAACCUCUGUUUUGUAGGACAUACAAAGAAGUACCAUCAAAUAAACUAAUAUGCUACAUGACACGGAGCUAUCAUUUUUCCCUAAAAUUCACAGCAGUAAGCACUGUCUUGAUGGUAAAGCAGACACAUAAUUGAAGUUCCCAGCACUUGAAAAGACUAUCGAAACAGAAGGGUCUCAAUAAAUUACAGAACUUCGCCAGACUCAAUCUGCUUAAACCCUUUUUCUCUGUAUCAAGUACUGCGAAACGCCAAGGUGUUUCUGACUUUUUUAAAUACGGUCGACUCUUCUGCACACUUAUGCCGUUCUGUACCCCAAAAUUAAAAGCACAUGGCCUAUCCAUUUGAACAGCCGAGAGCAUUUUCCAUUUAUUGACUGAAUCUCGUUGCUUAUACAUUGGGAAAUUUUUUUUAAGUAUGUUUCCCUCGCUAUAUCAGUAUGCAAGAAGACUUUCGAAGGAACUACCAGCCGUUGGCAAAUUGAGUAGCUAUAAGCAGUGAUAAGAUUUUCAAUUAAAUUCGUGGACAAUCUGUCGAUUACAUUAACAUAAAAUAUUCCAACUAGAUGAAUUGCGAGAAGAUAUGUCACUUGCUUACUUCAAGUCAAUGAAAAAAAAGCACAUAAGAGUCAUAGAAUCACUUUCCUGAAAAUGGGCCACCGAUGAAUUGAUUAGAAGCAAAUGACAAUCGUCCAGCAGAGUUAAAUGUGCAAGAACAGUAGUUCAAAUUUCUCAACAAACAAGGCAGUGUUUAAACUUUAACAACUAGGAUACGAAUAGUAGCAACCACUACCUCAGUUGUUUUACAAAUUAUGUGCAGCGUGAGCAUGACGAGGCAAUGGAAGUGAACCUAUGUAAUUAAACCUAGCGGUACUCCCUGAUCUUUUUAGAAUGAAUACACACGACAUAAUAUUGUAUAUCAGAAAUUCAUGACAGGAAUCCAAAGAAGUAGUAAGCAAAAUGAAAUGCAUAGAGAGUGGGUUCAGGUACACGUAAUCAAUAUCUGUUCUGUGCUUAUUAUUGAAGCACAUCGAACCUAUAGAGCUGUCAAUGCCUAAAUUUGACCGAAGCACAAUAAACCUGAUACACAAUGGUUACACUAAAGUGAACAUAUAUGUAUUGGAUUGCAUUGCGGGUUACUCCUGGAAAUGAAUUGGCUGAAAUUACGUAUCACUAUCACACUUUCAUUGUGGUUCAACAGCUUGACCAGAUAAAACAAUGACAAGAAUCUGAGUUUCGAGCAUAACAUACAGACAGAAUUGAAAAUGAGGGCAUUACAUAUAUAACGCCUAACUGCUUUUUCAUAAAAUGAAGCAACUGCGUGUACUGGAACUUCUUAUAUUCUGAGAUUCUUAGAAAUUGAAAAGAAGAGAGGAGAGAGGAAGCAUGUCUCUCUGUGUUCACUGUUUGAACUACUCGCGCUCUCCAAUCUGCUACCUUGAAAGCCAUUGGCAGGGCAGAGAGAAAUGGAUGUUGAUACUAUUAUUGAGAAAAUUUUAAUGCUUGCGAAUUCUUUUCACCGAAGCUAUGAUCUACUCUCAUUGAAUGAAUAUGUCAAGACAAUGCAGGAACACUGACCAGCCGCUCCAUUGUUUGCAACUGAAUUUACACAGCGAUCUGCAACUAUAGGAAUUAAAUAGAGAAAAGAUGGUAAUGGUUAAUUGAUGAACGUGUCAUCUGAGUAAAUUCCUCCUUUACAAAGUUCUCUGAACCAAUUCCAAUUACUGGUCAACCACAACAAAUAAGUACGUAAUUCAUUCUAAUGCAACAUAGUAGAAAAGCAUUAAUCACCUGAUUAAAUCUGUCACAUGGCAUAGUUUCCCAUUGUUUGAAUUUCUUCGGGUUCGAUGUCUUCCGGUACAUCAGAAUACUGCAGUUUUCACUCCCGUCUAACCACCCCGAUGCACACAAGUAGAAACGUCAAAAGGGUUUUUCUCACUAAAUUCAACCACUAAAAGGAGUUCAUUUAUCUUCAUUGAUUUUGAGGGAUUUGAUGAGAGAACAACCGCGGUUAUACUCUGAAUCCCUAUGCUGUUAGACAUUUAUCAGGUUAAAAGCUUUUGAAAUAACAAAGUUUUUUUAGUUGAUCGAAUGGAUUUUGAUGAAGAAAUUCAAUGCUCCACUAGAAUCUACCAUGCCAGAUUACUAGAAUCUACCAUGCCAGAUUACUAAUACUCAUGUUUCAGUUGAUAAGACAUUUGGUCAUUGAGAUCCAGUCAAGUCAAUUUAAACUAUCAUGUGAAGAUAGAAGGAAAGACCGAAGUGAAAAAAUGCUUGAACUUCAUGAAUGAGCACUUGGAUCAUGGAUACCGGCAUGAAAGCUACUCAUCCACUUAUCUAUGUUUUCAUAAUGUCCCCUUCAACCUUAGAUUCAAUUUAAAGGGUCAGAAAAGAUAAAGGCUUAGCCUAGUGGUCCAUUGUAGCUUUAAGCUUAUGCUUGUCUUGAAGGGAUACUUAACAAGCUACAUUAAACACAGCAAAACCAGCCUGAACAUUUUAAAUACAGGAUUAGCAUCUAUUUAUUUCCCAAGGUUAUGCUUUAUUGUAUUGAAGUCGCAGCAAUAAAAACCUACAUAUCCUACUUUCCAUUUGCAAAACAAAAAAUAACGAAGGAAAGUCGUUAUACCUCACUUCGAUUGCCUUGGUGACUUCAUCACGGACGUUCCUUCUCACAGUCGCAGGGUGUAGAAAGAACUCCUCGUCUGAACCCAGAACCUUCACUUUGAUUGCCUUGAUGACUUUAUCAUAAUGACGGCUUUUGACAGUGGAAGGAAGACGAAACUUUAUAUCAUUGGAAUAUGAAAGCCAAGAAUUGAAAAGAUAUGCAAUUUCUGAAAGUUAUUCCUUUAGUUUGAUCGUGGGAGGGAAGAUAAGCCUAAAAUUUCAGUAGCACAUGAUAAAUUAGGAAAGUUCUGAUCUUAUGAAUCUAAUUAGACACUCACACUGGAGUCUCGAAACACAGAGUGCAUGCAGGAUUUACAAUUACAGUUGAUUUUGCCAGGCAUCCCGGAACAGUGCUGACAGACAGUACUCCUGAUAAAAAAAUUUAAAGAAUAGUACUUUCUAAUAAGAUAUAUCCACUCCAACAAAGAUCCUACACCUAACUGCUUCAGCAACCAAACAUGAAAAACGAUGAUAUGGAAAUACCCAAAGAAAAAUCUUUUCCAUUAUGAAAUUCACUAUUCAGGGAAAUCACCACUAUGGAAUGAAACUGCAGGCCAUCCGUAUAUCAUAGUCAAACUUCUCAAAGCAACUCAAAAAGUUUUGUAGUCAAAUGUCAUGUGCUGAAAUACCUGCAUAGUCACAACCUGGAAAAUGGAGCACAACAAAAGGUUAUGCAAACCUACCUUGCAACUUAAAACUGGACUAAAAAUUCCUGAUAUAUACCCGGUAGGUUAGAUACCGCUAAAAUCGCGCCAUAUUGAAAUUAAUGUGAAUUUAAACCCGAUUUCAGAAAUUAAAAGUUCUGUUGUGUCACAAUUUAUUUUAGGAACAUCGACUCAUCCUCCGGAGAUUUUUCUAUGAACCGAGAUUUUCGGCGAAAAAUCAAAGUAAAGGUUAUUUUGGAUCGGGAAAUUUGUAGGUCCGUUUCUUUUUUCGCAUUUUUUGUCGUCAACUGGGAUCUUUGGACAAGGAAAAAUAUGGAAUUAAGUGUGGAUACCUUGGUUGGAUUUAUGGACUUCAAUUUGGGUUGUUUUGAAGAGGAAUUGAAUGAAUUCAAGGCCAAAUGUCACAAAAGUCGUAGCCUUGGAGGGGUGCAACAUUUCAACCAUGUUGGGAAGCUUCCUAAGGAAGAUUAAGGAGAGAGAAGUGGCUGUGGAUGGUUGAUGGCUGGUGGGGGCAAGUGCUUGAGUGUUUUGGACAAGUGUUGAAGGCUUAAGAGGCCUUUGGGGACCCCCUCUCUUCAGCAACCCUUCUUCCUCCUUGAAGCCCUCAUUUUCCAUUGUUGAGGUUUUGGAAAAGCUCAAGAGAACUAGAAAACUGAGCCAGUAGCCUCCCUCCAUCGUCGACUAGCUGUACUCGCCUGUUCGCCCGCACGCUAGCCCGCGCCUUCUGCUCAUUCACGCAUCUGUGGCCGUUGUCCAAAGCUCCUAUCCAGCGUCGUCCAGUCGCCGUGCAUCCCCGUCCAGCUAUCGGAAGCUCCGCCUGGUCCGCCAUAGCCCCGCCUGGACUGCCGCUGCCCGUUCCUUGCUGUUUCGGCCCCAACUAGCCACCGGUCAGUCCCUCGACCAGCAGAAUAGAAGCUGUCAUGCCCCGAUCCUCGGUCACGUGCCCAUCCUUCAUCUUUGGUCGAUUUUAAAAUGCGAUACCCUAUGACUACGUAUCGCCGACCCUUUCAUUUAAUAUGCAUAUGCAGAAGCAUAUAAUAAAAUUCCUAUACAAUAAAGCAAUGGGAUAGAAAAGCAGGGCCAAAAUUUUCAUAUUGAAAUUCACAACCACAUUUUUUUACAAGCACCUCAUAGUAUAUAAAGCAAUACUAUUCAUAGGGGUCUGAGCUAACACUUAUCCACAUAUAAUCAAGGUCUGACAAAACAAGAUGGGAUCUCAGUUCUCAUCCGGGUCGUACUUAGGAUCCUCCUCGUGUUCAUCUUCUUCUAAAAAUUCUUCCUUCUCAUCUGGUUCCACAUCAAGGUUCUCCUCUUCAGAUUCCUUCUCCUCAAGCUCCUCAUCAGGGUCCUGAAAUGGUUAUUCAAUAACUAUUGAGACCACGUCUCAGCAAGUUCUACCCCCUAAGACUCAAUUAGUAAACCAAUACGCUAACCGGGCUGCCUAUGCACGCACGGGUUAGAGGACUUACCUUGGCCUCAAUUCCACCUGCAUAUUAGCACAGUUCAAUAGGCACCAAAGUAAUCACAUCACUAAUCGAAGCAUUGAUCAAAUAGACCUAGUCGAUUACAUGUCAAUCAGACCAUCUCAUGGUCAUUUCCAAUCAAUCAGUCAAUUCACAACAUCAUAUCAAUGCAAUGAUCAAUCGACCUAGUCGAUUAUAUGUCAUCUCGACCAUUUCUUGGUCGGAUCAUCUCAUACUAUCUAUAAGUCCGUUCAUAAUCAGGACUGCUCGCUCUAAGCUGAUAAAUAGAUAAUAUAGCUCGCACUAAGCUGAUAGAGUUAAGGUAUACUGCUUUCACUAAGCUGACAUAUCGCCCGUAGGCUGAUAUAAUAUACCGAUAUACUGCUCUCGCUAAGCUGACAUAACGCCUGUAGGCUGAUAUAGUAUGCCGCCAAUGCUCACUCUAAAUUGAUAAAGUGUACUGCUCGCGCUAAGCUGACAUAUCACCCGUAGGCUGAUAUAGUACACCGGUAUACUGCUCUCGCUAAGUUGACAUAUUAGAGCCCAUAGGAUGAUAUAGUAUACUAUCCAACCAUUCAAUCCAUUCCAUCUUUUAUCCUUCUUGAUAAAAUAGCCGUGAGUGAGGACACAGUCGGCCUUAGCUAAAAUAUAAUAUUUUCCUUUCCAUAACUCCCACAUUUUCUGUAGUCCACUCAAAUAUUUUUGGCAUUAUCAACCAAUGCCCGGUUAUUUUUCAAUUAAUAACCAAUGAUUAUCCAAUUAAAGAAUAAUUCCUUCUUUCACAAAUAAUUCAAUUCAACAUGAAAUAGAGCUCAAUUAAAUAAACGGACUGCACCACAACAAUCAGCAUAAAAUUCCAGUCGUCGAUUAUCCCUACCUAAUUUUCGGAAAAUAAAUAGAUAAAUAAUUAAAUUAAUUUCGAAAAUUAAUAAUUAAAUACUAAAAAUCUAAUUUAGGCCCGUAAUGCCUAAUUGGACGCCAGAACGGAUCGGGAAAAAUCCCGAGAUGCAUUCAAUAAUUAUUAGAAGCUCUUUACUUGCUAAUGAUUAGGUCUAACCACCUAAUAUGCAUCAUUGAGUCACUAAUUUAAUUGUUCUAAACUAAUCUAACCACCUAAGUGCACUUAAUUAAAUCUAACCAACCCUUAAGUGUCAUUAGCAAACUAAGAAAGCAUUAGUGAGGACAACUCACUUGGUAAAGCGAAGAUCGGAACACCGCGACGACGGCACGACGGUGGCCGAAAUCGGGCUUUCGACGAACUUGGACUGGGCCAAGAAACCUUGCAAGCCCACAGAAAAUUUUGGGCUUGGGCCUACCGAAAUUCUUGGGCUGAGCUUGAUUUGGGCUUCAAUAAUUUCGCUGGGCUUUGCUGAAUUCAACUGGGCUUGAAACAAGACUGAAAUUAAUGGGCUGAAGUUAAACCUCACUUGGGCUGAAUUGAGAGCUUUGCUAGGCUGAGUCCACUGAUUCGGUGGGCCUGGUUGUUGUAUUGGGCUGAAAUCAAGUGGGCUGCUGCUGGUGUAAUUUCAACUGGACUGGGCUGGGCUUCGGCUUCAAAUGGGCUGAGUAAAGAAGCAUCGAGGGCGACGCUGGACUUCGAGCGAGGAUGGGCUGCUCGGUUGAAGGAAAGAGAAGGCACGGCUGCUUUGGUCUUCAAUGAAGCAAAAGAGAAGCAGCUGCUGGCAUGCGGUCGGUGCUGGACGAGGCAACGGCAGGAGGUGUCGCACGUGAAGUUGCUGGGGUUGACUUCGGGCGGUGAUUUCCGCUCGUGAAUGCAAACGAUAGCUGCAGGGAUUCCGCUUCGCUGACUUCGCUCGUUGGACUGAAGACGUGCGGCAGCUGACACACGAACGUGGGAGAAAAAGAUGGGGUUGGUGGAGCUGCUUCACUAACUCAACGUGGCAGCUUCGGAUGCUGGAUCUGCGCGUGCGAAGGGGAGAGGACACGGAGUAGCGUCGUCCUUGGCCGCGUGGCUGAAGAUGGCUGCAUCUGGUGGAGCUCCGCUCGGUAGUCUUCAACGCUGUUUUGUUGACCAGACCAAGUGCAGACGCAGCCAAGUGGCAGCGUGGAGGAGAGAUCGAAGUUGACGUUGGGGGAUGGGUUGCGAGCGAAAAAUGAAGGCAGGCUAGUGGCAAUUCGGCAAAGGCUGAGGUUGAAGUUCGGUGGAGAGGGUUUUGUCGCCCCUCAGCUUCGAGGAAACAAACUGAAAAUAAAAGAUCAGCGGGACAGCUGGAGUUCGAGGGAAAGGGACGUGCGGAGGUCUGCGACCAAGAUGGAGGGCAGCUGUUCGGCGUGCUGGGGAAGCCAAGGAGGAAGAAAAAUCAGCCACUUAUCCAUUCCAUUAAUGCAUGUCCCCUUAAUACUAAUCCAUAAAUUCACCAAAUUGAUGCCAAAAUGCAGCCCUAUGCCCAAUCCGAAUUUUACUCAAUUUUGUUGGUCUUCAAUUUCUUUAAUAAUUUUCCAAAUUCGACGUCAUAUCUUGAUGUAGAGAAAGGCCACAAAAUUUCUACAAGUCCCCAUUCACCAUAUAGCUCGGUUUGCAAGUUGAAAAUUUAUUCAAUUCGGUCAAUCCGAAUUUCCGUUAAUUUUCCGCAACGUCCGAAUCAAUUUUCCGUAAAAAUCUCGGAAUCUCCGAAAAAUCUUCUGAGACUGAGUCGACGCUCCUAGAAUUUAUUGUGGCAUGACAAAAUUUUCAAUUUCUGAAGUCGGACUUGAAUUGGCGGUUAAUUUUCAUUCUAUGUGUUUUUAGCGUGAUCUAGGCUACCGGGUAACUUUCAUAAAUUUUUAAGUGCAAAUGACUCGUGGUCGAUUUUCUUCGAGCCACUAUGAACCCACUCAACUCAUUAGCGACUCUUGAUUGUCAUGAAAAUCUCGAGGAUCCAAAUACGGACACAAGGUCCCAAAACAAUAAGAAAAUCAGUCUGUACCGGUCGACGAGAAUUUUCCAAUUUGGUGAUGUCACCCAUGAUUAGCCACACAUCUUAGUCGAACCGGCCUAUCUUUGAUUUUGAAUCGAUUUUAUAUUGUGCCGUAUUGAUCUCUAAAGAUGAGCACGGUCGAGAAGCCGAUUCCUGAUCAAAUUCUCAAGUCUAUUUGCCUUAAAAUCCUUAAUGGUUUCCCCAGGUAGUCUAGUUAUCUCGAGAGUGCUUAGCUCUGAGAACAGCCCUAUAGGCGCAUCAAUGAAAUGUCCGAUUUAUUUAGUAGAAGACAGGGUUGAAAAUCUGGAAUGUCACAACUCUUCCCCUCUUAUAAAAAUUUUGUCAUCGAAAUUUAAACCUUUACAAAUCCUUAAACAAAAAUGUGGAGUGUUGUCGUCUCAUCAAGUCUUACUUUUCCACGCCGAUUCUUCGGUCUUGUGGCGUUGUCAGACCACCUGGACCAAGGAGAUCAUCUUGGUACACAAAAUAUGCUCUUUUUGAACGGCCUACUGAACGAAGCUUUCCACGUACGACACUUUGUCCUUCACUUCUAAUUCUUCAUGAUUCAGCACGUGCGUCAGGCCAGGUUCAUAUGUCCUCAACCUAAACACGUGAAAGACGUCAUGCACUUGCGCUAACCUCGGCGGCAAUGCAAGACUAUACGAUAGGAUCCCGAUUCUUUUCAGAAUCUCAAAGGGACCUACGUACUUUGGUUUCAGUUUUCCCUCCUUGCUGAAACACAAGGUAUCCCAUUGGUGACACCUUCAGAAAGGUGUACUCACCAAUUUAGAACUUUUGGGGCCUUCAAUGCUUCAACAACAUAACCUUUCUGACUGCUCUGAGCGGUCCAUAAUAUGAUUCUGAUCACGACCAUUGCAAUCACUAACUGCUAAACUGACUCUAGGCCUGUGAUCUUUCUUUCUCUGACCUCAUCUCAACAAACUGAAGUUCUGUACACUCUGUUAUGCCAGCUUUAAUAGGAACCAUCUGAUCUGGAUAUGACAUAGAUUCGUCACUAACACUCCAUGUAGACGAACUAUCUGGCGCACAUACAACCUUGCAGGUCUAUCUAAGCCCAGAUCUUUUCGUACUACCAAGAAGUGAGCCGACUCUGCCAAUUUGUCGACCACAAUCCUCAAAUGGAAUUAUUAUUCAUCUGACUCCUUGGUAAGUCUGUCACAAUGUUCCAUUGUGAAAUACUUCUAUUCCCACUCGGACUCUCGAAUGUUUGUCAAAGUCCUCCCGGUUUGCAUUAUUGAACUCCCACUUAUUGACACAGCUAACACUUGUAACCUGUCUAGUGAUCUCUGUCUUUAUAUCGAUCCACCAAUCGAGUUGACGCUAAUUCUGACCUACUUUGUAUUGUCUGGUCGAGAAUUAUAACCACUACGAUGAAUUUCCUGACAAGGUCUCUUACUUGAGUGCUACAUCACCGGGACACCCAAUCACUCUCGGGACUUGAGUGUUUCAUCCCCAUAAUCUGAAAGUCGGUCUCUUCCUUAUCAGUAUCCUCUUGCAGGAUCUUCUGAUCUUCCCGAUCUGCCAACUGAAGUGUUUGAUUCUAACCUGAAUAUCCGGUUCAAUUUUGAGGGUGGCUAUAAAAUUUAAAAGGUAGCCUAUCUCAAAUUUGAAAAUCGAAUUUCGAACUUUCUUAAGUAGGGUCCAUACUUUAACCAGCAUAUGCACAAAUGAAGACUCUCGACUCAAUGCAUCAAUGAUUUCUUUUGUUCCUCCCGGGUGAUACCAGAUGGCACCAUUCUAGUCCUACCAAGGUUCUGAUUCACGACACCAUCUUAUAUUCCACUUCUUCUGGAAGAAUAAACACUUGAGGCUUUAAUAGUUGAUGAAGAUUUAGAAUCUUUCUUCAUACCAAUGAUGUCUCUAAAUCUUUAAAGUGAAAAUUAAUGCCGCGAGUCUCCAGUCAUGCCCCAGGUAACUCAACUCAUGAGGUAUCAAUUGAUGGGACGCGUAUGUAACACUCUACUACAUUACAUCAACACGCAACCCAAUUCUUUAAAUGACACAUCUCUAUAGAUCUCGUCUCCUCCACAACCAUAAGGAAUGAUUGGCACAAGUGCAGUAGCUAGUUCUUGCUUAAGCUUUGGAACUAUCCUUGCACUUGUCUAAUCAUAUGAAUUUCUCUUCUUUCUUAAGAGGUCGAAUCCACGAUGAUGCUGAUGCUGAAAAUUCUUCCACGAACCUUUCGUAGUACCCUGUCCAACCCAUACAGCUUCUGAUUUUUGAUACUGCUGUCUAUCUUGGUCACCGAUAACUACUUCAAUCUUGGUUGGGUCCACGGAAAUUCCUUCACCUGAAAUCCCGUGACCAUUCUCUGUUGUCUCUCGUGCUCUAUAGCAUUCCUCGAGCACACCAGAAGAUCAUUGAAAGAAGUGAUCACCUUGAUCUAAAUAUUCUUCGAACACUUGAUUUGCCAAAUCCAUGAUAGUAAUUGGAGCGUUUGUCAGGCCUAAUGGUAUUACAUUGCACUCACAAAGGCCAUAUCGAGUACGAAAUAUUAUCUUCAAUAUAACCUCAUUCUUGGUUCUCAACUGAUGAUAUCCUGUCCUUAAGUCGGUUCUUGAAAACAUUAACACUCUCUUUGCAACUAGUCCCACCGUUCAUUGAUCUUCGGCAAUGAACACUUGUCCUUGAUCUUCACCUAAUUGAGUCGACGAUGGUUGAUGCAUGAUUGCAAUGAACCAUCUUUCUUUCUCUCUCCACAAAACUGAUGUUCCCUAAAGUGAUCCACUGACAUGCAUGAAUUCCUUAUUCAUCAAUUCUCAUAUCUGCAUCUUCGGGUCUAUCAGUCCAGAUAAUAACAACAGGUAAGAAGUCUUCGAGAGUGGCUCUGUCCUGGUACUAGCUCGAUCACAAUUUCUAUCCCUUUCUCUGACGACGGUUUGAUAGUUCUUAUGACAACACAUCUAGAAAUUCUUAGACUACUGAAAUGUCCCCUAUCUCCAAUUCUCCAAUCCGUCUUAUCUAUAACAAUCACCAAGUAAUCUUGGCAAUCACCAUCUAGCAAGUGGGUUGUCUUCAAUCGACGAAAUUAAAGAAAUCAAAGAUUCAUUUCGACUCCAAAUAAACUCGACACUUUCAUGAGCUAUUAGACUAAGUUGAAUUGCUCCAUGACCAUAAUUCAUUACUACAAGAUGCUCCAUGAGCCCACUCUACUCAUGUGACGUUAAAGUUACACCUCAACAACUAGUCAAGCAUGACCAUUACUAGUGAUUCCCCUUUCGUUCACUUAUUACAAUAAACUGAAGUUCCCCAAACUUCACCAAAACCCUGCUAUGCUACUCUAAUAACAUUUUCCCAAGAAUAUUCUUCCUCUGAUUGGUGUCGGGUUGGUUCCAUUUCUAUUCUUCUCGCCAUCCUCGUGGCGUCCUAACUGAGGUAGCAGUGUCAGUGUUCCAUUGGUGACCACCGUUUGGGUCGAAAAGGGUUUACCUCAGAGGGUACCUCAUCGAUUCAGAGUGUGGUUUCGCUUUGGACCCAAUGAAUUUCGUGUGGGUCCCAUCCGGGGUUUUGAAGUUCCCACUGUGGUGGUUGAUGCCAUUCUAGAUGAGAGUGCAGCUGACCCUUCUGAUGGUUGGUGGAGGACCUAACACCCCCGGAGCUUGUGGAGACAGAAGGAUCGGUGAACGUGUCCGACUAGUGGUCAUAGGACAGUUCCCUUUUGAAAGCCAACCUUUUUGUAGACCCUUGUUUAUAAACUCAAUUUGUUUAUAAAGGUGUUUGGUUUGUUGUGAUUGUCUUGCUUUCCUAUUCCAUGCUGUUGGUUUUCAUGGGUGUUUAUUUCGCUUUUGCAUGUGCAAUAAUAUGAAUGGGUCGGCGACGCAUCCUGGGACGUCGUAAUUUUAUCGACCACUGAGGAAUGGGCACACACUCGAGAAUUGGGGCGUGACACCUAAACCUUGGUUAGGAUGCAAAUUCACCUCGAAGGCGGUCCUAAACUCACACCACACAGAACUCACCUCGCCUUUGUGCGUCCCUGCAUGUUAGUACAUCACAUAUACUAUUAUCAAUGCAGCAAGCGUAACUUAACAAUUGGAACACAUCAAUUCAUUCACAUGGGUCCUAAUUAUAAGGCCAAACCGUUAUGACACGUCACAUACUGUGCUACACAAUUUUGUCCCAUAAUUAGGCGCAACUAUCAAAACCAUUCAAGUGUGUGAUGAUUAUUAUGACCCAUCGGCCACGGCCAACUAGAAAGUCAGCGGUCAUUUGGCGCAACCGAGCAUCGUCCCACCCCGUCGGGCAUGGCAUCACCUAGCAUCCUCCGCCUAGACAGCAUUCCACACAGGAGCUUCGUUUUGAAAUACAUCCUCGAACGGCAACGUCUAGCAUCCUCCGCCUAGACGGUAUUCCACACAAGAGCAUCGUCCCACAUAUUCAUACGCAUUAACACGGGUUCCACUUAGUGACCAUGCAAGCACGCCAUCAAUCAAACCAUUUCUUAUCUUUCAUCAAUUAGCCCAAAAUACCAAAAUUCCUUUUAAAACAAUAAACCUUACAAUUUCCCUUUUUUUUUUCAAAGCUUUCCGAAAUAAAUUCGUAUGGGGUCACGUAUUUGAAAUUAACCUGCCAAACUUUGCACGCAUCUAGUAUAAAACAUACUCAUUUGAUUAAGCACAUAAAAUCUGGCGUCCAAACCCGACACCUCAUUUAUUUUCUAUUUUCUUUUCUAACCACCCAUUUUUGGAAUUAAACUUUAGUAACCCCCUUUUUUUGGCUCAAAACUUUUAGAAAUAAAUUCGUAGGUGCUCACAUACUCAAAAUUAAUCUGUCAAAAUUUGCAUGCACUUAGUUUAAAACCUAAUUGCUUUAUCGAGCAAAUAAUUUUUGGUGUCCAGACCCGAUACCUCGUUUAUUUUCUAUUUAUAGUCCAUAAGGUCACCUUUUGCAAUAAUAAUAAACAACUAACAUAGAGCAAUCAACCUCAUGAUAUCACACAUAAAUUCUAAGCAUGCCAAAAGUCAACCACAUCACCAAAUAUAUAUCCAGCAAGCAUGACACCAAGCACAACCACAAAACCAUAAUCGGCCCUAACUGGCAGAAAUCGGUCUAGUCGCGCGUCUACAGAAUUAAUUCUAGAAACCUAAUUAAACGAGUUCAGAAAAUUCUCAAAUUUGAAUAUGUUAUAAAGGACACUUAAAAGAACACUUUUUUAUUUUUAUUUUUAUGAAGACACCUUGACCCAAAUCUUUCAAGAAUGAGAGCAGUAAUUCGCUCAAACCGUUACCACAACUGUGUUCAUGUCCAGAAAUUAUAUUUUCCAAAACCAGUUUAGUUUGAGAUCCAAAACUUGUCCGUUUGUUCUGAAAUUUUACUAUGUUAAACUAAAAGAUAUGAUGAACAACUUUUGUGAAAAAAAUCUUUUGAAAAUCGAACCCUAAAAGUUGAUAAAAAUCCUUUAAACACCAAAAGGUCAUUGGUUCCAAUACAAACUGAGAUUCUGUUUUGCAUGAAAUGAAUCUGAAAUAUUGUUCUAUGAAAUCCAUAAAAUCUUGAGUAAAAUAUAUGUCAUAGCUGAAGAUGUCUAUAACAUUUUUCAAGAAAGAAGAAAUCUCAAAAUCGUGACACAUUUUAGCCCACAAAAAUCGCAACCAGCAAGGGUCUAGUAAACUGAUCUAUAGAGAAAUCCACUAAACUGAGUUAAACCAACUUAAUUAACACCAAUCCUCCUUAGCACUAAUCUAACCAUGAUUAUUAAUAAUCUAAGCAAGUUAAUUAACACUAAUCUAACCCCCUAAGCACAAUUAACAACCUAAUAAAGGAUUAUGGAGUUAACUAACCGGAUUAGGAUGGCGGCGGGUUCACGGCGACAGCGGCGCGAAGGCGGUGAAAAUUCGAGACAACUGGGUCUCUAGCGAAGGCCUAACGGCUGAGGAAGACAGCCCUACAAGUCUUAGCCAAAGGCUAAGAUUCGACUCUGCUCGGUUUUGGUUGCUGGAUCGCAAGGUUGCUGGUGGACGGCUGAGUAGUUGACUGAUGACUGGACGGCAAGCUAGAUGCAGGGCUAGUGAGCUGGACGGAGCUGGGUUGUUUGCUGGCGGCGGCUGCUGGCUGGACCGAACUGUGAAUGCCGAUGAGCUAGCGUGAGAUGGAAGGGUUGGAGUUGGUGGCAUAAGGGUGAGGCGGCAUGGGUAAGCCAGCGAGCUAGUGGCAGCGACAGCUAAGGCGGACAGUGAAGGGAUAGGUGGCUAAGGCGGCGAAGCUGGAACGGAGGUUGGUUGGACACGGGUGGAGAGGACGCUGGAUGGUGGGAGGUUCGUUGGGCUGAGGGGUUGCGGUUGAGGGGAAACAACCGGUGGUGUGCGGGCGUGAGGUGGUAAUGUGCUGGUGAUGUGGGUUGGCUGAGGAGAGGCGGUUGCUGGCUAUGGCUGGCGGUGAGGCCGUGUACCAGUGUGAAGCUGUAGAUGAAGGGUGGCUGAAAGGGUGGAAACGUGCAGCAACAGAAGGGAAAUGAAGGGGAAUUGGAAAGGAAAGUGAUCAACUGAAGCAAGGAAGACGAGGGACUCAUGCAUAGGGGAAAAGGAGAGGAGAGAGGGAGAGAAAGGAAGUCAACGCCAACGCUAAUAGGAAGCCAUGCAAAAAUAUCAAGUACUCAAGUGCUUAGCCCCAAAAGUCUUCAUGCCAAUUUGUCAAGGGGCCAACCAAUGGCCAAUUUCCCUUCUUUUUUUUUUUCACAAAAUAAAGCGUUUUUGGUGGCCAAAUAAGCCCUUAAAGUAGCCCAUCCAAAUUUCACUCUCGUUUUCUUUUUGCCAGAAUUGAUUUUUCCACAAAAUUCCGAGCUCAACGAAAAUUCUCCGAAAGGUGAGAUGACGUCCUAAAAAUAAAUCAUGACAUGCUCGAACGUCCAAUUCCUGAAAAUGAAUUCAAUUUCGUGGUUAAAAUUGAUCGAACGUGAUUUUAGUACAACCUAACCUAUCGGGUAGCUUUUAGAGAUUUUAGCGCGUUUGACCUGUGGUCGAUAAUUUUCAAUUCAUAUUUAUGCAUUUCUGACUCGUAGACAACUUUCGGUUGUUAUAAAAAUCGCAAAGUUUCUAUUACGUAUAUCGAGUAUAAUUUCAAUAGAAAACCGGGUUAGUGCCGUUCGACGCGAAUUUCGCAAUUAUGCGGAAUCACCUGCAAUUUAAUUAAAUUAUUCCGUCAAAUCGACCUAUAUUCGAUCACAAUUUAAUUAUAACAAUGUCGUAUUGACCCUUGCCGAUUAUUAUGGUCGAGCAGUCGAUUUCCGAUCAAAUUCUCUAGUUUGCUGCAUUUAUAGCUCUUAACGGCUUCACCUAAUAGAUUAAUUAACUCAUGAGGGGCCCUGCUCAGAGUAAAUUGACCAUAGGCGUGUCGACGAAAUGCCCCUUUCAUAUUAUCGAGACAUGGUCGAAUUUUAGGAUGUCAUAAUUUUUAUCUCAACUUUUUAUGCCAUGUGAGAUUCUUAAGAAAAAAAAUUCAUCAAUUAAGUGCCCUCAUGACUCUCACUUAUUCUUAAGAUUUUUAUUUAAUGUUUGUUAUCUUAGAAUGUUGCCAAUGAUCAUGAAUUGAUUUAAUCUAAAGUGACAUUUGAUCUGAUGAGACAAAUCUAGAAAAGCAAGUUGAACGAAAAUUAAGAGUUUCAAGGAAAAAGUAAGAUUGAGUUUGGGAAAUCACAUUCUAAUCUUGUAUUCACUGAUCGAUCAAUUAUGAUUGUUUUGGGAUAAUCAUAAUCGUGAAUAUAAUAUAUUAUAAUUAAAAAGAAAUCAGGAAAGAUGUAAAUUCGAUUGAUCAAUUUAGAGAACUGCAUACUACAUUUACUUGAAAACGUAAUACCCAUUUUGAACUGUUAUAUAUUUCUAACAGAUGUAUAAGAACGAAUUCUCAAUGUAUGCUAGUGGCACAGGUUAUUUACUAGUAUGAACGUUGUAGAGAAGAGAAGAAAGAGUUAUGUUUGACCCACCAUGUGAUAGUGGGAGAUGAUGGAUUUUUAUAAAAUUUGUUGGGCCAAGCCAAGCACAUUCGCCCAUGUUGGGCCAAACUUAGCCCGUAAAAUAAGGGCCCACAAGAGAGAAAGCAAUUAUUUUUGUAAGUAAAAAUAACCGCUACAGAAAAAGAAAAAGGGGCACUUUGAAACAUAAUGAAACAGUAUUUACAUUCUUCUUUCUCCUUUAACAACGGUGAAUUCUCUCUCAAAGAAUAGAACGCCAAUACUUCGAUCAAUCCCUUUGAGACUAUAACAAGUACUUAAUCUGCAGCAACUAAGAUACGUCCAUUUUCGUGAUGACCCUUCCGAUUGGUGUUACAUAUUUUUUUGGUUUCAUUUUCGCGUUUGUUUUUAGUAUGCGAUACUUUGUGUAUAUGUUCACUUUUAGGAAUCGAUUUCGGUCACUUAAUUUGAAAUCAAUUUUCGUCAACUUCCACGACUGCACAACGCUCUAAUAUAUCAUUCCAUUAAAUUCUUCAGCUUAACAACUCGAAAGUCGGGUCUUGCAGUUUAAAUUUCACAUAAAUUCAAAUUUGUGUUUUAACUUACUUACUAACCGGUACCAAACGAAGUUGAAUUAACUCGUGAAGAUGCUCCGAGUGCGUGCUCUUUCUUUUCUCUUUCUUCCUUUCUUUUCGUUUCUCUCGAUCUCUUCUUCCUUUUCGUUUCUGUUCCUUUUCUUUUUGUCUUUCUCACGAGCACCCUCGCUCCUUCCUUCUCUUCUUCCUCUGUCAUUUUAAAAUUGAUGUCCCCUCCUUUAUUGACCAAGACUUAAAAAGUCCUCCUCUCUUUUCUACCCAUCCUUCUUUCCCCGCCUCGGAGAUCAAUUUUUACAGAUCAACUACACUUUCGGGAACAGCAAAAGUCAGUCUACGUGAAGCAAUUACAAAAUCAGAGGUUGAGGAAACAGAGACACCCUGUAUUUUUUCAUGUCUCCAAUAAUGAGGGAUGAAGGGGCCGACUCAGGAACAGCCAGUAGUAGUAGAAGUGAUUGUCCAAAAGGCUUCAACUACGACGUGUUCUUGAGUUUUCGAGGUCCCGACACUCGGGAUGGAUUUGCAGAUCACCUCUAUGAGUCCCUGACCAAUUCAGGGUUCCGGGUUUUUUUAGACGAUGAAGAAAUCCGACAGGGCGAGGAGAUUGGUGGAAAGAUUCUGCAAGCAAUAGAGGAAUCCAAAAUCUACAUACCCAUCUUCUCCACCGGAUAUGCUUCGAGUAGAUGGUGCCUCCGUGAAAUCACACACAUGGUGGAGUGUAUAUAUCCAGAUUCUUCGGGAGGACAAAGAGGGCAUGAGAUACUUCCGAUAUUCUACGACGUGGCGCCCUCGGAUCUUAAGCUCGAAACAAAACUGUACGGAGACGCUUUGAGGAAGCAUGAGAGGGAGAGAGGCCGUCGUGUGGUGAAGCCCUGGAAGGAGGCUUUAAAAAAGGUUGCUAAAAUCAAUGGAAGGGAGAUUAAAGGCCAACGGUAAUGUUGAUUUAGUUUACUUAUUGAAAAAUCUUCUUCUUCAUAGAAAGAUUUAUCUUUCAAUACAAUCCUUAUAUAAGGCACAUUAUUUUUUAUUUUAUUUUUUUGGCAAUGGGUUAACACUAAAGGUAUGCCAAUUAUAAGUCAUGCUUCUGAUGGAUAUUCUAUUUAUAUAAUUAUUCUAAGCAUUUUAAGCGUUAAAUUCAUGAAUAUGGCAGCCACGGCAAAGUAAUUAGAGAUAUCAUUCAAGAGAUUUCUCAUAGGAUGACAACAAGAGAGAGAAAUGUUCCUGAUGAUUUGGUUGGAAUAACGGACAGAGUAGAAGACAUCAAGAAGUUGUUAGAUCCCAGUUGUGCUGAUAUCCGAAUCAUCGUAAUUUACGGUAUGGGAGGUAUUGGAAAGACAACUCUUGCCAAGCUAAUUUGUAAUCAACUCUCUCCUCUAUUUCAAGGUUGGAGCUUUCUUCGUGAUAUUAGAGAAUCAUUGUCACGAUCCGAUGGCAUUGUAAAAUUGCAAAAGAAACUACUGUGGGACCUUUUCAACCUCACAUUUCCAGAGACCUUCGACAUAGACGAAGGAUUAAAUAUGAUGAAAAAUAGACUGACCAACAAAAGAGUCUUGGUUGUUCUCGAUGAUGUGGAUGAUGGUGAUCAACUCAUGCAACUAGCAGCAAAACCCAAUUGGUUUGUUCCAGGAAGUAGGAUCAUUAUCACAACUAGAGACACUCGUGUAAUACCUACAACCAAGGUGGAAGGGUUAGAAGAAAAUGUCUUAACGCAGCCCGUAAAGAUUUACCUUUAUGAAAUGCAGGAGUUACAUUCUGAUCAUGCUCUAGAACUUUUUAGCAAGCGCGCCUUUAGCACAUGUUCACCUCCACAUGAUUAUGACAAUCUUUCAAGAGAAUUUGUAGCUACAACCGGAGGACUCCCUUUGGCUCUUGAGGUGAUAGGCUCUUCUCUCCGUACCAAAAGCAAAGCGGCAUGGAAUGAUUCAUUGAAGAAGUUGAAGGAAGUGCCUCACGAGAAAGUACUAAAGAAGUUAAUUAUAAGUUAUGAUGCACUGGAGUAUGGGGCAAAACAAAUUUUUCUGGAUAUCGCAUGCUUCUUUGUGAUGAAGAGAAAAAUUGAUGCAUUUUAUAUGUGGGAAUCUUGCAAUUUUUUUUCCAGGAGCUGAAUUUGAGGUUCUUAUCAAUAAGUCAUUGAUCAAGAUUGUUGAUGGUGAUAGAAUAUGGAUGCAUGAUCAAGUAAGAUAUCUUGGAAGAGAAAUGUUCGUCAGCGAGAAAUGUUCGUCAGAGAUAUAGAAUUCCGAAGGUUGGAGCCAAUUGUGGUUACAUGAAAUAGCCUAUAAAAUAGUACUGGCAGGAAAGGUAAGAACCAAUGCAAAAUGAGCUUUUUUACUAUAUGACAAAGUUGAAGGGAAUUCGUAAACCUCAUUUUAAGGGUUCAGCAUCUGUAUUGAUGCCUGUGCUCACUAAUUUCUGGUUUAUUCUCGCAGAGAACAGAAAAUGUAGAAGCGCUAGCACCAUCGUCAUCCCGAGACAAUUUCACACGUGAAGAUUUUGUAGAUCUUUCAAAAACAAGGUUCCUUGUAUUGGAAGGCGGAAAUGUCACUGGAGAUUUUGAGAAUAUAUUACCAGAGUUAAGAUGGCUUUGUUGGCACUGCUGUCCUUCAGAACUACAGGCACAAAAUUUUGUGCUAAAGAACCUGGUUGUUCUCAAGCUUUCAGGCAAUAUUAUCAUAAAUGAAUGGAGCGGAUGGGUCCAAGUCAUGGUAUGAUCUCAGUCCAUGCAUUUAUUCAGUCCCAUUAUAUGUGAUAACAUACUAUAAUUCCUCGAUUCAAUGUUUCUGAUGAUACUAAUUUGACCGUUUACAGAUGGGAAGUAAACUGAAGGUUUUAAAUCUCAAGGGUAGUAAAUUUCUUACUAGAACACCGGACUUCUUUGGAUGCCUGAAUUUAGAGAGAUUGAUCAUGAGAGAUUGCGAGAACUUGGAUGAAAUUGAUCGCUCAAUUGGAAAACUAGAGCAACUGAAGUGCUUGAAGUUCAAACGGUGUCCUCGUCUAAAAGAUCUGCCAGAGGAAAUUGGUAGUCUAUCUUCCCUGAGAGAGUUUAUUUUAAUACAGUGCGAAUAUGUUCAUACUUUGCCAUCUUGGAUUGGUAAUCUUAAAGGUCUGUCAAGGCUGGUGAUGGAUGAUCUAGGACUUGAUAAACUUCCUCUGGAAAUCUCAGAGCUAGUGGAUCUUAAGUACUUGUCUCUAAUGAAUUCUACAAGGCUAAAAGAGCUUCCAUUCACGAUAGGGCAGUUGAAAUCGUUGGUAGAGUUGGAUUUGUGCGGCUCAUUGAUUAGAGAACUACCUCUAUCGAUUGAAAACCUGGAAAAUGUAGUGAUAAAGAUUAACAGCUGUGGCAUAAGAUUGCAACAGGGAGACAACAUUGGAAGAUUCACCAGUUAUUUGAGUUCUCAAAGAUAUGCCAAGCUUAUGCGUAGAGGUGAGCUGGGAUCCUCCUUGAGAGUCUCCGAAUAUCCUAUUGACUUGCUUCUAGAGUGGGGGAUAAUUCAAACAGAGUACAAUGUCUAUCUCCAAUGUUUGCCUAAUUACAUCAAGCAGAUUUCUGUCUCGACAGUAUUUAAUGCUCCAAAGGCAAGAUAUCUGGCGUCCAAGAUUGUUCAGUUUCAAAACUCAAUUGGAGAAGUUGAAAAUCUGAUUUCCAGCCUUGUUUCCGUACUGAGGAGAAUGAGGGCAAUGGAAUUAUGUUUUGUAUGCCACUUACGAGUUGGUUGCAUGCCCCUAGAAAAUCCACAGUUUAGGGUCCUAAUUAACUGUGAUGAUAAGCCAAAUGAACCAUUCUAUCCAAGAUACUGUGACCGUUGUCUGCAGAUGUUGAGGAGCUUGUUGUCAUUGAGUCCACAGCAUUUGCAAGUUUGCAAGGAGCUUCAACUGCUGCCGCAGCUUUCUCUAAAGCUUGGCAUGAUGUUGGAUGGUUCAAAGGUUCUAUCUUGUAAAAUGGAAAUAGAAGCAACAUUACCAUAUCCAUCUUGCUUAGAGAGCAUCAAACGUCAUUGCUCAAUCGAAGAACUUGAAACAUGGGUUAGAAUGUAUAGCUCUUGGGAUCAAGGGGCGAUUCCGGAAGAGAAUUCCACAUCUGAACGAAAAAUCCAUGGCUGCGUGGGAAUAAAACGCUGCCAGAGUCUUGACCAUGCGUUGAGCCAGGAUGUGCACCGGAAAAGAAAACGAGACUAGCAAGGAUACAGCUAUCUCUGGGAUAAGAGAGUUUCCUAUACAUGGACAGCAAACCUUCCGGAAAUGAUCAUUAAAAAUUACUCUGUUAUAUCGUAUGAACUAUAAGAAAAAUACGUACAAUAGUUGCUUCAGAUUCUGUAUUCAGUGUGUAUUGAGCAAGAUUCCAUCGUCUGUGCAGAGCUUGCUUCACGUCAUUUGGCGUCUUCUUUCACCCAUUGUUGUUGCUUUUCUUCACUUGUUGUACUGAAUAAAUCUACUUGCAGCUGCAAAUUUUGUGAGGGCGUCAUCAUCAGUCCAACCAGCAAGAUGUCCGAAACGUGAUUCUAUGACUUCUCCAAGAUUCGGCAGAAGCUCUUCUCACCCGAUUUAGGUGUAGCUAUAAAUUUGGGAGCUUUUCUCUCUCCAUCUAAAUCUAAAUCUAAGAGUUUCUUAGUAGCGUUCAAUCUGUGAUGAUUCAACAUAUUAUUAUUGUUAUUGUUUUUCAUAUGACAAUGGUGUUGAGGACACCUAAUCUAGGCGCACACUGUAAGCUAUAAUUUCUAGAGGGAAAGUUCUUGGCGUGUGCCCAUAACUACGAUUGGCCGCUGAUUUUUUUAUAUUUUUUAUGCUGUAACUGUUGAUUUCGAAAGAACAGAGAAGGAGUUGACAACAAAAACCGUAUAUAUUAUUCAGAAAAUUGAAAAAAAUGCUUAAAUACAUACUAAAACUUGACCAUAAACCCACAUUGCCCACUAACAGCUUGCUUGGUCCACAAAACCAGCAACAAACUAACAGAAUAGAUAAAAAGCGUGCAGCUAACUGCUCCUACAAGAUAGGAUUGACCAAAUAAAACAACAAUUAACUAACUCCUAGAAAACAGGACAUCAACAAACUGACUUAACAAAACAAAAAACAAAAAAAAACAGAUGGUGCGGUCUUGAUACAUCUACAGUAACAAAUUUGGUCUUUUGGGAUGAGAGCAUGUUUAGAGUUGCAAGCCCAACUCUUUUGUUUUUUGGAUUUUGUUUUGUUUUGCAGUCUUUUUGGGAUUUGUUUUACUUGAAAAUUUUCUAUGUUCCUCUUAUAUUUCAUCAUGACCAAUGAGUGAAAUUUUCUGUUGACCAAAAAAAAAGUCAUGUAUCCUCAUGUACAAGUUAAAUUUAAGGAUGUUUUCCCUUCUCAGUAGUCAUGAAGGCUCCUAUAAUUUGUUACUUUUGUUGCCAGAUUAGAAAUCCCAAAGGAAUCAGAUCUCCACGAUAAUUUCGUACAGCUUCUUAUUCCACCGUAACUGCUGGGUAGUUAUCCUUGCCAUUUUGAAAGAGGCGAAAACUUGAAGAGGAAAACGAAUAUUUUGAGCUUAUAUAAACUACUCAAUCUGCUUAUUGAAAUAUAAUUUUGUCAAAGCCCCAAAUUGUAUAUAUAGGAUGUAAUGAAUAGCUAGUCAUCCUUUAUAAAAUAAAGAACAAACCACAAUAAGUCUCUUCACCGAAAUAUAUCGACUGAAUAGAACCUUUCAUUGAAUGAAUUAACCAAAACUAGAGAUUUACAAAACCCAAUCCAGUCAACUUUAUUCAAUAUUCUGAAGUAGAGUCUCCUGCCACCUCCAAAUCCUCUCCACAUGCUUUCGACUAAUUUUCCUCGUUUUCAGACCCUGGAAUGGUAAUAAAGGGGUGAGCAAAAUCACAGCUUUGUGUCUGACAAUCACCACUUCUAUGAAAUCAUGCUAGGACUUAUGCAGAUUUUAUUCGAUUAUGCAGCACAUCAGACUAGUACAAAUAUUUACUUUUAAAUCACGUAAUACAACAUCGCAUAUCUCGACGUAUAGAUAUCUAAUCCAUUGCUUGUGUCUGAACACUAUGAUCACACUUCACCAUGCAAGAAGGCUAAAAAACUACAUCGACUAUAGUUAAACCCCAGAAAUUACAUUGGCUGUGGUUAAGUCAUAUAACAUAAUUAGUCAAUAAACGUACAUCAUAUUCCAAUGUGUAGGUCAACCAUGAGUAUUGAUCCAGUAUCCAUAUAUUAUAAUCAACAUACGAACAUAUCAUUUGACUAAUUACCUACAUACAUUUUCAGUGCAUAUCCAAUACGACAACAAACUUGACAAUCCAUCAAGUGCCUAAUCCAGCUUUAUGAAGUAGCAUGUCUCAAGAUAAUCUAUUUUUAUCCAUGCUCUUAAUAUGGGUUGUGACAUGAUAUAGUACUUUGUGUUGGAGAGAACUCCUUUGAUGUCUUGAAGUUGACAAAACUUGUUCAAAGUCUAUUCUGAAGAAUUCCAAACUGGUAUGUCAACGUCUGAAGACUCCCAGACUUUCUGUCAAAAUCUGAAGACUCCCAGACUUUCUGUCAAAGUCUGCACACUCUGUCAAAUUCCAGAUUGAAUGAAAGUGAAGGAUGAAGACUUUUUUAGAUCAGGGAUUAUCUUUUCUUCAAGAGAUUGGUUCGUAUGGAUUAUAUAUGGUCUUUUGGUUGGAGAUAUCACCUACAAGAUUGAAUAUCUUUACUGAAAUUAAUUUGGAUAUAUCAAAUCUUUUUGGAAGGCAAGUAAUUUUGGAAAGAAUCUACUUAUGGAAACCAAAAUCCUAAUUGUAUGAACAAAUUGACGGGCUUUCAUCACAAUCUUCAAACGGCUCGAGAUCUCCUUGAUUGAUUCUAUCCAACGGGUUGAUUGGAAUAAUUCCUUUGGAAAGUGCCAAUAGUUGAGAAGGCAUGAAGGAGUAUUUAAGGAGGACUCUCUAGUUGUUCAAUAGUGUACGUGAAAGAAAAAUUUCAAAGUCUAAAACUUCCCAAUUUCUUGUUAUUUCAUAUACCGUGCUACAAAUUGUACUCAAAAGAGAGAGACGUAUAGUGUGACUUCGUGAGAGAGCAAUAGAGACUCUUCACUGAGAAGUCAAGAUCGCAAGAUUGUAACAUCUCUUUUGAUUCAUAGUGGAAUCCAGCCAGUAAACUGUCAGCGUCAGAGAGUGGACGUAGGCUUGAUCUAAGCGAACCACUAUAAACUUUGUGUUCAUAUUCUCUUCCCUGAACUUAUUUAUUUUGUUCGUAGUUCUAUUUAACUGCUAAAGUCUGAACUUGCUUAAAGUCUAUUGUUAUUCAGACUCAGUUUCAAAAGCAAAAUAUUUUCAUUGUUCUUUACGAAAAAUUAUUUUCACACCUAUUCAUCCCAUCUAGGUGUUCAUAUUAGCACUUACAAUUGGUAUCGGAGCUUGUAUACUUAAUUUUGAAGUGUUUUACUUCUAAGCUAAAGAUCCUCUAUAGCUAGUAUUUUGGCUCCAAGUUUGGUUGAAGGUUAGAGCAACACCAAACCUCCUUACUUCGAUGGAAAGGAAUACAAUGUAUGGAAGAACAAGAUGAAGGCAUUUCUCAUAUCCAGAGACCCUAUAGAAUGGGAUGUCAUAGAAAAAUGGAUCAAUCCUAAAGCUACAUCAACUUCAGAUCGAGGAAAAGAAGUCAUAGAUGCUGACGAAGCAACACGAGCUGAAUUUACCAAGAGACAAGAUCUUGACGCAAAAGCAAUCUACUAUUUAUAUUGUAUCUUAUCUCCUACUGAGUAUAACCGAAUUUCUUCUUGUGAAACAGCAAAAAAAGUUUGGGACAGAUUACAUGUUACCUAUGAAGGAACUGACCGUGUGAAGGAAACCAAAAUAAACAUUUUGCUCGGAUAGUAUGAAGCCUGGAGAAUCUAUUACUGAUAUGUUCAGUCGAUUUACAAAGAUUGUAAAUGGCCUGGCUUAUCAAGGUCAAUCAAUCUCAGGACCAAUGAAAGUGAACAAGCUACUGCGUGGGCUUUCGAAAGACUGGAAUCAUGUGAAGACCUUAAUUAGAGAAACCCAGAAGAUCAUGCCUCUAUCAGUUGACGAACUAAUAGGAAUGCUUCAGUCAUACGAAGUGGAACAAAUAAAUGAUGAAAAAGAUCCUAAAGGUAAGAAGUCAAUUGCUUUAAAGUCUAACAUUGAUCCUGAUGAUACAGAUUCAGAUGAUGAUAUGGACGAUGAAGAGCUGGCGCUUAUGAUUAAGAAAUUCAAAAAGUUGAAUAGAAAGGGAAGAAGAUUCAACUGAAAAAAACAGACCACGCGAAAUUUCCAGAAGAAACCAACUAAGGACAAUGAAACCAGCAAAGAUGUGAUAUGCUUUGAAUGCAAGAAAAAAGGGGCAUAUCAGACCUAACUGCCCUCUGUUAAAAAAAAAAGAAAGGAAAAGCUGAGAAGUACAAAAAGGCACUCAAAGUUGAAACUUAGAGUGACACCGAGUGUGAGGAAAGCGAAGAAGAAUAUGCCAACAUAUGUUUGAUGGCUCAUUCCGACCCAGACUCAGAAUCAGAAAUAGACUCUGAUUUAGACUCAGACAGAGAAAUUGAGGUUAGUGAUUUAAAAAUUCCCGUCAAAGUCUCUAAAUACAUAGAUGAACUUUGUCUCAGUCUCGAAUCCUCUUUUAAAAGGAUUUCUGAACUAAAAAGGGAGAAUUCUAAGCUCAUGCAAUAGGAAGCUUCUUGGAAAGAAAAUUUUGAAAAUCUGAAAACAAGUUUUGAUAAUUUGAAAGAAAAUUCUAAUUCUCUUUCAAAGGAAAACACUUUUUUUGAAAAGUGAUAUCUCAAAUAUAACAAAAAGAUUUUCAAAUGGAUCCGAGAAACUGGAGAAAAUUCUUUCGGCUCAAAUACCCUACUUCAACAAAUUUGGUUUGGAUAUGACUCUAGAAACUGUUCCAUUAAUCGAUUUUCCUAAAGUAAAGGAGAGAAUCAAACAAAGACCUGCAAAGGCAUUUUACAAAACUCAUUUUCAAAUUUUUUUUGUAAAACCUGUUGGCCGAAGUGCACUUAGAUGUUCAAAAUGUAAUAUCUUAGAACAUUUUGAGAAAGAAUGUCCCAAGGUUUGGAAAUCAGUUAAGAAGGACUGGGCUAAGUUUGUUUUUAAUAUUAACCCUCCAGGACCCAAGAAAAUCUGGAUACCUAAGAAAGUUUGAAUUUUUCUUAUGAUCACAGGUCACUAUCAAAAGAAAGAUCAAAUGGUUUUUGGAUAGUGGCUGUUCGAGGCAUAUGACAAGAGACUCAAGCUGCUUUAUAAAGCUUGUUAGAUUGAAUGGAGGAAAAGUAUCUUUUGGAGGAAAUAGCAAAGGAAAGAUCGUAAGAUGUGGAACUCUGAAGAUUUGAAGCCUAACCAUCAACAACGUUUCUUUGGUGGAAGGAUUGAACUAUAAUCUACUGAGCAUAAGUCAGCUUUGUGAUACUAGUUUCAGAAUAAACUUCCAAGAAGGCAUUUGUUAUGGAGCGAGUCAAGACUUCUCUCAAUCUUUCAUUGGGCGAAAGCAUGGCAACAUUUACCUUGUGGAUAUAAACCCAGAAAGUUCUCAGUGCCUUAUUUCCAUUCAAGAUGAAGCAAGUUUCUAGCAUCGGAAGCUUGGUCAUGUGUUCUGGGAAAACAAGUCAGAAGUUCCUUCAAACCUGUGAAUCAAAUUUCUACCAAUCGAGCUCUGCAGCUUCUUCACAUGGACCUUUUUGGUCCAACCAAAACUCAAAGUAUUGGUGAAAAGAAAUAUUGUCUAGUAAUUGUGGAUGAUUACUCUCGCUUCACUUGGUUCUACUUUCUAGCUAGUAAGACUGAAACCUUCUCUUAUUUCUCAAAUUUUGCCAAGAAGGUUCAGAAUGAAAAAUGGUAUGCUAUCUCAAGUAUACGAACUAACCAUUGAGGUGAGUUUGAGAAUCAGGACUUUGCUAAGUUCUGUGAUGAAUCCAGUUUUUAGCAUAUUUUCUCUUCUCCAUACACUCUAGAACAAAAUGAGGUUAUGAAAAGAAAGAACAGAUCCUUACCGGAAAUGGCCAGAAAUCUCUUGAUAGAGAGUAAAAUAUCUUCUCGAUUUUGGGCAGAAGCAGUUUCAACUACNNNNNNNNNNNNNNNNNNNNNNNNNNNNNNNNNNNNNNNNNNNNNNNNNNNNNNNNNNNNNNNNNNNNNNNNNNNNNNNNNNNNNNNNNNNNNNNNNNNNNNNNNNNNNNNNNNNNNNNNNNNNNNNNNNNNNNNNNNNNNNNNNNNNNNNNNNNNNNNNNNNNNNNNNNNNNNNNNNNNNNNNNNNNNNNNNNNNNNNNNNNNNNNNNNNNNNNNNNNNNNNNNNNNNNNNNNNNNNNNNNNNNNNNNNNNNNNNNNNNNNNNNNNNNNNNNNNNNNNNNNNNNNNNNNNNNNNNNNNNNNNNNNNNNNNNNNNNNNNNNNNNNNNNNNNNNNNNNNNNNNNNNNNNNNNNNNNNNNNNNNNNNNNNNNNNNNNNNNNNNNNNNNNNNNNNNNNNNNNNNNNNNNNNNNNNNNNNNNNNNNNNNNNNNNNNNNNNNNNNNNNNNNNNNNNNNNNNNNNNNNNNNNNNNNNNNNNNNNNNNNNNNNNNNNNNNNNNNNNNNNNNNNNNNNNNNNNNNNNNNNNNNNNNNNNNNNNNNNNNNNNNNNNNNNNNNNNNNNNNNNNNNNNNNNNNNNNNNNNNNNNNNNNNNNNNNNNNNNNNNNNNNNNNNNNNNNNNNNNNNNNNNNNNNNNNNNNNNNNNNNNNNNNNNNNNNNNNNNNNNNNNNNNNNNNNNNNNNNNNNNNNNNNNNNNNNNNNNNNNNNNNNNNNNNNNNNNNNNNNNNNNNNNNNNNNNNNNNNNNNNNNNNNNNNNNNNNNNNNNNNNNNNNNNNNNNNNNNNNNNNNNNNNNNNNNNNNNNNNNNNNNNNNNNNNNNNNNNNNNNNNNNNNNNNNNNNNNNNNNNNNNNNNNNNNNNNNNNNNNNNNNNNNNNNNNNNNNNNNNNNNNNNNNNNNNNNNNNNNNNNNNNNNNNNNNNNNNNNNNNNNNNNNNNNNNNNNNNNNNNNNNNNNNNNNNNNNNNNUCUGUGGAGGAAUCCCAUGAAUGCAAAGUUUCAAGAUAUAUGGAGAAUCUACCAGACCAGACUUAACUUGAAGAGUCUGAACCCGUUCCAGACUUUACAAAGUCUAUUUCCCCCGAAGACGUUCAUACUUCCGGAGAUCAUGGGUUUUGGGAAUCGGACAUUCAAACAUGUCAUGAUUUAUUUUUAGGACGUUGUCUCGUCUUUCAGAGAAUUUUCGUCGAGCCCAGAAUUUUGCGGAAAAAUCAAUUUCGGACAAAAGGAAAAGGAAUGUCAAUUCGGAUGCGCUGCUUUAUUAGGAUUUUUGGCUGCCCAAAUUACUUUGUUUGUAAAGAAAUGAAGGGAAAUUGGCCAUUGGAUGGCCCCUUGACAAUUUGGCAUGAAGACUUUGGGGCAUAUACACUUGAGUACUUGGAUUUUUAGCAAGACUUCUUAAUGGCUGCCACUUUGACUAAUUGGUUUCCCUCUCUCUCUUUAAAAUUUCUCCCCCCAUUCUUGCGUGUAGAACCCCCUAGCCAAACCCUUUUGCCUCCUCCUUCUUCUUCUUCUUUUUCACGUGUCUUCCUCUUUCUCCCUUCUUAGUUCUGCUUCUUUCAUUUCCUUGGUGACGCAAGUCACCAGCUCAUGCCAACCGCAGCUAGCAACUGCCUGACCUUACGUCCGUUGCCGUUCGCAGCUCCACAGCCCGCACCACCCCACGCCUCUAGCCAAUCUGUCCAACUGCCCAACCUAGUUCAUCUAGCCAGCCCGCGGCCAGCAACCGUAGCCAGCUUGCCCGUCCGUCCAGAUGCUGCCAACUAUUGCUGUCCCAACCCCUCGGCAUCGUCUCAGCCCCCUCAAAUAGAGCCAAAUCUCAACUUUGGUUAAGACUUGUGGGCUGUUUUCUUAGCCAUUAGGCGUCCGUUGGAGACACGGUUGUCUCAGGUCCUCACCGCUUUCGUGUCGCCGUCACUGUGAACCCACCGCCGUCCUAAUCCAGUGAGUUAACUCCCUAAUCCUUGAUUAGGUAGUUAAUUGUGCUUAAGGGUUAGAUUAGUGUUAAGUGGAUUAGUGCUAAUUAGUUUAGUAAGAUGAACUAGUCUAGUUAGGUUAGUUUGGUUAGGUUAGCUAGUUAGUUAGGUUGGUUAGUUUAGUUAGGUUAGCCUACCCUAGGUUAGGUUAGUUAACUUGGGUUAAUUAGUUAACCAUCAUUAGGAUAGUUAGCCGUGGUUAGUUUAAUUAACCAUGGUUAGGUUAAUUAAUCAUAAUUUAGUUAAUUAAUCGUAAUUAGCAUAAAAUUGUGAUAGAUUAUCUAUUUUUCAUAAUUUUACGCUGAUUCUCGUGGUUGAAUUUAUAUGUGAAUUUGAUUGCUUAUAUGUGCAAUUGAGUGCUUUGUGGUGAUUAUUAAUUAUUAUUGCAAAAUUUGAUUUAUGAGUAUUUAAUUAGAAAAAAUACCGGGUGUUGGUUUUUGAAGCCAAAAUUUUAUGUAUUAUAUAAAAUCGUGAAAUUUUGAAAUGGGAGUAUACCAUGUUUAAAGGUUCGAUUUAAAUAUGUGACCACACACAAUUAUUUUACUGGGAAUUUUUAAUACGAAGAAAAUGGGCCAAGUUCAUUAUUUAAAUACAAGGUAUUUGAGUGCAAAACACGGUGUUCUUAGCCAAGUAUGGGUGCACGUGUGGUCACUAUCGGAACCCGUCACCCAAUUAGAGUCGGGGAGGCGAUGCCUAAUUAAGUUCAGAUGCCCCAUGUCAACGGAUGCUGGUUACGAUGGAGGCCGAACCGAUGCUCCUUUAUGGAAUGCCAUCUAGGUGUAGAUGUUGACGUGCUCGACGGAGUGGGACAACGCUUGGUUAUGCUGGAUGACCGCCGACUGUUGAGUUGGCUGUGGCUGAUGAAUCGUAAUAACUGGAACACGCCUGAGUGGUUGUGAUAGCUGCGCUUGAUUAUGAGGCAAAAUAGUGUGGUAUGGUAUGAGACGUGUCAUAAUGGUUUUACCUUAUAAUCGAGACCCGUGUGAUGUUUGAUGGAUCAAAAUGAGGUGUUCCGGUUAUUAAGUAUGCUUGUGAUGUUUAUAAGUGCAUAUGUGAUGAGCUAAUAUGCAGGUACACACCAAGGCGAUGUGAGUUCUAUAUGGUGCAUGUUUAAGACCACCUUCGAGGCGAAUUUGUGUCAUAAUUGAGGUUUAGGGUUUUGACUCACUGAGAUUUAUCUCACCAUGUCGUGGUUAACCCUUUUUUAGGUCCUUAGCAUGGAGAUAUGUCAUGUCUAUUUUGGGAUACCAUGGCACAUGGAUUCUGAGUCUACUUUCUUCCCUAUUCUCGGGAUCACCUGGAUCCGUGAGUUAGUGGUGACCAUGAUUUGGGUCGAUGAGGGUCUUCUUCACUUAGUGCCUCAUCGCUUCAAAGUAGGGGUGAGUGUGGUUCCUAGGUAGAACCGAGAACUGAAGAACCGGUCCAAAGGGUCCGGUUCGGUUCCCGAUUCCAAAGGGACGGAUUCCGGUUCCCAAUUCCCUUUUUCUAGGAACCGGCGGUUCUCGGUUCCAAUUCCGAUUCCGGCUAUGGGAACUAGAAUCGGAGCCCCAAAUCAAACCCUUAGUUCACUUCACACUUUCAGUUCUUUGGGUCUCUCCCGUUCUCUGCUUCUGUCGAUCGUAGCGUUGCUCGCCCUCGACACUGUCGCCGAACGUUGCUCGCCCGCAACGCCACUACCGAACGCUGCUAACCCUUAACGCUGCCGUCGGACGUCGUUGGACACCAGUCGCCCUCGCUCGCCUUGCCCUUGCCUCCCUCGACGCCGUCACCCCUCGCUCAUCCCGCCACUCAGCCGCCGCCGGACGUUGGUUGUCCCGCCGCUGGACGCCAGUCGGCCCGUGCUCGCCUUGCCCUUGAUUUCAUAUGCGAAUGCAACAUAAAUAGAGAGAGAGAGAGAGAGAGAGAGAGAGAGAGAGAGAGAGAGAGAGAGCUACAAAACUAUCAUGAGAAAAAAACAUGGUGGUGGAAGAGACGGUGAAAUCUGCAGUGGCGGCGACAGUGGCUGCGACCACCGAUGACCAGAAGAACCCCGCCACCGCGAACCCUAACCCUAAUUCGAAGGGCGUUGCAGGCAGUGGCGACCCGGAGCUGGACGAGGGAGAGAUUGCAAGUGAAGAGGACUUAGUCGAGCAGUUGGCGAAGGAGGAGCCCAAGGCGGACCAGCCGCAUCCGCUUGAGCACUCGUGGACUUUCUGGUUCGAUAACCCUGCUGCGAAAUCGAAGCAGAUGGCUUGGGGUGCCCCCAUGUGCCUAAUCUACACUUUCUCUACCAUCAAAGAAUUCUGGAGGUGAAAAAAUUUUGCGUUUCUCUCUCAAAUUUUGGGAACCUAGUUCUAGAGUCGAUUGAGUUGUGGUUGGGUUGUUCUCUUUUCUGGGUGAUUCUUGUUAUCAUCGUGUUAUGGCUAAUCGGUUUGAUGGUGUUCCAAUUUUGUUCUCACUGAAUGCAAAGUUUUACGGUUAGGGAGAAUUAGUUGCUCUACCAUUAUGGUUUUGAGGAGUGUCUGUAGAGAAGGACUGUCGCUAAUUCUGAAUGCACCGACCUCUGAUAGAGAGUCCACGUUUCAUUGUACAAUAUAUUUGUUCAUGUGUCCAUUGAUGUCUUGUCUUCUUCGUGAUCAACAUGAACAAUGGAAGCGACCUACAGUAAAUGCAUCUCGAAGGUACUUUUAAUUGUCUUAAUUCAGCAAGUCAUGUUUCAAUUUAUUAUUUGUGCACUUGUCUUAAUUUAAUUUGUCUCAUUCUUUUGGUCCUCUGGUGGUGUUCAAGUGUGAAAGUUUUUCGUUGCCAAUUGCCUCGUGACUAUUCCUUCUACUUAAGUGAACCCCCACGACAUGAUGGGAGUGACAAACCUUUAGGGAGUGGAGGUAGCUUUUUAUGUCUUUUCCUAGUCAGUUAUGUUCUGAUUUUUGUCUUUGGAAGUGGAUGGAAUACUUUAUGACAGUGCACAUACAUUGAGCAAAUGAAUAUGAUAUCCUCUUUUUUUUUAAUCAGUUUAUACUUUAUGACAGUGCAUAUACAUUUGAGCAGAUGAAUAUGCUAUCCUCUAUUUUUUUUUUUUAUCGGUUUAUACUUUAUGACAGUGCACAUACAAUGACUUGGUUAUGUUGUUGUCUCCAAGGGCCUAAUUUCAAAGACUAAACUCAUGGAUAGGCUUUUGACUACUUGUUUUGUUGUCUUAGUCUCUCAGUAAUUAUGGUAUUAAUCCUUCUCUUUUUGGCCAAAACGUGUUGUUGUUAAGCAGCUCCACUUUGUAACUGGUGUGGAACAUGGAAAGGAGAUAAAAUUUGUGGUAGCUGCAGAGAAGCAUGAUACUGCUCUAAAAAAAUCAGGUUCUAGGUUAUUCAACUCCUUAUACACAUUCCCCGUUAGUCUGGUCUUUUCCGUGACACUUUUUGUUUUUCACCUGCAGGCCAUGCAUUGGCACUCAGGUCAUAAAGUUAUGUGCCAAAAUAGUAGUAGAAAUGCAGGAAACUCAUCAGUAGAAGACCACAAAUGUGAGCAACUAUUUUAGACUUCUUUGGAUAAAUUAUACUAGUAUUGCAGGGGAGGCACUGGUAUAUGUGCCUCUUAGGUCUCAUGAAUUUUCCUUUUUCACAUGCACAGCUAUGUUCUUUCUGUCACGUUGGCAUAGUAGAGGUCCUACAAGAGUAUUUUGACCAUGCCUUAGUAAGUACACUGCCGGAGAUAUAUGUAGUCAUUUAGCUGUGAUGAUUUCAGUUUGUGGUCUUAUGCUUGAAGUUGCAGCUGUGUCCUUUUUGUCAUGUUGGUAUACUAGAGGUCUUUUCAGAGUAAUUUAAACAUGCCGUAGUACGUAGACUGUUAGAGAUAUAUGUAGUCAUUUAGCUCUUACGAUUUCGGUCUGUAGUCUUAUUCUUGAAGUUGAAAUUGAACUUGGCAUCAUGUUUUAACUUUCGGUAUUUGUUUUCUGUACUUUUAAAAUGUUAACUUCUCUAUGGUGUAAUUCUGCAAACAGGUGCAAGCAGGAGUUUAUGACCUAAACACAAGAUCGUCAAUGAGGAUGAGGCUGAAUAUGAUGUCGAUUUGUCUGCUGGUUUGGAUAAUACCAAUUGUGUGGUAUCCAGAAACUAGAUGGAUGACUCAAUAAAUUCACUUAUUGAGAGUUUCUAGGCCUUGAUUGCAAUCAUUGCUAACUUGGAAAUCAUCUGCCGUGGGAUUUGGAAUCUUUUAGGUAUGAUGUGUUCUUUUUCCCUACUCUAACCUUUGUACCAUGAAAGCAGAAGAAUCCAAUGACAUACCUGAUGGAACAUUGCUGAUUGUUUACAGGCAGAAAGGGUUCCUGAUGGAUUCGUGCUCAAUGUUGUGCGAAGGGAGGACCUAGCAUCGCCAAAUAGAAGCGGGGAUUGCAGCUGUGAAGUCCCCAAAUGCUUGCAAUUGGAUUCAUCGGAGAAGGAGAUGGAUGUUUGACAUCCGGAUUUUUUUAGGUAUGCUAUUGGUACCUUUUUUUUUUUUUUUAAUCUAAUAUAGUAAAACUAAGUUUGCUUGUAAACUUAAGAGUGGUUUGGAAUAUUACAAUGCUAGCUUAUAACAUCUUUUCCUUAAGAUCUUACCUAAUGGCAGGACUGAGUAAUUGUUACAUACUUUACCUUGAAAACGAAACAAAAAAAAUGAGAUAAAAAAAAAAAAAGAACCUGUAGGAACUUAGAACCGACCCCAAAACCUGUGACAGGGUAGGUUCCAGGUUCUUGGUUCUGAAGGAUAGGUUCCAGGUUCCAAAAAAUGAGGAACCUGUACCCAAGGGUAGGUUCUAGGUUCCAGACGGAAUCGAACCGGAACCGGGAACCGCUCACCCUUACUUCAAAGCGUGGUUCCUUAACAAGCCUAAUGGGGUUUGGGAGGGUCCUUUGCAGGGUUUUGACGGGCGUACUAUCGAAACCGAGGAUGAGGAGGUAGCUCACUCCAUGGAAAUCGACAUUUCAAAUGGUGUUUUGGAGGACCUAGUGCUGGAGUCAGAGGGAUCCAGGGUAUAAGUCGAUUAGGACUUCUUUUUGGAGAUCGACUUUUAUAUAUAGACCUAUAGGGCUAACUUUUUUUUUUUUUUUGGUAAAAGGUAAUAGAUAUAUUAACUUUAAACUAAGGGGCUAUACAACUAUACAGCAAAGAACUCGGCACCAAAAACUUGCACUCAUGAAGACAGACAAGUCAAAGCGAGUGGAAGGGUGCCGAGAAAAGGGGAGCGACAACCUGCACAGGAGCAGAAACAAGCCAAAACAGCAACACAAGGUGUUGCAACCUCUUUUUCAGCGAGCACUUGGGGUGGGCGCCUUGCAAAGGCUAAUGGUUCGGCUAUGUCUAUUUUAGCCCGGACUCUCCCAAGUCCACCAAUUCAGGACUUUAAUAGUCUAAGCUUUUAACCUAUAAGUCAAUUUUAAAACAGAGUCGCCACUAAUCGGUUUAUGGUGGGUUGAUUAGAAACCCAAGUGAAGUAUCGGGAGAAAUACUUGCUCCUGCACAACUAGAGAGAAAUUAGGAUUAGGGACUUGAUUACACUAGUUAAUCACUAAUGCCCUUUCGGUACCUAAUCUUCUUUAAACCCUAAGACUUUUUGGAUGCUUGAGAGAUUUUUCCAUGUAUUUUGUGAAGGAAAAACAAUUUUUUGGGCAUUUUCUCAUUUUUUGGACAUAAAAAGCAUUUUUUGAUUUUUUGGUCUUUUUUCCGAAAAUAUAAAUUAUUUUUUUGGCUUUUUCUAACAUUUUUGGCUUUUUUAGGAAAAUAUAGGAUAUUUUAACCUUUUUUGAUUUUCUGGAAAAUAAAUUCUUUUUCAAAAAAAUUAAAAUAUUAUAUUUAUUAUUAUAAUAAUAUAACGAACCAGGUCAGGUUCCCGAGACCGACCUGGGAUUUUUCCUUUUAAACCUAAAAGCCCAAAACCCAUUUUUCGCCCGAUUUCAUAAAAAAAUCCAGCCCAAAGGCUACCCGGCCCACGCUCACAACCCGGCCCACUUUGAAGCCAGACCCUACCCGAUUUAGACCCACACCCGACCCGGUUUCGCGAGAACCCUAAAGCUUGACAAUUCGCGGCCUAGAGGGGGGAAGCUGGGGCGGCGGCUUGCAUCGACAACAGCGACGACGAGCCUGACAGCGACGAAGACUAGGGCGACGACGGGCGGCUGUUGGAUUCUCGAGGGGGGAAGCGACGGCGAAGCUACGGUGACAGGUAAGGGCGGCGACCAAAGUUUCGGGCGAAAAUGGCGACAGUCGAUGGUUGAUACCUGUCUGCAAAGGAGGCGCUGGGCGGCGGUGAAUGGUGGCAGCAACGAUGGACCAGCACGAUCGGGGAAACUUUGCUACGACGACUUCGAUUUCGCACUGGUUCUUCGAGCUUUGGAGGAGAAACGGCUCGUGGGAGACAAUAGCAGCAACUGGCGUCGGGAUCUCGUGGUUUGCGGCUGGUGCUCGGUCACAAUGACGGCGAGUCUUCUCCCCCACAGAUCUGGCCUUCCGCCCUCCGAUUUCCCAAAUCUGGCACCGAAAAAACCUUCUCAGGCCUUCUCGCUCAGACCCGACCCUCUCCCUCUCCGGCCGCGAGCUCUCAGAUCUCGGCCUGCUCGUCCUCGGCCCCUCUUCUGAAGUCUCUUAGUGGGAGGUUUCGAAGAUCUGCAGCCCUCGAUCCUUCGCCACUUCUCUCUCUUUUCGUCGAUGGAGGUGCUCCUCUAUUUAUAGGCAAGAAGGAGGCCGGUUGACGGAGGUUCGACCGUUGGCCCUCGCACGCCGACCGGCCUUGGGUGGGGCCGAACCGUCGUCAAAUCUUCCCCAUUCCACCGAGGCAUGCUCGCUUUCAAUGCUGCGGUCCUCUCAGCCAUCGGCCUACAUUCCUCUCUUUGCUGUAGGUUGUUGUUGAGUGCGUCUUUGUCGCCGCGCGUGACUUGUAGAGGCGGAAGGAGGAAAGAAGAAGGAGACGAGAGGAAGAAGGAGAAAGAGGGGGCGGGGCCGGGUCACGUGGGCCGGGCUGUGGGGGGCUUACCCGAGAAAAAGGAGGGGCUGGGCUUGAAGGCCCAGCCCGACGGGCCGCAUUUGUUUUUUCUUGUUUUUAUCGAUGAUUUUUUUGUUGUUUUUGUUAUUUAUUAUUUAUUAUCUGAAAAAAGGAAAAAUAAAAGAAAUUAUGGCCUAAUUAAUAACAUAAUCAAAAUUUAGGUGUCAACAGCUGCCCUUCUUUGAAGGUGAGCUCGUAGAGGUUGCAUUCAAAGACAAACUGAUACCUAAAUUUUGUCUAUGCAGUAGGUUAUAUCUUAUUUAGGACCAAUUGUCCUAUGCAGAAAAGAGCAAUAUAAUAUUAUAUGUAGUAAGACAGAUAAGAAGAUACCUGUAAUUACUUACCGGGCACAAGCAAGAUAAGGGUGCGCAUCUCGAGCUUGGCAAGUAUCAAGGCAUGCUCUUACCUGGUAACGUGAGGAGGUUGCUCCUCCAAGACCCAAACCUUUCUUCGGUCGCCUGUUAGAGCAAUAAGUUGUUUACCCGACCUUUCUUGGGGAUGCGCCGACCUUUCUCAAAGCAUCGAUUUAUGGGGUGUCUAAUUUCUGUCAAGGACACCAGUCAGUACUCGACCUUUCUUAGGGUAUCGAUUUGUUGGGGGUGCCUGACCUCAAUUGAGGACACCGGUUGAUACCCGACCUUUCUCGGGAGACGCACCGACCUUUCUCAGGGCAUUGAUUUUUUGGGGGUGCCUGAUCUCAGUCGAGGACACCUGUUGAUACCUGACCUUCUUGGGAGAUGCGCCGACCUUUCUUAGGGCAUCUUGUUUUUUGGUGUUUGAUCUUCGUCAAGGACACCAGAUGGCUCCCAACCUUUCUUGAGGGAUGCGCCGACCUUUCUCAGGGCAUAUGUUUGUUGGGUGCCUGGACAUUUACAGGCAUUUUGAAAGAGUACCUAGAUAUUCACAAGUACUAACCUGGAGGAUAUUUGGGCCUUUGCAGGCGUCGAAAGGGUAUUUGGAUGAUCACAAGUACAAACUCUUGGAGGAUACUUGGAUGUUCACACGUAUCGAAAGAGUACCUGGAUAAUCAUAACUACCAAACUCUGGAGAAUACUUGGUCGUUUUUUACAGUCUCCUGGUAGAUAGAAUAUCGAUGACGUACAUGGGAUAUUCGUAAAGGUUUCUCACCUUCUGGUAAUGGGAAUAUCGAGGACAUACCUGGGAUAUUCAUGGAGGUCUCCUACCUCCUGGCAGUUAGGGAAAAUCGAGGACGUACCUUGGAUAUUCAUGAAGGUUUCUCACCUCCUGGUAGUUGGGAAUAUCGAGGGCGUACCUGAGAUAUUCAUGAAGGUUUCUCACCUCCUGAUAAUGGGAAUAUCGAGGACGUACCUUGGAUGUUCAUAAAGGUCUCUCACCUCCUGAUAAUUGAGAAUAUCGAGGGCGUACCUAAGAUAUUCAUGAAGGUCUCUCACCUCUUAGUAAUAGGAAUAUCGAGGACGUACCUUGGCUAUUCAUGAAGGUGUCUCACCUCCUGAUAAUUAGGAAUAUCGAGGGUGUACCUGAGAUAUUCGUGAAGGUCUCUCACCUCCUAGUAAUGAGAAUAUCGAGGAUGUACCUUGGAUAUUCGUGAAGGUCUCUCACCUCUUGGUAAUUGGGAAUAUCGAGGGCGUGCCCCGGAUAUUCAUGAAGGUCUCUCACCUCCUAACAACAUAAACUUGAAUGUAGCACAAGGCUUACUUGGAAGGUCGCAGGCACUCAAAAGGGCCGGAACACCUAGGUAGCCGCAGGUGUACAAAGUACUGGGUAAUCGCAGGUGUAUAAUGUGGUGGAAUACUUGAGCGACUGCUAGUAUUCAAUGACACAAUUUUGAGGAUAACUCGGACAAGUCGAGUGUCACAGAAAGGGAGUAUCCGAAUGGUGGCUGGUAUUCAAAGACAAGAGGAUACUUGGUCAGUCACGAGCAUCCAAACUUUAAAGACAACUCGAACAGAUCGAGUGUCAAUAGAGAGAGUACCCGAGUAAUGGUAGGCACUCAAAAAUAGGGGGAUACCUGGAUAGUUGCAAAUACCAAUACUCUAGGGACAACUCAAACAAGUCGAGUGUCAAUAAGAGGGAGUACUUGGCAAGUGGUGGGUACUCCAAGACAAGGGGAUACUUAGACAGUAGCAAGCACCCAAACUCAAGGGACAACUCAAAUAGGUCGAGUGUCAAGAAGAGAGUACCUAGAUAAUGGUGGGUACUCAAAGACAAAGGAAUCGGGGUAUGCUUACCUAGUGAUAUCUCUGAUCUCUGAGCGUAUGUUUGCUAUUUGCAUAGUAUGCACACAUGAUUGUAUGUGUUGUCAAUUCAUGAGUUCAAAUGAGAUUCAUGCAUGAUAAUUUUGUCAGUUUUGCAUCAUCUGAUUUCCAUUGAAGAAGAUUUCGAAAGACAACCUUCAUUUAGAAUAUAGAUGUCUUGAGCAUGCCAGAUGAGGGACUUUUAGUUUGAAAGGACUUUCCGCUCACUCUCAUGGAAAAGGUUAUCUUGACCAUUGAUGUAGGAUUUAUAAGGACCACACUAUCUCAUUGUCAUCAUGUCAGCAGGGGUCCGAGUAUUCUCGCAAACAGUACGACUUUACCGAUGUGAGAGGUCUUUAUUGAAACUGUGAUGAAGUCUUGGUCAGUGGCUCAUCAAAGGGGACCAUCAAGGUCGAAGUUGAUGGACGAAAUGUUGCACGAUCAUCUCCGGGUUUACAAGUCAAGAACCCUGCGAAAAGAGAUAGAGUAAUCUUGCUCGUACUUCUUCGAGCGAUGCUUAUGUACACAUGAAAUCCUAAGUUAAUUGAAGUGCCCUAGUCUAAAGAGACUUUUACAAUAGGAAUGUAACGUAGACUUGGCUCACAUGUAAGAGGGUGAGAGUUUGUGACUGUCUUGGCAUUUGUCACUAGUCUUUCUUGUCAAAUGGAGGUUCUAUGGACCACAACAACAACUUUUUCUUGGCUGUAUUUUUGACUAGGGGGCAUUGGCCUUGCUUUUAUUAGGCACACUGCUUUUUCAUGCCCCUAUUUUUUAUUUCAGUUCUUCAUUUAUGGGCAUUGACCUUGCUUUUACCAAGUACACUGCUUUUUUAUGCCCUUGUUUUUUCAUUCUUGUCGUUAGAGGAACUGGCCUAGGCAAGUUCAAUUGAAGCACCGUUAUUAGACUCUUGAGUCUUCAUCUUCAGCCGACACUCUAGGCUAUGCUGCUUAAAUGGCAAUAACUUACGUUUUUCCUCCAUGUGAGGGUGAAAUUACAGACUCAAUUGGUUUGUACAAUGAAUACAAGUGCGUAGAGAAAGAAUUGCUCUUUGUCAUACUAGGGCACUUAAAUUAACGCGAGUGUUCAUAUGCAAUAAAGACACCCGAAGAUUGAUGCAUGUGCGAGCAUGAAAAUUUCUAUCCCCUUUCUCACCUUGUGACGCUGCUUCACCUCCGAUCUGCCCCAGUGUGGGGUGGUUCUUGACGAGGGGUAAGACAGAAACUUCACUAGUGUAAGGAGCUCAAAGGGGUGAGCAAUGAAAUGCAUCUCACUAUUUUGGUUAUCGUACUAUUCGCGAGAGAACUCUUUACCCUACAAUCAUGGAAUCUUAUGCACUCAUCUCACAAGUGUAUAGAUGGGAGACUGUGUAUAGGAUAUGGCUUGCCUUUCAUCAUUCUGAUGCGCCUCAUCCAGCAUGCUCAAUUAAUCUUGUAUUCUUCACUUAGCUGUCUAUUCUAAUAAUCCUUGUAGAAUUAGUAAUUUAGACAGACAAAAUCAUAAUGUAAAAUCCAUUUGGAAAAUAUGUGCAGCAUUUUAAAUAUGAGGGAGCUUGUACUUUUAAAACAAAUGAAUGGUUUUUACUAAAAAAAAAAAGACCCUAUUGACAGCUUUAGGGGUUAACAGAAUAGUGUUUCUAAAUAUGUUAAAUUUUGAACAUCAAAAGGGUUAUUCACAAAUGAGUGUCGAUGGGUUGUCCCUAUUAAGUAGGGAAAUGAACAAGAAGGAUCAGCCGGGGUCGGGAAUCUGAUCAUCGAUUUGAUGAGUGCUUCCGCUUUUGCCCCUGCAAAAGAGAAGCUGAAAAUGGAUCAAUCAAUAGGGCCAAAAUUAAAGGUGAAUUGAGGCCUGAAGGAUCUCUCUCAUUUGCUUUGGCGAUACUUGAGACACCAUUUUGCUUGGGAGAGUUUGUCAUGUCUCUCAUUAAUUUGUUAUCUUUGUUUUUGACAGUCAGGUGAUUCUACAAAAGAUAUGAAAGAACGUGUCAGUCACGAAUUCUCUCAGGAGUUGAACAACUGGGAACGAUACAACAUUACCCUCCAUUGGUUUGCAAUUGAUUGGAUAGACCUAAGGCAUCAGGAGGUUAAUGAAGUCCUACACUUUUCACUCCAUUAGGUCACCACUAGGCUAAAGCACCAGUGGUGUCCGUAGGGCGCCUCUUUUUUUCAUUUAACCGAACCGGCUUCUGGACAACACAUCCUUUUACAUGAAGUCAGGUGAAUUCGAUACGAGUCACUUGAUUGGCCUAAAUUAGCCAUUAAGCUUGGUUCUUAAAUCCCAAUACUUCUUAUCAAUAGGGGGAAUACGUCAAAAGCGGGUUCACGUAGUGGGAGUAUUGGAAACAAUACCAAAUUACUCUUCCCUAGAGUUUGUAUUUGUUGAUUCCUAAGGAUCUCUAUAUGUUGAUAACAACCUCUUCGUCUUGACACAGUUUGAUAUUUUUUUCGAUUGGCCUUCCUCAUUUGUGGCCAUGUAUGCAUGAUUGAUGUUCGUUGAUUCAUCUCCAACGCCUUCCUUCUGUGGAAUUUUCUUCUGUCUUUGACUAUAUGACCAAUAGCAGCUUUGGGCAAAGUCAUGUACUUCAAGCUUCUAUGGAAUUUGAGAUGGACAAUCAAAACUUCCAAUUCUCUGAUGACAAUCACUUCUUGGGAGAGCAGGCGUCUGGAGCAUGAAGUGAGGUUUCUAGGUCCUCAUUUUGAAUAGGGGGCUAGAGACCGCUUCAACUGUCUAGAUUUCUUCCCCGUUGAUAGUACCCAAUUCAAAGAAAAAGAAAAGAUCCCUUCCUUGUCCUUCUGGGCUUGUCGAAGGUGGAAGUCCCGUUGAUGAAACCACAGCAUCUAGUUGCUUAAGCACGUUGUGGGGAAAAGAUAUUGCUCCAGCUUGUGAAGGAGUUUGGGCAGGAGCGAGGUGGAGUGCACAGAACUCCUAGGGAUGGCUUGAUUUCAACCGUUUGCCUGUACCUAUUACGUCCCAUUUUUCGUUUCCUGUAAAUAGGAGAGAGAGGACAUCAUUUCCAAAAUUAAAACUUACAUGUUUUAAAUGGGAUGAUUCUUUAUAUUUUCCCCUGUUUUCUUGGCAGGGUGUCUUCGAAUUAAGGAGUUCACAUUAUGCGGUAGCUUCAAAUGCCCCAUAUCACACUAAGUCAAAUGGGAUGAUAUUUUGAGACACGAAGUGAAUGAGUCAAAAAGACAAACAUAAUUAAAUUUAACAUCUUGUUUUGACGAAAGCUUUUGGUAAUGAAAUAUUUUUUGUUUUCAAAAGUAUAUAUCCUUGGGGGGAAGAAAGCAUGAGGAAGCCCAGCCCUUAGUAUUCUCCUUGGAUGAUAUUUUCUUUUCAUGGUUGGAUAGCAUCACCGGGCUGGUUUAGGAUUCCGCCUCAUGCUUUCAAAACAAAAUAUUAGAACUGUAUAUUAGAUUACUGGAAUGGAAAAUGCAACAGUAGCACACUAGGACAUGAUAAGAAACAUGAAAUUAUAAAAACAAGUAACACCCGUGAAAACUCCUAUAGAAAAGGAGCUCUUUGAUAGUGUUGGUUCUGAAAUCAAGCGCCUGAGAGUUCCUCGCCUCCAGUAGACUCGAAGUAUUCGCAUGAGAGGACCACUUCAUUGAAGCUAUGGAAGUGCAAAUCAUGUAACCAACAACGAUGCUUGCGAGGUAAAGCUCCUAUGAAGAGCUUCAUCAUUUCUUCUUUGGCCAGUUGAGGGUAGGUUUGCAUCAUAAAAGCCUUCCACCUCCUUGCAUAUGCUCGGAAAUCCUUCAUUGGUCUUCUUCUAAAGUGAACCAAGUUCUCGCAAGGCAGUUCAGUUCCAAUAUGGCUUUGAUACCAAAGCAGAAAUGCAUAAGACAGCUCAUUCCAAUCUCUCAUGAGGUAGAUAUCUGCUGUGAUGAACCAUUGCAAUGUAGGCCCUGUAAAACUUUCUUGGAAGGCCCGAGUUGCGAAUGACAUCAGGCUAUAGUACCGACUCAUUUCGGCGUGGAGAUAUUGCAAAUGAGCCAUGGGGCAAGUCGUGUCAUUAUACUUGUAGAGAUUAGGUAUCCACAUUUCUCUGGGGGGUCAUGAUCCUAUGAGGGCAAGAAGGGCCUGGUGUGUCUUAGUUAGGCCACUGGUUUUCCCAUUACAUAUUCAUCAUAGUGGUGAAUUUUUCUGUUUCAGGGAAACUGGACUCUACCGAGAUUAUCCUAUUGUUUUCUUCCGAGUCAAAAUCACCAAAUGAGGAUGAGGCAUUUAAGCUAUCUUCAUGGUCAGGUGACAAGCUUAGUAGUUCAUUGGGAUCAUAGCGGAUAAGGACGAAUGUUCCCUCUUCUGACAGGCUUUCGACCCUGUGUGUGGGUAGGAAGUUAUACGAUGAAUGGCCGAUUUCAUCUGUAUAACACUAGUAGUCCCCAGGAUUGUAUCCUAGGGACUGGUAGUCUUCAGGGUUGUACUCUAGGGGAUGCUCGAAGCUUUGGCGCGGUGGCUCAUUGGCUAUCAGAUUUUGCCUAUACUCAGUGGCAGAUGUUGAAUUGAAUUGUUUAGGCUUUCUUUUCUUGGCUCUUGGUCCAGACCUUUUGAGUAAGGCCAUUCAUUUCGCCAGUUGGACUUUGUCAAGGGGAGUGAGAGAUAGUGGAGCUUCACUCUCUACUUCACUCUCUAGGUUGAUAAGGGUCAGUAUUCUUUGGACCCUAGCUCUUGUAAUAAGCUUGGGGAGCUGUCAUGUUGUGCCCCGGUCUUGAACAGGCUCUAUGCCUUUGACCUCAUACAUAGGCUCCUUGCUUUUCCGAGUGGGAAACUUUUCAGCAAUAAGAUGUUGCUCAGUCACCCAUUUAUCAUGCAAGGCUUCAUUGACAUCUUCUUCUCCUAUCUCAACGACUAACAGCUCCUCGUGCUCCGCGACCAUCUGUUCUUCAUAAGGCAAUGCGAUGUCAGGGCUGAUGUCAAUAUCAUAUUCUUGGUGGUAAAUAUGAAUUAGUUCCCCCCAGGUCUUAAGGGGACUAAUCUUCCUGACAAUGUACCAUCGCAAGGUGAGGCCAGUCAAGCUCGAUUGGUACAAUUGAAUCAUCCUUUGGACCAGGUAGGCCUGCAAGUAGGUCUCUGGAUGGGAGGUAUCAGCAUACCUUUUGCAUUCAGGUACUUUGAGCUCUUCAGGGAUCUCAAUGCCGACGUAAUUGGACAAGUCCAUGGGAUCCUGCCCUUGCAACUGGCUUAACUUUUUCAUGAUUUUUUCAAACUGUCUAUGGUGUUGGUUAUUCUUUGGCAAAUUCGCGGGUGUCGUGACGGUGCUUAAAGCAGCUAUGGAGUUAGGCUCGGCUUGAGUGGAUUCCAUUUGCCUCGAGAGUUGUCGAAGGACAAUGGACAUCUAUCCUACGCCUUCUUCAAUGUUGGUGAGGCGAUUUUGUACAUCAUUCUGAUCGGGCCCUAUCACGUGGGACCAUUCGCAGGUGGAUGAUAGCUGGCGAUUCAUAAUUACCUGUCGUUGUGAAAACAAUGAAUGAGCAUAAGAGUAGACAAAGAUUGACCUGUGGCAACGGUCUAUCUAUUUUUUAUUUAUCAAAAGAGGAUUUUAUAAACCACAGACUUUUGACACCCAGAAAAUGAUAGAACGAAAUACUCGGUAUUAAACAGAAGUCCCUAAACAAUGGGACAAAACUUUCACAAAAUAAACACUAAGGGGCACAUGACUGCUAUUUUAUAUGCGACGGGGAGCCUUAUUCUUGCAAAGGUGCUUGCUUUCUUGGACUGGCUUAGAGACGAGUAUCCAGCCUAUUCUCAUAUCCUUUGCAUAAGCUCUGCUUGCUCGUGCUGGUUGCUCUCACUGAUUAAGUGAGGGACCGAUGGCUUCCAUUUUGUCGGGAUACGAUGGUUGUGGAUGCAGGACGUAGAGGCGUUGUGGGCCUUUUCUUCUCCCUCAAGCCCUUCAGGUACUACGAUCCUUUUGCGAUGGCACUUGUCCCAGGUUUUCUCAAUGAUAGAAAUUUCGAUUGAGUAGUCACGGCUUGUGUUGAAAAGGACUGGAGGGAUCUUCCUCUUGAAAGGCGGUCGGAUCUCCUAAAGGGAUCCAUAUUGUCGUGCCACUCGAUAUGGGUAAUAGGAAACGGCACUGAUGAGGCCGAGCAACGGAAUUGGGCGGCAGCGUUUGUAAGUGAAUCGAGCUCUUUUUUCAUGGAACCAAACAACACACCAUUUGAAUGCCUCAGGAGCUGGGUCUCUUAGGAAGUUUAUCCAAUUUAAAUAGCUUUGAUUGGGAAUGUAUGGUCUUAAAACCAUAAAUUUUUGUGAUGGAUUUUCGAAAUCAUUCGUUUCAAACGAUUGAAUGAAGCCCCAAAAUUCGCUUAGGUGAGAAAAGAACCAGACUUGUAAAAUUUCCGGAGAGACCCGCAUGAUUUUUUCCGUGUUUUCUUUAAAACAAUUAAAGGACAAGAAUGUUUCAGUUAAAAUCAUGUUGACAUAAUUUUGCCCCCUUGAGAUUUGAUCAACUAUCCAUGCCAUCUUAGGACUUAUGACAUUUCUUUGAUGGGGGAAAAUGAUGGACUCGAAAAAGGCAAGAGGAAAAUCUCACUUUUUUGGGUCAUAACCUGAUUUUGAAAAUAGGCAUUCAUAAAAUCUAGUGGGCAGCUAUUAUGGUUGUUUUCAAGAAUUUGCCUCAUAACAUCAACUUCAGUUCUUAAAAGUCGCACUAACCCACGCAACAAGAUGAUGCCUAUUGAUGGCCUGACAAGCUUAUUCUUGAGAGGCAUUCUAGUGAUGAUUUUGUAUUCUUCCAGAGUUGUGGUUAGCUCAAACCUACCACACAUAAAAGUAGUUGUCUUCGGGCACCAGAAAUGCGUCAUGGCUUGUAUGACUUCGGGAUGAACAGUAUUUGAAUCAAUGAUAGGAGAUGACCAACUUUGACUUUCUCGCGCACUUGGGCAAACUGGUCCAAUUGACCCCACCAUCUGAAGAGCUCUGCUUUGGGAGUGGGAAUGAACUGGAUCUCAUCUUCUCCCAUCGCAUAUAAAUUGGGACUCGAAAAACUUACCAUAAAUUGCCAUGGGCCAACAAAAAGACUGAGUAAAAGUAAAGAAAUUGCUUUGCUUUUAAAAAAAAUGGCAAACACAAGGACAUGCGCAUGGGAUGUGCGGCUCGAUUUCUAACUGAGAAGGUUUGUUGAAAUUAAAAGGGUAUUCGCCUGUCGCAGUGUCACGCUAGCGGCAUACCCUCUUAACCUCAGCUAAAGAAAUUCGGGGAAAAGAAAGGCAACCUCUACUUCGCAGUCUCGCGUUCAAGGCCGUAUCUUUCUUAACACCAUCCUAAAUAUCCUAUGGCGGCCGGGUUGUGUGUGCCAUGUGUAGUGUUAAAACAAUAAAGCAUGCACAAUAGUUUAUGAUCACAAAACAUUAUGAAUAAUAAUCCUCUAAGUCUUUACCAAAAAAACCUCCAAGCUACUGACCUGCAUAAAAAACAAAAACAAGUCAGGAAAGUGUUUAAAGAAGAUAAAAUGGCCAAAGUCUUCAAAAAUCCCCAGCGGAGUCGCCAAGCUGUUGCGACCUCUUUUUUGGGCACUCGAUCAGGGUAGGCGCCUUGCGGAGGCUAAUGGUUUGGCUAUGUCUAUUUUAGCCCGAACUCUCCCAAGUCCAUCAAUUCACAACUUUAAUAGUCCAAGCUUUUAACCUAUAAGUCAAUUUUAAAACAGAGUCGCCACUAAUCGGUUUAUGGUGGGUCGAUUAGAAACCCAAGUGAUGUAUCGGGAGAAAUACUUGCUCCUGCACAACUAGAGAGAAAUUAGGAUCAGGGACUUGAUUACACUAGUUAAUCACUAAUGCCCUUUUGGUACCUAAUCUUGUUUAAACCCUAAGACUUUUUGGAUGUUUGAGGGAUUUUUCCAUGUAUUUUGUGAAGGAAAAACAUUUUUUGGGCAUUUUCUCAUUUUUUGUACAUAAAAAGCAUUUUUUGUUUUUUUGGUCUUUUUUCUGAAAAUAUAAAUCAUUUUUUUUGGCUUUUUCUGACAUUUUUGGCUUUUUUUAGGAAAAUAUAGGAUAUUUUUUACCUUUUUUGAUUUUCUGGAAAAUAAAUUUUAAAAAAAUUAAAAUAUUAUAUUUAUUAUUAUAAUAAUAUAACGAACCGGGUCAAGUUCCCGGGUUGGGACCGACCCGGUUCGCAACUUCAGGCCUAGCCGGGGAUAUUUCUUUUUAAACCUAAAAUCCCAAAACCCAUUUUUGGCCCGAUUUCAUAAAAAAAAUCCAACCCAAAGGCUACCCGGCCCAUGCACACAACUCGGCCCGCUUUGAAGCCAAACCCUACUCGGUUCAGACCCAUGCCCGACCCGGUUUUGUGGGAACCCUAGAGCUCGACAAUUCGCGGCCAAGAGGGGGUAUGCUGGGGCAGCGGCUUGUGUUGACGACAGCGAUGAUGACUAGGGAGAUGACGGGCGGCUGCUGGAUUCUCGAGGGGGGAAGCGAUGACGAAGCUAUGGUGACAGGCAAGGGUGGCUACCAGGGUUUCGAGCGGAAACGGCGACGGGUGGUGGUUGAUACCUGUCUACAAAGGAGGCGCCACGCGGCGGUGAACGGUGGCGGCGACGAUGGACUAGCAUGACCGGGGAAACUUCACUACGACUGCUUCGAUUUCACGUUGGUUCUUCGAGCUUCAGAGGAGAAAUGGGUCGUGGGGGAGACAGCAGCAGCAACUAGCGUCGGGAUCUCGUGGUUCGCAGCCGGUGCUCAGUCACAGCGACGACGAGUCUUCUCCCCCACGGAUCUGGCCUUCCGCCCUCCGAUUUCCCAUAUCUGGCAUUAGAAAGACCUUCUCUGGCCUUCUCGCUCAGACCCAACCCUCUCCCUCUCCAGCCACGAGCUCUUAGAUCUCGACCUGCUCAUCCUCGGCCCCCUUUCUGAAGUCUCUUAGUGGGAGGUUUUGAAGAUCUGCAACCCUUGAUCCUUCGCCGCUUCUCUCUUUUUUCGUCGACGGAGGUGCUCCUCUAUCUAUAGGCGAGGAGGAGGCCGGUCGACGGAGGUUCGGCUGUCGGCCCUCGCACGCCGACUGGCCCUAGGUGCGGCCGAACCAGCGUCAAAUCUUCCCCCUUCCACGGAGGCAUGCUCGCCUUCAAUAAUGCGUCCUCUCAGCCACCGGCCUACAUUCCUCUCUUUGCUGUAGGUUGUCGUCGAGCGUGUCUUCAUCGCCGCGCGUGACUUGCAGAGACGGAAGAAGGAGGAAGGAAGAAGGAGACAAGAGGAAGAAGGAGAAAGAGGGGGUCGGGCCGGGUCACGUGGGUCGGGCCGUGGGGGGCUUGCACUAGAAAAAGGAGGGGCUAGGCUUGAAGGCCCAGCCUGGUGGGCUAUUUGUUUUUUUCUUUUUUUUAUUGAUGAUUUUUUUGUUGUUUUUGUUAUUUAUUAUUUAUUAUCUGAAAAAAGGAAAAAUAAAAGAAAUUAAGGCCUAAUUAAUAACCUAAUCAAAAUUUAGGUGUCAACAUAAAGCAACCAACAAAACGAAAGAAGGGGGAAGACCAGCGAGCACGAAGGCAACCCUUAAAACAAUACAAAACAGGGCAACCGUGAAAAGGAUGCCGUUGAAAAGGAGGAAGGGGACAAGUUCAUACAUGCCAAGUUAGCCCCCUAUAGGGCUAACUUGGCAUGUAUAUAAAUAAUAGUUUGUGAAAUUAACUGGCUUGUCUUUCUACUAUCUCUGUGUUUGAUGGUUAUCCGGGUGUUUAUUUAAUUUGCUUCCGCAUGUGCUUAAUUGAAAGAUAAAAAGAAAUGGUCGGUGACGUGUCUUGGGAUGUCGCAAUUUUAGUCGACCGUCGAGGGAUGUGCUUGUGCCCGGGGUUUGAGGCGUGACAUUGAUAGUUCAUAUUUCUUGCUUUUGUAUAUAUAGGUUUUGUCUGCUGGAGUGUGUAAUACUGAACGAGUUUGUGCGAACACCUUUUCAUUUUACAGACUUAGCAUCAUCUUCUAGAAAGUUUCAAGGUUAAUGUUGCAUCUUUCUACGGAGACAGUAGUAAUGAACUUCAUACUCAGCUAAACAAAUGCUCUUUGCACCGCAAUCAGCUAAAAACUUUUACACCGCAAAACCCUUUGGCAUGGCAAUCUCUCGUAUGGUACAAACAAAUGCAUUCCUAUGCGAGUAUAUCUACAAGGGCAAAACCAUUCUCUAGUUUCUAAUUUUCCCUUUUUUUCCUCUGCAGAUAGACUUUGCCCCACAAAUGGAUCAAGUUCCAGACUCUGGUCGCGGUUGGUUUUCUGGUUGAGUUGAGCCUCAGAGGAUAGCUCCCUGUGCUAGUUGCGACGUGGAACUCGUGUCGCAUGGACAGCAACUGAAUUGGACCGACACUAGCAAAAGAAUUCCAAGACAUCCCAAACUUCUCAUGGAAUUCCACCAAAUUCUCUGCAUUUCCACAGCAUUGGAGCCACAGGCAUCCACACUGCGUUAAGAUUGAACUGAUUGCAUUAGAACUCUGACUUUAACACAGUCUUUACUUGGGAUGAAGUAACUUGAAAAGAGGGAUCAGAGGUUCGAUGAGCAGUCUAGAUUUAUCUUUGUUUCUUUGGGUACUUACAGUAAACACCAACCGCUAGCCAUUCAUUCACAACCCUGACCCAAGUGCUUGUCCAACCCACAACAAUAGUCUACCUGCAAAAGGGCAUUAGGAGCAUGAGAUCACUGCCUCUUAAGUUAGGGAUUUCUUUCUUGUCAAGGGUACUCGGGCUUUUCCCUUGAAACAUAUGAGCCAGUGAAGAAGCUACAGUAACUAUACACUAAAGUGCUAAAGAAGCAAAUGUAGGAAAGCAUAUUAACUUGCUAAAAGCUCUACCAAAACAGAUGUUGAUGACGACGAUGAACUGGUUUUUCCUAUAAUAGCCACAUCCAAUGUUGGAAAUGUGGCAUUAUGACGGGAAAAAAAAACCAUUAUACUAAGAAACAGAAAUACAAACAGUCGAUGCAAGCUAAACAUCUGCAAGAGGGAAAGCAUACUUUUUAUGGGAUGAGUAUUCCAACCAAUCACCAGCAUAGCAAAGUACAUGGCUCCCAUGGCAAAAACGAAAUGGAAGAAGCCAUAGCGAUAUGGAACGUCAUCUUUGCUCUUCGAGUCAUUUUACUUAAACUCCAUUUUAAAAAAAAAUCAAUUUUCUUGAAGUUCAAUCAAGUUGGUGAAGGGAUGAUUUGCCAAUUGAGGAACGUACCUGAAAACAUCGAGAAUCAAUGCCUGCUGAAAAGGAUGAAAUCACCAUCGCAAGUAGGGCAAUGACGAAGCUCCGAUGAGUUGACGAAUUGUUCUUUCUAAUCGAUUAUUUGCAAUGUAGAAUUUGAGCACAAAAUUUUAGAAUUUCAUUCCACUAAAUCUUUACUUCAAAUCAAUUUUCACCAAACUCAACUUCAACUUAAUAACUCCAAAAUCGGACAUCGCAAAUCAAAUUUCACAUGACUUCGAAUUUGUAUUCUAACUCAAAAAAUUAUUUUGAUUAGAUAAAUAAAGGAAUUGAAUAUUUACUAAGCGGUACCUGUUGGAGAAAACUUCCUUAUCUGUUUUAAAGUUGACAAAACGUUUCCCUUCAUCAAAGUCUGAAGACCACCAGACUUAAGAUUUAAAGUCUGCCCUCAUUGACAGUUUCUAGACCGACGAUGAAGUCUUAAUGCAAGUAUAUCCUUAAGGAUUUGAUUCGAUUGGUCGAAGAUUAUCUCACAGCUGGAGAUAGCACCAUGAAGAUCUAUUAUUCGCAUUACAAAAAUUUGAGUAAUAUAGAUCCGUUGAUUGAUGAAGUAUACUUGGAAGGUUCUACUUAUGGAAACCUAGAUUUUGAUUGUAUGGGUGAGCAGGAUUGGUGGGCUAUCUUCAUUUUCCUUAAGUGACUCGAGAUCUUCCUAAUUGAUUCUGUCCAACGGGUAGAUUGGAAGAACUCCUUUGGAAGGUGCCAACGGUUAUGAAGGCAUUAAGGAGUAUAUAAGGAAGAUGCUCUAGUUAUUUGAGUGAGUGUGAGAUAGAAGAAUUCCAAAGUUUGAAGCUCCAUGUUCUUUGCUAGUUCAUUUGUUGAGCGUAAACUUACAUUCAAAAGAGUGUCUAGAUACUUGUGAGACCUUGAGGAAGUGUAGCAGAGUCUCUACACUGUGGAAUCAAGGACGUGCGACUAUAACAUUUCUUUUAAUUCUUAAGUGAAAUCCAGCCGGUGGGCUGUCAGUGCGGGAGAGUGGACGUAGGCUUGGUUUAAGCCGAACUACUAUAAACUCCGUGUUCCAAUUCUCUUUUCCUUAUCUCUUUACUUAAUUCGCAGUCUUAUAUAUUAUUGCAAGUCUUCCAUAUCUUAAGUCUUCGGUUUUCAUUAAAAUUGAAUUACGUUGCUAAGUCUCAUAAAUUUUGUUUUUACACCUAUUCACCCCCCCUAUAGGUGUUCAUACUAGCACUAUCAGUACCAAACUAAGUUGAUUUAACUCGUCGAGAUGCUCAGAGCGCAUGCUCACCCUUUUCUCUCCCUUUUGUUUCUCUCGAUCUCUUAUCCCUUUUCAUUAUCGUUCCUUUUCUUUUCGUCUUUCUCACGAGCACCCCCGCUCCUUCCUCGUCUUCUUCUUCUGUGAUUUAAGGUUGCUCUCCCCUCCAUCAUUGACCAAGACUUAAAUGUCUUCCACUCUAUUCUACCCUUUACAGAUCAACUACACUUUCGGGAACAACAAAAGCCAGUCCAUCCUCCGUAAACGUAAAGCAAUUACAAAACCAGAGGUUGAAGAAACAGAGACACUCUAUAUCUCUUCAUGUCUCCAAUGAUGAAUGAUGAAGGGGCCGACUCAGGAACAGCCAAUUGUAGCAGAAGUGAUUGUACAAAAGGCUUCAAUUACGACGUGUUCUUGAAUUUUCGAGAUCCUGAUACUCAGGAUGGAUGAUUGCCGCUAUGAGUCCCUGACCAAUUUGGGGUUUCGGGUUUUUAUGGAGGACGAAGAAAUCCGACAGGGCGAGGAGAUUGAUGGAAAGAUUCUGUGAGCAAAUCCAAAAUCUACAUAUCCAUCUUCUCCACCGGAUAUGCUUCGAGUAGAUGGUGCCUCCGAAGUUUGCACACAUGGUGGAGUGUGCAUAUCCAGAUUCUUCGGGAGGACCAACAGGGCAUGAGAUACUUCUGAUAUUCUAUGACGUGGAACCCUUGGAUCUCAAGCUCGAAACGGAACUGUACGGAGACGCUUUAAGGAAGCAUGAGAAGGGGCAAGGCCGUCAUGUAGUGAAGCCUUGGAAGGAGGCUUCAAGAAAGGUUGCUAAAAUCAAGGGACAGAAGGUUAAAGGCCAACAGUAAUGCUAAUUUACUUUACUUAUUGUACCAUUCUAUGCUCUGUUUAGGCACAUUAUUAUUAUUAUUAUUAUUAUUAUUAUUAUUAUUAUUAUUAUUAUUAUUAUUAUUAUUAUUAUUAUUAUUAUUAUUAUUAUUAUUAUUAUUAUUAUUAUUAUUAUUAUUAUUAUUAUUAUUAUUAUUAUUAUUAUUAUUAUUAUUAUUAUUAUUAUUAUUAUUAUUAUUAUUUUGGCGAUGGGUUAACCCUAAAUGUAUGCCAUUUAUAAGUCAUGCUUCUGAUGGAUAUUCUAUUUAUAUAAAUAUUCUAAUCAUCUUAAGCGUUAAAUUCACGAAUAUGGCAGCCACGGCAAAGUCAUUCAAGAUAUCAAGCAAGAGGUUUCUGGUAGGAUGAUAACAUGAGUAGCUUUAAGCGGAGCGCACAAGAUUUCCGUCAUAAUCAUAGACAAAUUGUCGCAUACAUUGAAAGAUGAAACUUCAAAUUGAUGUAUUGCAAGAAGGUAUUUAUUGGAAUAAUUAAAUAUUAAACCACACAUUUAACUGACAGCUUAAGCUUUUAGGAUAGUUGGCAGUGAUCUCACCAAAUCUAAUAUGAUAUCAGAGCUGGACGUCCUAAGUUCAAAUUUUUUGAGACCCCAUUUGCCUUUCCAAUUAAAUAUUUUCAUGCCUUAGUACUAGGCAAAAAGACCAGACUAAGCAUGAAGGGGAGUGUUGGAAUAAUUCAAUAUUAAAAACAUGCAUUCAUCUAACAUGUUAAGCUUUUGGAAUAAUUGACAGUGGUCUCACAAAAUCUCAUAAUAUGAGUCCUUGCCGAAUUGAUUGAUCUUUAUUUAACAGUUUAAGCUUUUAGAACAGUUGGUAGUGAUCCCACAAAAUUUCAUAAUAUGAGUCCUUGCUGAAUUGAUUGAUCUUUAUCUAAUAGCUUGAACUUUUAUAAUAGAUGGCAUUGAUUGCACAAUAUGAGUCUUUGCACGCAAUAUCAAUUUCCUGAAAUAGGACCAUUGACAAAUUGAUUGAUGGUAGAGUUCAAUGUGCAAGAAUAGUAGUUCAAAUUUUUCAAUAACCAAAGCAUAGUGGUCUAAACUUUAACAACCAAGAGAUUGAUGGAAGCAACCAAUCCCGCAGUGGUUUCAAAAUAGAUGUGCAGCGUCGAUUGUGAAGGGGUGAUCGGAGUGAACUCCAUAAAUCUAACAUUACUACUCUAUCAUUUCAGAAUGAAUACGCACAAUAUAAGAUCGUCUAUCAAAUAUUCAUUGCGGGAAGACAAAGAUUCCAAGCGUUAUAAGAAUUCGGGGCCAAAAGAAUAGGCAAGCAAAAUGAAAAGCACGGAUAUGGUUAAGCUACACACAUUCAAUAUUUGUUCCGUGCUUAUAAUUAAGGCCCAUUAAACCUAUAGAGUUGUCAAUGCCUAAAUUUUGAUUAAAUCACAAUAAACAUAAGACAAUAUGGUUAUACUAUGAAGUUCAUUUUCUUUUCCUCCUCUUUUGUCUAGCAAAUCUAUUUCGACAGCCAAAGUGAAACGGUCGACUGACUUUUUUGUUCCUAACCAAGAACUGUUGACUGAUUCAGCCAGCUCCCAUCUGUCGGAUGAGUCCUCAUUCGAUCCCCAGCAGGGGUCUCUAGUUCUUUUUCCUUUUGUUCCCCAAUGCCGGUUCUCGACAGGAGAUGCAAAGAAAGACCCACUUCUGCACGCGUCCAUGAAAUUUCCCACCUCGGACGGCCGUAUUUCAUUUGUAGAUCGUCGCGCCUGCAUUUCCAGAUCUGGUCGACCAUUCUUCCCCUGACUCGGAAAAACAAAACCUACCCACGUCAAUCAAGUUUUGAUUAAUUCUCAUUCAAAUUUAAAAUUAACAAGUCUAUAGUUUCAAUAUCUAUAAACUACUUCCGUGUACCCUGUUUUGUUGCUUGAAAGUGGCGUAUUGGGUCUUAUAGAUAACACCUAUAAUAGCAGGAAACCUGCAAGGUUUGGAAUUGCACCUAACCACGUUGACGAAAACCGUUUUGGAAUUGUUGACCAUCGGGGUUAAUCCUGAUAAUCUUGACUUGAAAUAAUCCAUUAGGAAGGUUGAAUGGUCGGGGAUCGUCUGAUCAGUUACUUUUGAGGACAAUAUAAAUAUGAAAAACACAUAAGAAUUAGCAUUUCAUACGCAAUGAAUAAUACAAAGAAAUUUAUAGUGGGCUUUCUCCUUGUAAUUAGAAUUGAAUUCACUCCUUCAGAGGCCUAACCUAAUUAAUUCAAUUUAAAUAUUUCGACUUACAAAGGAUAAGUAUGAAAAAGAUUAUGAUACCACUUAAAUGCUCGAGAACCUUGCAUGCGAAUUUCCUCUUCCUCUUCGGUUGUGAAAUCUGACUCAAUGUUGAACGUAGCUCGGAGCUCCUCCGGCGACUUGCCCCUCGACCAAAUCGGCUAUUCUCUGGAAAAGCCAGUUCAACGGCCCCAGCACGUCCAAGCAAUUGGCAGCCAGUAUGAGAUCACACAAGAUUAUACCACAGGCAUUUGCCUUUUAUGGAUUGAAUAUUGUUGCUUUUAUAUUCAAAACAGAUUGCCUCCCUAUAUCCCUACCAAACAGAGUUUCGAAGGAACUAUCAGCAGUUGCCAAACUGAGGAGCUUUUAGCCGAGUGCAUAAGAUUUUUGAAUAAAAUCGUGGAGAAUCUGCAGGCUGCAGCAUACUUUAAAAGACGAAAUUGCAAAUAGAUGAAAUGCAUGAAGAGAUAAUGAAGAAAAAGUGCACAAGAGUCCUAGCCAUGCAAUGUCGCUUUCUAAAAUGGGGCUGUCGACGGAUUGAUUAGAAGCAGACAAUACUUGUCGAGCAGAGUUAAAUGUGCAAGAGAUGUAGUUCAGAUUUCUCAACAACCAAGGCAUAGCGGUUCAAACUUUAAUAACCAGGAGAUUGAUGGAAGCAACCGAUCCCUCAGUUGUUUCAAAAUUUAUGCUCAGCGUUGGUGUGAAGUGGUAAAAGAAGCGAACCGAUGUGAUUAAAUCUAGCAAUACUUCUCUAUCUUUUUAGAAUGAAUAUGUACACAAUAAGAUUGUACAUCAGGCAUUUCCGACAGGAAGACAGAACUUUCCAAUUAUCAUAAUAGUCGGGGGUCAAAAGAGGUGGCAAGCAAAUUGAAAUUCACAGGAGUGGGUGAAGGUACACGCAAUCGAUAUCUGUCCUGUGCUUAUUAUUGAAGCACAUUGAAACUCUAGAUCUGUCAAUGCUUAAAUUUGAUUAAAGCACAAUAAACCUAAAACUAAAUGGUUAUACUACUGAAGUGACCAUAUAUAUAUUGAAUUUUAAUGCGGGUUGCUUCUGGAAAUGACACCAUACUCCUGCAGGUGUAGUUUUCCUGUGAGGAAAAAACAAAGAUCACCACGAGGUUCAUUUUCAUUUCCUCCUUUUGUCUUUAGCAGAUCUACUUCAAUAGCUAAGCGAAUCUUACUUAGAAUAUAACACCUUUGCUUUCUACCACCCAUAUGAAAUUUACACCCCAAUUUGAAUUUCUAAGGGUAUGUACAUUUCGAGCUACGCUCCACAUCAGAAAUAUGCUCAAAAACUAGAACAAAAAAAUAAAAACCAUUAAAUGAAAAUGGCUUUCAAAAAAGUUUCAUCGUUUAUUUGUUUUGGGUGCUCAAAAUACAGUAACGGAGAAUCGACCGUAAAUAUAGAGCACAUAGGAGAAGAACAAAAGCUGCAGCAAAUUACGCCGAGCGAACGCACCACUAUGCUCUCACGCAACCUUUGACUUGCACUGGAGACGGAGUCCGGACUAUGACUCCUUGUACAACUUGACGUGUCAUAACAAAAGCUUGAAAGGGCAAGUCACUAAAACUCGGGCAUCCGACAGCAGGAAAAUUUUCCAAAAAAUGCCUACUCUAGAACAAUGCUUGUGUCGAAGAAGUCCUGAAGUUGGUGAUUUCAUCUCAAUUGACCCCGGCUCACCAGUGUCCUCGUUCACAGCUACCACGUCUAGCUGCCGCCAUCUUGGCCUCCAAUGCAGCAUCACAACCUCUGGUGACCCCUCUGCGACCGCUGACUAGGGGUGUCAACGGUUCGAUUCGGUUCGGUUUUUUUUUAAAACCGAACCGAACCGAACCAUUAGAAAAAUCUUUUGAACAGAACCGAAUACAAAACCAAACAAAAAUUUCGGUUCGGUUCGGUUUUUCGGUUUUUCGAUUUUUGGUUUUUAACCUUUGGUUUUCGGUUUUCGUUUUUUUUUUUUUUUGUUAAACUCAGAUUUCUCCACUUUUAUUUCCCCAAUUUUAUUUGUUGGUUCAGUUCGGUUCGGUUAACCGAUAAAAAGCCGAACCGAACCGAAAAAUUUCAGUUUUUAAUGAAAACUGAACUGAAAAAACCAAAUUUUUCGGUUCGGUUCAGUUCGGUUUUCGGUUCGGUUACUGACACCCUAUGCGCUGACAGUCAUCGGAGUCGUCUCCAGCGUGCUUGGCCGAGACGCCUCUGUCUACGGCUCCACCAUUUUUACAAUCCAAGAGCUCAUUUCUUUUUUAUGGGGGGGAGGGGAGGUUGGUUUGGUCUUUUGAGCAGGUUCAAGCCUGGCUGAUUGGUCUUUCGUGAAUUAAUCUUCUCAGCUCGAAUAUGCGGGUUCGGCAGCCAGGGCUGGACUUCGGGCGGAGGAGCUCAGGAAGUAGGUGCCGAAGGAGCGGCCGAAUGCCACCCUCUGGAAGGAGCUCUUGGCCAUGCUCGGCUACAGCGAUGGCAGCUUCGGUGGCGGCGGCGGAGUCUCAGGCUUUGGCAAUCUCCGGAUGCCCUCCUCGAACGCCUCUGACUACAACACCAUGCGAGUAAUCACCAAUCAAUAACUGUACCAAUUUGAACGCAAAACCAGUAUCGACACAAGCAGACUCGUUAAAGAAAUGAUUUUGACCACUUGGCAGGUUCAGGGAGGGGCUUGUACUUUGCGGUAACAGCGUUUCCACUCGAAUCUGCUCCACAUUGUGAUCGAGCACAAACUCCAGUCAUCUCGGAGUACGGCCGGAACUUCCCUCCGGCUUCCUAAAUUGCAACCACAACUCAAUCCCGAGUCUCGCCUCUUUCCAUUCAAUUCAUCCAGGGAUUCGAAUGAUGCGAAUCAAUCAUCGAAUGAACUAGGGUUUUCGAUUUCGGGGGCUCACCGUUUCAAUGAGCUCUUCGACUCUUCUUUUUCCUUCUCGUCAAUGAGCUCUUUUUGGGAAAUCUGGGGUUCAUAAGACAGUCUCCGACAAAAGUGCCCCCUUUUCCAUGGCGAGGACGAUGGCGUGACACUUGCAUGCCGGUCGGCCGGCGAAGAAUUGGACCGUCGGCGAGCUGGCAGUAUAAUCGAGACAAAGUUGCCAACUUCGCGAGUCCGUCGAGAUAAUCGUCUCUCGGGUUAUGUUACGAAAAUGGGCCCGCUACCAGACCUUUCCUCAAACUUCCCUGGGAUAAAAUUCAACUUCACACGCUUUUGGUAUAUCAGGCAACUUUUGCACCGAUUCACAGUAGUAUACUCUCAACGACUGUACUUACUUGGGGAACCAAUUUGAACGCAAAACCAGUGUUAACACAAGCAAACUUACCAACGAAAUAAUUUUGACCACUUAGCAGGUUCAGGGAGGGGCUUAGACUCUGCGGUAACGGCAUUUUCAUUCAAAUCUGGUCUUCACAUCGUGAUCGAGAGCAAACCCCAGUCAUCUCGGAGUACGGCCGAAACUUCCUCUCCGGCUUCCUAAAUUGUAAUCCUGAGUCUCGCCUCUUUCGAUUCAAUUCAUCCAGGGAUUCGAAUGAUGCGAAUCAAUCAUCGAACGAACUAGGGCUUUCGAUUUUUGGGACUCACCGUUUCGUUGAUUUUAGCGCCGGCGUUGGGGCUUCCGGUCUUCGACUCUUCUUCUAUGGCACGGACGAUGGCGGGACACUUGCAUGCGUGGAUCCCGAGAUUUAGAUUAAAUAAAAAGUAAAAAGUAAAAAUAAAUCUAGACAAACUUUAUGGAUAUUAAACUAUUAUAUCUAUAUUUUCAUCCUACCUAUUCGAUAAUAGAAAUUAACGGGAAUAACUCUUCAAAUUACUUGUUUCAAUGAUGACUGUCGUUUCAACAUUUAAAGAUGGAAAAAGACUUGAUUAAUUUUUAUAAAGAAGAAAGUUGUAUGUGACUCAACAGGCUCUAUCUAUUUCUCAUUAAAUUUAUAUGAAACUUUUUAUUUGCCAUACUUUGUACAUCUAUAUUAUUAUAUAGGCAAGUACUAAACCAAAUUGAAGGUAAGUAGGAUUCAAUUUAAAAUUAAGUCUAAUUAAUUACGUAAAAUAGUCAUUCAUAUGGCCCAUUUCGAAGUUUUUACUCUUCACCAUCAUCAUCUAUUAAUUUUCUUUUUGGUCAAGAUCUUCAUCUAUCAAUUUAGUUGACUUGAAAUUGCCAUUGAUCUCGAUCAAGCUAAUCCUCUCGGAUUCCUUUAGGUCUAGACAUACUAAUGAGACGAUAGUGUAUCGAAGAUGUACUAAUUUACCAACUCGGAUCUCGAGCGCACUACAUGUUGGCCCAAAUCCUUGGCCGAUGGUGUUUGAUCACAAGAGCCGUAUGUCCACAGUUGGUGCAUUUGGGAGCUCCACCCGAACCUUCAAAGCAAGAUCCCCAAGCAAAUUGCAUCGGACUUGACAACUGAGGCGACUUUCGAGCCCGAGUUGACAUCGAUGAUCAGGUCAUUGAAGAGGACUACAAGUGACCUGGUCAUUUUUAUACUUGGAAAGUAGUUCGAGUAGUUCAGUCCAGGUACAGCGCUAAACUAAGACACUGUAUGACACGGAGCUACCAUUUGUCGCCGAAAUUCACAGCCAUAAGAACUAUCUUGAUAGUAAAGCAAACACAUCGUUGAAGUUCCCGAUGCUCGAAAAGAAUUUCGGAAUAGAAGGGUCUCAGCCAUUACAUAUGUAAUAUAUGAGUUUUAAAACAAGAAAAGAAAAUAAAAUAACAGAAAAAUAAAGGGUUGAAAAGUCAAAAAGGGAGGCUGAAGGAAAGUGGAAAAAGCUUCGGCUGAGUUUAAAAAGAGAGAAAGAGGGAGAGAAAGAGAAGAACAGCGGGCAGAAACAGGGGAAGACGCGAAACAGGGGAGGAGAGAAAGAAGAGAAAGGAAAAAAAGAAAAAGGAAAAAAAUUUGGCACGCUUGUGGUUUGGACGCCUCAUCAAGCUGACUCAAGGGUGUUUUGCAAGGCCGGUAAGAAAUUGAAGCCUUUAAUCACUUACUUGAAGUAAUCGCCGUAAUUAGGGCUUGAAAUUUGGAUUGCUUGGGUAUUUGUGUGGCGAAGCCCGAUUUUUGAGUCGUUAAGCUGUAUAUUUUUUAGAAAUGGUACUUUGGGAUGUUGUGAAGUUAUAGCAUUUUACAAAUUGUGAUUUGAGCUUGCGGUUUGUUCGGAACGGAAUUUUGAAGUUUGGGGCGCAAUCUGGUACUGUAGCGAACAGUGGCUUCGAGUCUCCUUUUUUGUUGUUUUCGGUACUUUUUUGGGGUGGCUGAGUUAGGGUUGUUGUUGUACGUUAAGAGAGCUUUUUAAAGACUAUAAGACGGCUUGAAACUGAAUUUUGUGGAGGAAGUUAUGGCAUGAUGAAGUUGGCGCAUGGGCCGCGCCUAGCUGAAAAUGAUGGGUUUAUGCUAAAUUGUGAGCUUUUGGGGCGUGUAGGUGUUGUUUUAUCGACUAAUAGGCCUAGUAUAGGCGAGUCGUUAUAAGAAUAUCAUUUUUACUUGGCCUUUUAAUAUUAUUUUUCCGUUAAUUGUUAGGAAUCCGAAUGUGUUGGUUCAUAUGAGAGUCGUAAUUGAUUUUUGGCUUUUCCCAGGUGAGUGACACUAUUUCUUCUUCGUAUUUUAAACUCAUGUUUUGAGAAACGAGGUAGAUUAUAUAUUUCAUGAGUUGAUAAAAAAGCAUAUUUUGUUGCAUAAAACAGGAUCGAGCUAUUACUGUCAUUUUUGUUGUUCGAAGGGAAUUAUAUUCCGACUUCGAUUUGAAUGGUUGUUUGAAAAAUGAUUUGUGAAGUUCUUUGUGAAAGAAUCUUGAAAUGUUUUGGAGAAUGCUUUGAUAUUUAUAUAUCAAAUUUUGAGUUGUGAUAUGACUUCCUUUCUGAUGUUGGAUUACUGGAUAUUGUGAUUGGUGGUUGGUGCUCAAUGUCUUUGUGGCCCCUGAGUGGUGUGUGGGUAUGCGCAUACUAUUCUAGAAUAUCCUUGUGGGCCGAGCCACCGAUUAAUAAUAGGUGGAGACCUUGCCAAGGGGGAAUCUUGGUCGUUUUGUCAUAGGCGUUACACGUGACCAUGGUUAGACAUUUGAGCAUGAAUUGGUCAAUGGAGUGGACCAUUGACGUGUGAUUUGAGUUUGGUCGAUGGAGUGGACCAUUGAUAUGAUUUGAUGAGAUUAAUCAAUGGAAUAAACCAUUGAUGCAUGUUUUACGAGAUUGACUAAUGGACUCGACCAUUGGUAUUUUCGGUAUUCGAGUUAUGAUUUGAUAUUAUGAUAAAGUGAGUUAUGUUUGUGUUUUAAAAUGUGAAUAGUGAUUUCUCGAUCCACUUAGAAGAAAUGUGUUACUCACUGAGCCGUGGUAGCUCACUCCUCUCAUCUACUUGUUUUUCAGGUUCUUCAGCGAGUCGCGAAUAGGCGUGAGCGUUCAUUCGGGGAGGACUUUUGUUGUGGAAAUAUUUAGGUAUGGCUUAUACAUAGUUAAUAGGUUUAAACUAGUCUUUGUAGAAGGUUUAUGUUUUGACUUUUGUGAUUAUAGAUAUACUCUGAUAUUGUAACCAAGUGCCCCUUUUUUGUCAAAUAUAUAUGUGGAUGUAUAUAUGUUGAUAUUGGGUUGAAUUUUGGUUAUGUUGAGGCUACGUCCUUUGGUAAAAAGGACGGCCGUGUCAUAUCCUUCUUCUUGUGAAUCGGGGUGUGACAACAUAAGCUCCAAUUCGAUAGCUAAGUGAACUACACGUAAGAAUAGAACAUUCUUGCAUUUUACCAUGAAGGUUAUGCCCCAAUUUGAAUUCCCAAGGGUAUGGACAUUUAGACUCGCACUCCAUAUCAUAUAUAUUCCCAUAUUCCCAAAAAGCUCAAGAACCAAAAAAGGAAAAAAAGGGUUAGAUGAUGCCUUUCAAGUUUUCACUUAUUAGUUUUGGGUGUUCAAAAUACAUUAACAGAAAAUGGAAUGCAAAAAUAGAGCAUAUAAAGUUAGAACAAGAGCUUAAGCAAAUAACACCAAGCAAAAGCAAUAUCAUCCUCUUACACAACCUCUUGACUUGCACUGUAUGGGGAAUCAUAAUCUGAAUAAUGACUACUCGCCUGGCUUGAUGUUUCGGAAAAAAAAAAAACUUAAAAAGAACAAAUUGAUAAAACCAUCACACCCCAACUCUACAAACAUAGGGAAAAUGGCACAAUUGUCCUUUGAUCCAAAGGACGCAUUCUCAUACGAGGUACCAAUAUAAACCUAUUAUCAAAAUAUAUAUUCAUAAAUAUCUCAUAGGAAUAAUAAGCUAGUUACAUGACUAGAGUUCUAAAAUCCACCAACAUAAUAUAUAUAUCUGCAGGGACUGACAAACUAAACCCAAAAAGUACCAUCACAAUUUAUACGUGCAAUUAUCUCAAGUUAUACCCAAAACCCAAAUUCCUAAGAUUCCUCCACUGAUGUAGCUUUCCUCCUA
rnacentral:lncRNA from 1 species